CAUGAUCUUUUCCUUCAAGAAAAACUUUCCCUGCUUUAAGUUCAACCAGCUUGAUCAUCAUAGAGAUGCCUUGUCUUUUACUUUGUCCAGAAUAUUCCACUUUUCUCUUAAAUUUUAUGGUCAAAAAUCGCACUAGCAUCACAUCACAGCAGUCAUGUUGCUGUGUUGCACAUUACUUGGAAAGUGGGAUUUUUUAUAAUUAUACGGUGAAUUUAAAAUUAAUUUUUAAAAAUAUAGUCUAAUAAAAAAUAUUUAUAAAUCUACGUACUUUUUGCUACUUUAAAAAACUUUCUUGUAAACAUAUAUUUCAUAAUUUUUAUAUUAAUGAUACACGUUUUAAAAAAAUUGAAUUUUCUUUUGAAAAGACCUUCCAUAAUUUUUAUAUCAACAACACACCUUAAAAAAAUUUGAAUUUACAUUAAAAGUAUUUCUUCAAAAGACAUCUUUUAUUAUUUUAUAAAAUCAAAUUUAUAUUAAAAACGUCUUUUAAAGAGAUUUUUUACAAUUUCCAUAUCAAUUGCAUGAUAAAAAAAAUUGAAUUUAUACUAGAAGUAUUUUCUUAAAACACUUUCUUCAAUUUCACAAAAUGCUCCAUCCACUUUUAAUAUAUAUAUAUAUAUAAAAGUCAAUGUAUGAUUAUGCAUUAGUAUCAGUCUAUAUAGCAUGUGCGAUUGAGCCUGUUAGAGAAUUAAAUUCAAGACAUUUAGAACCGAAAGCAUUGUUUGUCAAAGAUAGAUGGUGGAUGAUGACCCAGAAUAUUUUCCUUCUGAUCUAUGAAUGGAUGGAUGAGAAACUCUUCAUGAAUGAAUCCACCUUUGAGAAGAAACGAUGUGGGCAUAUCAGAACAUUAAAGACGGUGUGGCUUUUAGUGAAACUUGGAGUGUUGAUCAUCUUAGAAAAUUGAUUGGAUGAAAUUUCACUGAAACUCCUUUGGAAUCGACUGUGGUCCAGAAUAAAUUAUUUCCUUUGCUUUUGCUUCAAAAUGGACUCCCUUCUCUGCUAAGAGGUUCUUGUUGAAUACAAGUUGACCCAAUUUGUGACAUAUGAAGGAAAGAGUUGAGAAACUGGAAUCAUACCUUGUGAUUGAACUAAAGAUUGUUGCCCAACUCCUAUUGAUCAAAAUGACAGCGUUGGCCCAUUUUGAUAAAUAAAAAAAAACAAUAACCAUCAAGUCAUUGAAAAAGCAAUAUUUCACAUCUAUCCUCGAAGUUCACACUCUACAAAGAGACAAAGGCCCAACCAAGCUAUAGAGAUUUCCAAAAGAUACGGGUGAAAUUAAAUUUUGAUGGAUCCCACAAAGAUGUGGAGAGGACAGUUCCAUCAAGAUGAUUAUCAGAGAUGGGAACUUUUAAACGCAACUCCACCAUGAAUUGUCCUGUCCAAGGGUCACCAUCUUUGUGGUCUCACAAUGGUAUGUAUAUAUAUAUAUAUAUCAAGGCUAUAAAGAAAAGGACAACCCUAUGCUUGCUUAAUGCCAGAUAGAUUUGUCCCUCCCUGUAUAAGGCUAUUCUUGCUUAAUGCCAGAUAUAUAUAUAUAUAUUAUUAUUCGUUGUUUUGUAAACAUAGUCCUAUUAGAUAAGAUUUUAAUUGUAGAGAUAGUAUGGAACUAAUUGCUCAUUACAAAUUAAUUUGUAGUUCAUUCUCACUACAAGUUAAUUGAAAAACACACGGCUUAAUGAGGCUUUGCAAAGGAAAAAGAAAAAAGAAAAUUUUUGUAAUUGAUAACACACAGGCUUUAUAAGGCUUUGCAAAGGAAAAAAGAAAAAAAAUUAAUGAGGCUUUGAAAAGAAAAAAAAAAAAAAAAACUUGAUCGUAAGUUAGAAGGGAGUAUUACAAAGAUAAAUUCCAGCUCAAAAUUGGCUUAGAAAAUUGUAUCUUACAUUUUUGGUAAAUUAAUGAACAAAUUAAAAUUGAGUUGAAAAGGAAUAACAUAGCAAAUUAAAAUGAAAGCCAGCAAUACCAAUUAAAAAUAAUGCAGGAGUGCACACAAACAACUAAUUGGAGAGGAAUACGAAAGACAAGACCACUUGAUAGACAAUAAAGGCGACAAAAAAAUCCCAAUCAACACCACCACUUUCAACUAACAUUUCAAACGAAAGGAGCCAACAAAGACUGAUAGCUGAAAAUAAAAGUCCUGCACAUCAUAUCGAACACAAAAACUUGGUAGUCUGGAGUCUUUCUUAAUAGUUAUUGUGAAAGACCCUAUUGAAAUAUUAUACUAACAGGAAUAAAUAGAAAAUAGGGUAUAUGUAUUUUAUGAGACACCCAUAACAGCAUAGGCUGAUAAUAAUUGUAAUCGAUUUUCUUAGCCUGUUAACAAGCUAUUAUAAGUCUAACCUACAAGGAAGGACUAGUACUGAUGCCGGAAUAAAUAACCCCAAGCACAACUAUGGAGCCUUGACAAUCCAAAUACGCAUAAACCACACUUCUAGCAGGGCCUUAAGCUAUUGUUCUCCAUUUUCUAAUGGCCGGCCCAAUCUCUCUCCCUCUCUACGAAAAGUUGCCCCAGAAGAAUAUAGUCCAGAGAGUGUUGGACGUCACCAUUUUCUUCCUUCUCCUCACUCUCCUUGCUUAUCGUAUCCUCUCCCUCAAAAGCAAUGGCUUCAGUUGGCUUGUGGGUUUUGAUAGAAACAAAGUGUAGAAACUCUCAGGAAGCAACAGAACGUUGAGGAAUCUGAAGUGAUAUAUUUUAUUAAGCUUCAAAGUACUUAUUUAUACAGCUAGCUUAAAACAAAAAAACAUAAAAAAAUAGCAACAAACCUACUACCUAAGAUACUUUCUAAAGAAUAGAAACAAACCAACAAAUACUUACUAAGGAAUAGGUAUAUCUUCCACAUGACUAACUUAUUUGACUACUUUCACUUCAAUCUACUCAGCUCCAUGUCAGCAGCUCCUAGGACAUGUCAUUCAACACUCCUCCUUGUCUCUGGAGCUGCAGACUCCAAGCCUUUGCCUCAAGAACUCAUAUCUAGCUUUGGGAAAUGGCUUGGUUAAGAUAUCAGCAUUCUGACUUUCUGUUUUGCAAUAGACCAAUUGUAUUUCUCCCUCCUUCUGUACCUUUCUUAGGAAAUAGAGUUUCAACUUGAAAUGUUUUGUUUUGCCAUGGAACACCAGAUUAUUUGCAAUUGAAAUUGUAGCUUGGUUGUCUACGAGUAUUUGUGUGCUUUCCUUUUGCUCCAUAAACAAGUCAACCAUCAAUUUUCUGAUCCAGAGAGCUUGAUUCACAGCAACAGUUACAUAUUCUGCUUCUGCUGUGGAUUGAGCUAUGACUUCUUGCUUUUUGGAACACCAUGAAAAAAUAGCAGAACCGAUACCCUAAAGUACUUCUCAUGUCGUCAAUUCAACCUGCCUAAUCACUAUUUGAAUAACCAUGGAGAGUAAAGUUUUUAACUUGACAAAACCUCAUACCAUAGUCAAUUGUACCCUUGACAUAUCUGACAAUUCUUUUUGCUGCUUGAAAGUGAAUUUCACUAGCACGAUGCAUGUACCUUGAGAGUAAACUUACAACAUUCAUAAUAUCUGGUCUAGUUGUCGUUAGGUACAUCAAGCACCCGAUAAUGGUCCUGUAAAGCCUUUCAUCAGCUUUUGUAGCUCCAUCUUCUUUGCAAAACCUCUCAUUUUGAUUCAUUGGAGUUGCACUUGGAUUGCACUCUUCCAUCUUGAACUUUUUCAAGAUUUCCUUGGCAUAUUUCUAUUGACAUAUGAAGAUCUCAUUCUACUUUUGUUGUACCUCCAUGCCAAGAAAGAAUGUCAUCCUCCUAAGAUCAGUCAUCUCAAAAACAUUCUUCAUUUCCUUUAUGAAAUUGUCAAUUUGCUCCAUAUUGCUUCCUGUCACAAGUAGAUCAUCAACGUACAAAGAUACUACAAGUGUUUCAUCACCUUCUUGAAGUAUAGAGUAAAUUCGCUUAGGCUUUUUCUAUGUUGAAUGACAUGCCCUAGGAGCUGUUGACAUGGAGCUGAGUGGAUUGAAGUGGAAGUAGUCAAAUAAGUUAGUCCUGUGGAAGAUUUACCUAUUCCAUAGGAAGUAUUUGUUAGUUUGUUUCUAUUCUUUAGGAAGUAUCUAUAGGUAGCAGGUUUGUUGCUAUUUUUUAUGUUUUUCUGUUUUAAGCUAGCUAUAUAAAUAAGUACUUUGAAGCUUAAUAAAAUAUAUAGUCUAGAGAGUGUUGGACGUCACCAUUUUCUUCUUUCUCCUCACUCUCCUUGCUUAUCGUAUCCUCUCCCUCAAAAGCAAUGGCUUCAGUUGGCUCCUCGCAUUACUCUGAGUCAUGGUUCACCUUUGUUUGGGUUGUUAUACUCAGCUCCAAAUGGAAUCCAGUGGUGUACCGCACAUAUCCAGAACACCUUUUAUUUUGAUAUCUGAAUAAUUGUCUGAGUUCAACUCUUAUCAUUCAUUAAUUUAAUGUGUUACCUCAUAUAUUACCUUUUCUGCUUUGAUAUUUUGCCUUCACUUCUCCAUGUGUAUACAUAUUUCAUAUUGUUUGUCCAAAACUUUAUACUAUGAUUUUCUCAAUAGGCUUGAUGAGCUUCCUCCAGUCGACAUGUUUGUGACAACUGCAGAUCCCACUCUAGAACCGCCUAUCAUCACUGUUUACACAGUCCUCUCCUUGCUAGCAGUUGACUAUCCAGCUAACAAGCUUGCUUGAUAUGUAUCUGAUGAUGGCUGUUCACCUCUCACCUUUUAUGCUCUCCUCGAAGCAUCCAAGUUUGCUAAGCUUUGGGUUCCCCUUUUUAAGAAGUAUGGUAUUCACACAAGAGCUCCCUUUAGAUACUUUUACGAUGAGGAGGAAUCACCCCAUGAUAAUUCAACAGAGUUCAUCCGAGAAUACACAAAGAUGAAGGCGAUUCAAGCAAUUACAUUAAGUAAGACAAAUAAUUUGAGAAAAAAAUAAAAAUUGUCUUUUUAAUUGUAAUUUUUAAAAACCUAGAAAAUCUAAGUUAAACUUUUCAACAAGAGAAAUUUCAAAAAGUGUUUCUAAAGUAAGCAUAUAGGAUUCCUAAAAGAGUUAGGUGGUGUUUGUUUUUUACUUAUUUCUAAAUAGAACCUUAAUGCUUAAUAAUGUUAAAUAUUAUAUUAUUUAUUUUUGUAGUAUUUUAUUUCUAUUAAGUAUUAAAAAGUAAAGAAAAACAAAUAUGUUAUUUUUUCUGUUUAGAAAAAAUUAAGUAUUUUGGUUUUUUUAUUAAAUAAAAAGUUUAUAUUAAGUUAUGAAAAAGUAGAAAAAUAAAUAAUCUAAAUUCUAAAAAUAAAUUAUUUUAAGCAAAAAACCGAAAAAACAAACAUCCUCUUAAAUUUUUAUAUUAAGAAUAGCAAUACUUCUGCAAAACUUUUCAAGAAGUUUUUAAAAAUCCUUUUCAGGUUAGAUAUUGAAUAAUAAAUAAAAAAUUCUUUUCUUUCUCUUUUCAAAUUAUGCCUUUUUUCCUGUCAUGGUAUAUAGCAACAGUUAAAUAAAAACUCCGCAAAUAUUUGCCAUAAGUAUUGUGCAUCCUUUGUUAAACUGUCUUCAUCUCUUUGUAGGAUGAAUAUGAAGUGCUCAGAAGGAAAAUUGAAGAUGCAACCGAAAAGUCCAUACCAUUGUGAUCUUAGUUCUGAAGAGUUUGUUGCUUUCUCAGAUAUAGAAAGGAGAAAUCAUCCCAGUAUCAUCAAGGUAUAUAAAUAUCUCACUUAUUGAUCAUUACUUAAUUUCAAAAUAGACGAUGAAUCUUAAUCUAAUUUCGAGAUUAGAAAGACAGUACAACUAAUUUGUUUUUUGCAUAGAAAUCAAAUGAGUUUUCCAUCAGCCCCAACACACACACUGACAUGUUCAGUGAGUGUGUUAAUUUCUUUUUUCUUUCCUUUUUUUUUUCCUUUAAUUAGAAGAUAUUAUUUAUCAGUGUUUGGAUUAUUUUUAAAAAGACACAACAAAUUUAAAGCCGUAACCUUUUUGUUGACAUGAGAAACCGAAACAGUACUAAACGAAAUAUCACUGGGCAAAUUAAUAGUAUUCCAUAGACGUUCGAUUAGUAAUUAAUGCUGGUGCACUUGCAGCCUAAAAUAGGCUAUUGAUAUCAGAGUACUGUGCUGAAGCUUAUUCAAAUGACCGCCUGAGUAUAUCCCGUUGGACCUUCAUUUCCUCAAUACAUGGCCAAAGAUAAAUUCAAGAAUUAGAUUAGCUAUUGUUUAUGCAAGCAUGAGAUCUUACAUCAUUCUAAAAUCUUAAAGUGAAAGCGAUAUUAUUCUUCCCUACUGAGUAAUAUUACAAUGUGAUGUUCCAUAUCGAAUAAGAGAGAAAGUUUCUAGUACUAUAUAUGUAGAGACUCCUCUUAACCAAAUAGACGCGUUUUAAAGCAAUGAGGGUCUCUUUGGGUCCAAAAUGGACAAUAUCUACAUGGUUGGAUACAGGUUGUUACAAAUGGUAUUAGAACCGAUCCUCGACCUCGGUGUGGGGUUUGUUUGGGUGUUCGUUUGUUUGGCCCCACAAUCCCAUGGGACACAACGAGAACAUUGUGUCUGCAUGGGGGGGGGGGGGGGGGGGGGGGGGUUUUUUAAUUUUUCCCCCGAAAAGGGGAAAAAAUUCCCAACCCCAAAUUUUUAAGGGCCCCCUUUAACCAAAGGACCGUUUUUUAAACCCAAAGAACCCCUUUUGAUUAAAAAAAAAAAAAAUUAACAUGGGGGGGACAGGGGCUUUAAAAAAGGGUUUAAAACCCAUCUUCCCCCCCCGAAUGAAAUUUUUUUGGGCCCCCAACCCCAAAAAAAAAAAAANNNNNNNNNNNNNNNNNNNNNNNNNNNNNNNNNNNNNNNNNNNNNNNNNNNNNNNNNNNNNNNNNNNNNNNNNNNNNNNNNNNNNNNNNNNNNNNNNNNNGGGGGGUGUUUGUGAUGUUCUACAUCGGAUAUGGGAGAAAGUUCCUGACGCUAUAUAUGUAGAGGCUCCUCUUAACCAAGUGACGCGUUUUAAAGCCAUAAGGACUCCUUUGGAUUCAAAGUAGACAAUAUCUACAUGGUUGGAUACAGGUCAUUACAAAUGGUAUUAGAGUCGAUCUUCGACCUCGGUAUGAGAUUUGUUUGGUCCCGCAAUCCCAUAGGACAAAACGAGGACAUUGUGUCUUCAUGGGGGAGUGUUUGUGAUGUCCCACAUCAGAUAGGGGAGAAAGUUCCUAGUACUAUAUAUAUAGAGGUUCCUCUUAAUCAAGUAGACGCGUUUUAAAGCCGUGAAGACCUCUUUGAGUCCAAAGCGGACAAUAUCUACAUGGUUGAGUGUGGGUUGUUACACACAAUCUUUUAUAUCUUUUUCCAUAUAAACAAACAUAUAAGCUUUGCUUCCAGAACCAAUAAUACUACGACCAAAAUGGAGCAUUUAUUGAACAAUUCACACUGAUUUAGAUUGCUUCUUUGUAGGUUAUAUUGGAGAACAAGGAGGGCCUCGUGGAUGGAUUGCCACAUCUAAUCUAUGUAUCCAGAGAGAUGUGCCCAAAGCAUCCGCACCAUUACAAAGCUGGUGCACUGAAUGUUCUGGUAAACAAUUUCCUUGAACUAGUACUAUUCAUACCAUGUCUAGUAUCUAAUUAGUUUUCCCUGGUUGUUUUAUAAACAGACUAGAGUUUCAGGAGCAAUGACAAAUGCUCCUUUCAUCUUGAAUGUAGACUGUGAUAUGUACGCCAACAAUUCACAGAUUGUUUUUCAUGCAAUGUGUUUGCUCCUUGGUUGUAAGAAUGGACAAGACUUUGCAUUUGCUCAAUCUCCACAAAUCUUCCAUGAUGGUUUAAAGGAUGACCCACUCGGAAAUCAACUAGUAGCUACGCAGAAAGUACGUUAAAUAUUCAAAAUCUAAAAAUUGAUCUCUUCCAUACUAUAAAGCACAUGAGCUAUUUUUGGAUGGGAACUGUGAAGAUUUUUUGCUGAUAGAGAAACUUCUUUUGUUUUUCUUAUUAAUAUGUUUCAAUCAGUAUUUGGGUGAAGGAAUAUCAGGGCUUCAAGGACCUUACUAUUCUGGUACUGGAUGUUUUCAUCGGAGAAAAUUUCUCUAUGGGUUAUGGCCAGAUGGCUGCAUGGAAACCGGAGGAAGAAGUCCUAAUUGUGUGGCUGGUAAGAAAAUUAAUCUACUUUUGACAAUCAUCUUUUAUUACAUUUUUCUUCUUGUUUUGUUGGGAUUACAAAUAUUGUAGAAACCUCUGCAUGAUAAUUUUUCUAUACUUUUUGGUAGGCAAAUUAACUGAUGAGGGAUUACGACAAUCUUUUGGACAUUCAAAGGAAUUCUCUAAAACGGUUGAAAGGAUUUUAUCAGGGUUGAGUGGGAAGGCCGAUUGUCCAUAUGAUCUUUCAAGUUCUGCAGAGGCAGCAAACCAAGUUGCAGAUUGUGGCUAUGAGUGUGGCACUAGUUGGGGUACAAAGGUGAGUUGUAAAAUAAUUUGAACAACCAAAAAUGCUUGAAAGCAGAAUGGUUUGGGACUUAAAAGAUUAGGGUUAAAAGGCUUUUACCUAAGAGACUGAACAAAAGACUUCAUAGCAUAUUUUUUCUCUAGAACAAAAUACACCAUUGAUGAAAGUUUAAUGGUAACCUCUAUCACAACAUAGCCAGUAUACAGUAUUUUCGCAAAUUGACGUAUUGGCCAUGCGGGCCGUGAUCUCAGAAUGGUUGGAUAUAUGGAUACACUAGCGAAGACGUUCUUACAGGACUGAAGAUUCAUGCAAGAGGUUGGAGAUCUGCCGAGUGCAAGCCUGAUCCACCUGCAUUUCUCGGCUGUUCUCCCUCAGGAGGACCUGCUUCAUUGACCCAGCAAAAGAGAUGGGUCACAGGCCUCCUCGAGAUCCUGUUCAGCAAGAAUAACCCAUUCAUUGCUACCCUCACUGCCAAGCUCCAAUUCCGCCAAUGCCUCGCAUACAUGUACAUUCUUUCAUGGGGUCUACGGUUGAUUCCUGAGCUUUGCUAUACUGCUUUGCCAGCAUAUUGCAUCAUCGCCAAUUCACAUUUCUUGCCCAAGGUGAGGAGAACCUACAACCUUCCAAUUUCUUCACAUAUCAUAAUUACUUCACUUAGUUUUCUGUGGUCUAUAUAUGCUGGAUUUUCAUUUGACGGUUCUUAUAUAUGAUGGUUAUUUCUCAUAUUUGUCUCAUUCUUGAUCUGAUAAGUCCAUUAUUCUAUGUUGGCAUAUACUUUGGCCUAUUUAUGGAUCAAAAUUGACCUAACAAUGAAAUGUCCAACUCAGAUAUAGUUUUGUGACCCUGGUUUGAUAAAGGUUAAUCUAUGAAAUAAUGUCAAGAUAUCCUAUGGCGACUCGUCAUUUGAAUGGCCAGCUUGACGCCAAGGUAUAGAAGUUAAUAUCAUAAAAAACCGUCUUGAAUGGCUAGCAUUUUGCGCAGGUAUAGAUGUUAACAUAUAUAAUUUGAAUCUAGUUAGUCCAACAUUUGUCAAGACAUAUAUUGGUGGCAAUGAGUCUACAUAUCUUUUGCUUAGACUUAGGCCUUGUUUCUGAUAACUUCUUUCUUCUUUAAGUAGAAGUUGAAUCGAAAUUGAAGUCGAUCGUAAUUCUCCAAGGAUAAUAUUAAUAUAAUAAAAGUUCCAUUAAACAUCAAAUAACUUCUUAUAUAAACUAAAAUAGUACUUCUAUGAGAAAUAAUAUUUUCCUUACUUUCAUUUAAGCUAUCUUAAGUCAUAUAUUCUUUUAACAAAUUCAUAUAAAUGUGUACAAAAGUUUUUAUACAUUGAAAUUUACAAAGAACUUUGGCUUCUCACAAGCCAUUCCAGAUAAAGCCUUAAUAUAUAUGGAAUCCACUUAGAUAAAAGUUACUUAUAGAAUCACCAUCAUCAGCCCAUAUAACGUAUUGAAGUAUUAAUGUUGCCUCUUAGAACAAUCUUGAGUGAACUUGCUUAAAAUAGUUAAUAAAAUUUUAAGUUCAGAAACCUUUUCAUGUAAUAUGUUAACCAAAAGCAUCUCUGGCUCCAAAUCUGUGGAAAAUAGUUUUUGAACUAUAAAUCUUAUUUCUAGUUUAAAGUGUAUAAUUAAUAUAAUUAUAUAAUCUGCAAGGUACUUUUAAAUUAAAUUCUAUCAAGAUCUUAAAAUGUGCAAAUUCAUGCAUGCAUGCAGGUUGAGGGAACCAGCCUUCUUGAUACUAGCAGCUCUCUUUGCCAUUUACAACCUUCACUCUCUACUUGAAUACUGUAGAAUUGGGCUCUCAAUCCGAACAUGGUGGAACAACCAAAGGAUGGGAAGAAUAAUCACCAUGACUGCAUGGUUUUUUGGAUUUUUAAAUGUCAUACUGAAGCUCUUGGGCUUGUUCGAGGCUGUCUUUGAGGUUACACAAAAGAACCAAUCUAGUGCCCCUGGCGAUGACAACCACAAGGAUCUGGUCGAUUCACAUUCAAUGAGUCCCCAAUUUUUGUUCCAGCCACUACUCUUGUGUUGGUGCACCUGGUGGCAAUGGUUAAAGCCCUGUUAAACCUAACUCAUGGAAGGCAUGAAUCAAGGAUAGGAGAGGUGAUAUGUAAUGUGUGGGUGUUGUUAUGCUUCUUACCUUUUCUGAAAGGGCUGUUCAAGAAAGGAAAAUAUGGCAUACCCUCAUCCACCAUAUGCAAAUCAGCAGCAGUUUUUGUGCACUUGUGCAAAAGGGUCUCAAUAGCUUGAGAUAAUGGAUAGAAUACCUUGAGAUAUCUUUGCUAUUUUCAUGUUUUGCAGUACUUCAUAUGAAUAAAAUGGAUUUAAUUUUACAUCAUAGAAUUUAUGUUUCAUGCUCGAUAAUUCUUUGAGUCCCCUAGCGGAAGGACAUUAAAUUUGUAAUAAUCCAUGAGUAUCAGGAAUCAAACACAAGAAAGAUGCGUAAGGCUAGUUGAGAGGGGUGUAGAAGUCGAAGCUUAUGUGUGGUCUGAUAGUGGAGAUUUUCUAAAAGCAAGAUAAAACAAAACAAGAGUUGGUGAUGUAAACAUUGAUACCAUCAACAUUGAUAUCCAUUUUUAGGGAUAUGAUUGUACAAGGUGCUAUUGCAGUGAAAAAAAUCCCUAUAAUGGACAAUCUUGGAUAAAUGAUGACUAAGUUUGUUAUUACAAUUAAGUUUAUAUAUUGCUUAAACUUAAUUGGUAUUAGUAGCAUCUAUAGACCAUUUGAGGGUGUGGAAGUGAAGUAACUUGGAAGACUUUUCAGUUUGUUUGAACCUUGGGAAUUUGAGCCAAGGUAGAAAUUGUUGAAAAGUGUCUCAAAUUUUAUUUUUGAGUUAAUUGGAAAGUUAUAAAUAGUUUCCUGAUAAAAAAAUAUUCUUGUAAGUGGGUUUCCUAUUAUUAUAAAGGAAAUAUCCUAUUGCGAGAUCUUCUUUUAGGAAAAAACAUCUUUGAAAAUUAUUCAUUUAGUUUCUUAUAUGGAAUCUUUCUAUAUAACUAGGAAAAUAUAUAUAGGAAGAGAUUUUGACCAAAAUAAAGAGUCUCUUUUUGGGUGUAAUUGGGACUUUAAGAUUUGAGAGCUCUAAAUUGAAGAUUUCUAAAACAUCAGAAGAUUCCAAGCAUAACAAACUAGUACUAAAGCUUUUGCUGACACAACAAUUAAAAGGAGAGCAAACAAGCAAAUGGGUUUUGGUGGAAAAUAUAUAUGUGCUUAGUAUUUUGAUGAGAACUUGUGAUAAGGUGUAAGUCACUAUAUUCAAAAUCAAAAUACCAACUUUAAUCUUUAAUUAUUGCUUUCAUUAACUUCUUAAUUUUUAAUUACAUAAAUUUCAAUAACAUGAGGAGAUGAUGAACAUACAUAUAGAUUUUUUGCAAUGUUAUUUCUUUGGUUAACUUCUUAAUUUUUAAUUACAUAAAUUUCAAUGACGCCAUGGUGAAAGUGUAUAUAGAUUUGUAUGAAACAUUGCAAAAUUCUUUGCUAUUUAUUUUGUGCUAACUUAGAAAGAUCAAUUACAAUUCAAUUACUAUAGUUCUCAUAGAAAGCUAUUUCUUUGAAAUUAAUCUUCAAGUAAUUAUGACAGAAUAAAUUUCUCUAAAAUUAACUCUUGACCAAAGUAUAUAAUCUUACUAUUAAUACGUAGAUAGAUAUGAAGAAAGUCUUAAGAUGAUAUUAUUAAAUGACAUUUUUACCUAUGAUUCUCAAUAAAAAUAAAAAUAAAAAUGAUUUUUAAGAUAAAGGAAAAUAUUACUAAUAGUUGAAAUAUUAGAUAAAAGUAUAUCAUUAAAAUUCAAAAUUAUUUGACAUUUUUACCUAUGAUAACAAAAAAUAAUUUCCAUAGUAAGUGGAAUAUUAUUUACAAUUAAUCUAGCAAAAUAGAAGUAUAUAACAACUACAAUAGAAUGAUUACUAUUACCAUUCAUUGUAAAAAUGGGUUUAAAUUGAGAAUACAUGAACAUGGAACCACACACAGAUAAAUGUGAUUCAAUAAUUAGUUUUGAUAUCAUUUCCACAACAAUAAAAUAAAGUGAUAUUACUGGACAUUUACUUAAAUAAAACUAUAUUUUUUAAUAUUUUCUAUAUUAUAAAGUGACUAAUACAUUUUAUAUAUUUUAUAUAAUCAUCUUACUAUGAUAAAAAUUUAUGACAUAUAUUUAAGAGUAUAAAAGUACGGCUGUAGAUUUUUUUUUUUUAAUUAUUUUUCUUGUUUUACUUUUUAUGUUUGUCUUUUUUAUGUCACAAUAUUGAGGUGUGAUGGCCUUUAUUUUUUAUGUAUCAUUAAUUUUUUAGUUUUUCACAUUCUUGAAAACCUUUUAUUUAAUAAAAUAGUUAAAUUCUCACUAUCUAAAAAUAUUUUUUUUAUAAAUUAUUAGCUUUAAAUUAAUUUAUUAAUUAUAUUUCACUAUCAUUUGAUGUUUGUUGCAUAAAUAAAAUGAUAAUCUGGGUCAUGGGACCAUCAAAAUAAAAAUACGUUUAUAAACUCUAAUCUCUUUUAAUAUUUCAAUUUGAAAUAGAAACUCUUAAAUUUGUGUGUAUUUGGAUAAAUUUAUCUCUUAAAGGACUUUUUGCAAAAGCGUUAUGUGGCGAUGUGCACUUGCAAUGAUAAAAGGUCAAAUAUUGAUGUAAUUUUAAGGUAAUUGUAUAUCAUUAAGUUAUUUUUUAUUAUGUGUUAUUAGUUAUAAAACACACAUAUGUUCUAAUAUGUCUAAGGGUCUCCAAAAAGCCCGCGGGCCGCGGCCCGGCCCGACGGGCUAAAGCCCGGCCCAAGCCCGGCCCGAGCCCGUUUAUGGGCGGGCCGGGCCGCGGGCCUAAAUUUAGGCCCGACGAGCCGGCCCAGCUCGGCCCGUAGGCCCGCCUUUAAUUUUUUUUUAAAAAAUAAUAUACUUUAUUUUUAUAUAUAUAUAAGUAAUUCAUUUAAUAAGUACAAAAGGAAUGUAGCUUAAUUGGUUAUAGCCUUAAAAUUUAAGCUUGAGGGGAGGGGUUCGAAUCCCUCCUUCUCCCUUCCUUUAUUUAAAAGCCAUUUUGGCUUAUUUAAAAAAGCCCGCGGCCCGGCCCGCUGGCCCGGCCCGCCCAGCCCGGCCCGCCCAGCCCGUCCCCCAGCCCGCCAGCCCACUAGCCCGUGGGCUUAUAGGCCGGGCCGCGGGCCUAGCAUUUUAGCUCGGCCCGGCCCGGCCCGCCCGUUGGAGACCCUUAAAUAUGUCAAACUAAAAGUGAAAAUGAUCAAUAAAUAUAUUUGACUUAUUAAUUAAGUUUCAAAUUUCAGGAGAAAAAAAUAUAAGAAAAGUAAAGCGAGGGAUAGGAUAUAUGAAUAGGUCUAAGCCUUUAUAUGUUCGACGGAAUGCAAACACCAAUAAAUAAUAUUAGAUACAACAUAAAUGUUAUAUUUAAAAUAAUAAUUGAUUUUAUUUUAAUAUAAUUCUAAAUCAUUAUUAUAAAUAAUAAAAUAAAUUACUAAUAAUCAUAACAAUUUCAUAUUGUAUUACAAUAAUUAAUUAUAUAUAAAUAAUUUACAACCUUUUACUAUUUCAUUUUGAAUGUAACCAUUCUUGUAUAGAAGUUUCAUGACUAACAUAGACCUCAAUUAGAUGCAAAAUCAAUUUUUAAAAAAAAAGUUUAAUAUAUUUUACCCCCUCAGUCUAUCUCAUGUUUUACACAUUUCCCUUUUAGGUUUAAAAUCAAACAUAUUGAACCACAAACUUCUUAAAUUGCAACACUCUAUCUUUUUUGUUGGAUGGUAUUAGUUUAAAUGGACAAAAAUCUCACGUGUUGUGCACAUGACUAACUAAUGAAGGGUAGACGUGUAAAUUCCCAAACCCAAAAAUCCCUAAACAGCUCUUCCUCUCUCAAUCUUCAUCUUUGUUUUCGUUUGUAACACAUUGCACCCCUAGUCCUUUUUUUUUUUUUUUUUUUUGACAAUAAUGCUUAGUCACAAAAAAUAAUAACUCUUUUACUUUCUUAUAACAUAUUUUAGAACAACUAUUCUAAAAUCUCAAAUUAUUUGUAUGUGUGUAUAUGUACUUUUCUUAUAAAAUUUUUUACAUCACAAGUGAUUAAACCACACAAAUUUAUAAUAGAUAUAGGAUUAUUGUUUUUUUUUACAUAUAUAAUACAUCACAUAUGUAUUUACUAUUAUAGUAUAUAAUAUUUAAUCAUGAAAAAUUAAAUAGAUAAAUAAAAAUGAUAUUAGAGAUUUAUAUCUAUUUCAUGAUGAAUAAAUAUCAUGGUAAUAGCAUUUGUUAUUUUGCAAUGAUAAAAGUUAAAACUUAGGAAAAUUUAAAAUUUGAUUUUUCAUUUUUGACAUAAACAAUUUUAUUUUAAAUUUAAAAUCUUCGUUUCUUUGACAUUUCUUUUUCUUUUUUAAAGAUAAUAAUGUUUGUAUGCAAAUAAGAAUUGAUAACGAAUGAAAAUUAACUUGAAAUCUUAAUUUCUUUUCUCAAUCUUUUACUGUUUUAUCGAUAUAAUUAUGGAAAAUAAUUUUAAUUUGAGAUGAAUGUAAAGAUAGUUUUAAUUUUGAAUUCAAUUAAAAGUACAAUAUAUCUUUUUUAACAUCAAGUGGUUUAUAGAUGAGAUGACAAAAAAAAGUGGUUAGAGGGUGAAAUAUCAUGAGCUCAAAUCAUAACAAUUACAAGUUAAUACUAUGAUCAUUAAAGGGUUAAAAUGUCUUCCCUAUAAACCUAAGAUAGGUGUUGGGACAGUUGUUAUGACUUUAGAAAUUGAUUCAACCAUAAAACAUUCCUAAAGCAUAAACAAUAAAUUAUCAUUAAAAAAUCUUUUAUCACAAAACUAGAUAAAACAUGACCAAUAAUUUAUUAUUAAAAAAUCUUUAGCAAUAAAACUAGAUUUGUCACUAAAGAUAUCUCUUUUGUGAUGAAAACUUUUGUCAAAAAGAAUAUGGAUUUUGUGAUGAAACUAUAUAAUUGUCAAAAAAAAAAAAAAAUUAAUGACAAAAUGGUAUGAUCUAAUGGCAAAAUUAUUUUAUUUUCUAUAAUUUUUUAUUUAUUUAUUUGCAUCAUAAAAUUGUGAUAUUCCAUGACAAUUCCAAUUUCAUCACCAAAACUUAAUAUUUUAUGACGAAAUAGAAGAUUUGUAAAUCAUGAAUUUUAGUGACAAGCUUUUGUCAAUGAACCUUGUCACAAAAAAAUUUCUUACAAUACCCUAUUAGUGACAAAUUAUUGUUUAUUUAUGACAAACACUUUUGUGGCAAAAACUAAUAUUUGUUGUAGUGCACAGAAUAAAGUCGCAUACCUCUAAAGAGGUUUAUAUAGGCUUCCCUGUGGACUUAAGUAAUUUGAAUCCAUGUUGGGUUUGAGCCACUAAUCUAACCUACUUGGGUCAUAAUUAAUGAAGUAACCAUAUUUGGCUCCAAUAAAUUAAUCAACCUAGUCCAAAAAGACCAUGCAUGCUCUUUUGCACAACCUUUUAUUUUUACCAAAAUGUCUUUAUGCACAUAUGUUAACAAGGAACCUAAAUAUCCCUUAAUAAAUUUGUCAUCAAGGAAUAUGACUUAAGUGAUGCCCAUAAGGACCCAUAAGAAAAUAUUGGCUUCCUCAUAAUUAGAUUUUUAAGUUGACCAACACGUCGCAACAGAUAAUCAACUACACUCUAGUAUUCAUAAUCUAACAAGGUAUACGUUAUCAAUCUCUCAAGAUUAUCUUUUCAAUCAUUGAGAUUCAAAUUCUCCUAUUAUGUGAUCAAUUGACAUAGUCUAGCUCUCCAAGAGUAUACAUCGAAUUCAAAUUAAGAAAUUACUAUGAUGAUAGUUUUAUUGAUCACAUGUUCUUAGGAUCACUCAAACACUAUAAUAAAUAUCAAUUUUUAUCAUGAAAGUGAUUGUCAUAGAUAAACAAUAAUUUGUACUAUUAGUGCAUUAUGACAAAAAAAAUAAUAAUUUGUCAUUAGGUUUGUAGACACAGUCGCAUCAAUGAAAGUUAUGAUCCGCAAAUUUUCUGUUUCAUCAUGAAAAAUUAAGUGUUGGUGGUGAAAUUAGAACUGUCAUUGAAUAAUCACAUUUUAUGAUGUGGAAAAUCGUCAUAGAAAAUAACAAUUUUUUUCACUAGAUCCUACCAUUUUUUCACUAAAAGAUAUAUUUUUUGUGAAAAAAAAUGAUAUAAUUUUGUCACCAAACAUAUAUUUUUAUGAAAAAAGCGUUCAUCAUGAAAGAGGUAUCUUUAGUGACAAAUAUAAUUUUGUAGCAAAAGAUUUCUUUUGAUGAUAAUUUAUUGUUAUCACUUUGGAAUAUUUUAUAAAGCUCGAGUCAAUUUCUAAAUUCAAGAUGUUAAUAUUAACUUGCGAUUCUUGUGAUUUGAACUCAUGACCUUUCACUCUAAAAACACUUAUUUUAACCAUAUCAUCGAUAAACCAAUUGAUGUUUAAAAAUGUAUUCUAUAUUUUUAAUUGAAUUCAAAAUUAUAAAUAUUUAUACAUUAAUCUUAAAUUAGGAUUAUUUUGCAUAUUCAUAUUAAUGAGGUAAUAAAAGGUUGAGAAAAAAAAAAUAAAGAUUGCAAAUCAAAUUUCAUAAAAUUAUCAAUUCUUAUUUGCAUACAAACAUUAUUAUCUUUAAAAAAUGCUAUGAAUAUGGAACUAACUGGGGUACAAAAGUGAGUUGCAAAUAAUUAGGACAACAAGAAUAGUACCUUAAUAAAAUCCACGCGUCCUCUUUUACCUUUUGUUUAUUACUUUUUCAUUAAAUAGGGAAUUAUUUUUUUGAAAAAAAAAAUGUUCACUAAAAGUUACAUCAACUCUACUAUGGGCCACUCUAUAAUGGUUUUUGCUUCCUGAUGUUUUGGAUACAACAAUGUAAGAUCAAACUGGUUGGCUCUAUGGAUCCACAACAGAAGACAUCCUCACAGGAAUGAGGAUACAUUCAAAAGGUUGAAAAUCCAUUUGAAUUCUUUCAUGGGGUCUACAGUCAAUUCCCGAGCUUUGCCAGCAUAUUGCAUCAUGGUCGGCUCACAUUUCUUACCUAAGGAGAUGAAAACAAAAACCAUUUAGCUUUCUACAUAAAUAACAUUCUUACUUCACCAACCGUUGUUUUAUUAUCAUUUGAUGGUCCUAUUGAAAAUAACUUAAUUCUAAAUAUUUUCUACUUUAAAAAUGUAACUGGCCACCAUACCUAAAAUCUCAAGCUAGUAAUGUAAAAAAAAUGUGCCCAAUGAUGUAGGUCCAAGAGCUAGCUGUGUUGAUACCAAUAUCUCUCUUUGUCAGUUACAACUUUGACACUAUUGGAACAUAGUAGGGUUGGGCUUUCAAUCCGAGCAUGCUGGAACAACUUAAGGAUGGGGAGAAUAACCCUAGUGACUUCAUGGUUAUUUUGAUUUUUCAGUGUCAUUCUAAAACUCCUGGGUUGUUGGAGACCGUCUUUGAAGUUACAAAAAAGGAUGUUGGCGGGUUCACCUUUUAUGGGUCCCUGAUUUUUGUUCCAGCCACUACUCUUGUGUUGUUGCAUAUGGUAGCAGUGGUUGUUGUUGAUACCUAGUCAAUGGAGAAUUGAUUCCUUCUUCGAAGUGACAGUGGAAGCUUCUAUUCAAACACUAGAAUCUGGACUUCCUGCUUUCCUGCACAAAGAUGUUCAAACGGGUUGUUUGGACACACCCUCCGAAGCUUAAGUCAGAUUGGAAGCCCUUAGAGAGAGAGAAAGAGAGAGUUGGUUCGAGAACUUAUCUCCUCCCCCUGUUUUAUUGUAGUAGGGUUUUUAUAAUGUUCCGCGGUGAAAAGAGGGCUCAGCGGUGCUGAGUUAGCCCUGGUAAUGAAGAUUGCAUAGUAGUGAUAGGGCAAUCAUUACAUUUAUAGGGCAAUUGGGGGCUAUGUUAGGCAGCACGUCAUGAUAUAGCUUGUCAUUCCUCCAACCUUGCACCUAUCGAGGUAGACGUAAGGAUGAGAAGAGUCCCAUCAGUCAAUCUGGUGUUAGUUGGGCAGGGUCUAGCAUAUCAGAAAAGAUUUGAGGCUAUCAAAGAGGUGAGGGUUGCUUGGCAGCGCAAAUGAUCUAGGCAAGAUGCCCCAGAGUACCUUGAAGGUUGUCCGAACAAUGAUGAAAGAUGUGACAUGUGGCCUAACCGAAAGAAUGACACGUGGAUAGACACGUGGAAGUAUUCGUGGGUGGACACGUGGGAUAAGGUCCCUACAAUGCCCUCUUCAACACUUGCACUUGUGUCCGGGCAAGAAUGGAUGGGUUGAAACUGUCCUCUGGAGUCCCCCAGUGUGAGUAUGACACAUGUCAACCAUUUAUUGGGGGACACUUCCUCAGAGGCGUUCUGCUAGGUGGCGUGUCGCUUCGGGUUAUACAGUUUGAUGGCUAUCUUUUAGGAUCCCUAGGGUUUUGGUUCCUUAUAAAUAAGGAAACCUUAAGCCUUUUGGGUUUUUACUUGGACGUUUUUUAUUCUAAAAGCUUUUCCUUAUGCCAUUACCCUUCUGUAUUCUGUGUUUUCUGGUCACCGUCGUUCUAUCGCCCUUUCAUUCAUUAUCUCGGACAUCUCUUGCAUCUUGUUCUAUAGCGACUCCAGUGGCUGUUCAACUUCUCGAUAGCCUCGUCAUUUUCACCAGUUUUGGUUCAGAAGGCGUAUCUUUUUCCAGCAGUGGUCCUUGAGACUUGUGGUAAGAUUUCUUUCCCAUAUUGGUUCUCUGUCUUUUCUAUUUGAUUGGUUGUAGUUAGGGAUUUGUUGGAUUUUGCACUGUUUGUUUGGUAGUGGUGUAUAGAAUGAAUUAUGCGUAGUUCUUUUCUAGUGAGAGAGGCCAUUGUUGGAGAUUAAUGUGGUCCUAAUAGGAUUGAGAGUGUUGUAGUUGGGUCAUGGUCAAAUGGGGAGAUCCUUGGAUGGGGUCUAUCCUAUAGGUUGAGCUCAGGCUCUGCCCGGUUACAGGCUUUGAACAAGUGUAGGUUGGCCUUUAUACAUCUAAGGCAUUGUUUUGAGAACAGGAGGGUUGGGUGACUACUCUUUAAUAUUCGGUCCUUGUGCUGUGCAGGUUCUACUCGGCCCACCAUAUUAGAAUGGCAUCUCGAGGGGGUGACACUUCUACCAAUGCGACUGGUAAGGACAAGAAGAAUGUUCGACCAAGAGAAGUUGUCGGACGAACACAGUCGAGGAAGUCUAUUGAACAACUUAAUGUACGGGAGUUCAGGGAGCGCUUUCGUACUCCGAUUAGCAUUCUGAUUCGUUUUUUGAGUAGUGACCCAGUGUCAACCAAGCAGGAGCCCGAUGCCAUUGUUUUUAGUAAGGAGCACUUCAACGUCAGGUUUCAAUUCCCUCUCAUUUCCCUGUUCAAGCAGUUUCUUCACUUCACCAAGAUUCCUCCAGUCUUCCUCCACCCAAACGUAAUUAGGGUACUGAUGGGGUGUAGCAUUCUGAGUAUGCCAUACCAUUUGGACCUUUUCUUACUAGAGGUCCUAUUUAUCUACACCAUCAAGAUAAGCGGAAAGAAAAUUUUUAGCUUAUUUUCUCAUAUUCCAUCUCUUCAACUGGUGACCAGACUCCCAGAUUCCACCAAGAGAGCAACUAAAGGAUGUGUUGUUGUUUCAGGCCCUUGGUUGGCCCAUAUGAGCAUCUAGAUAACCCAUUUGAGCCUCGUUGUUCGUUAGGGAUUUUGGGUAUAGUAAACCGUCGUACUCUUGCUUUGUAAUUCAUAAUUAUAGGAUUGCUGCUAACGUACAUUAUCUGGUGUACUAUAGAAAAGAUGAGGAGAGGUCGACUGGUAGAGUGGGUGGACAAGACUUUUUUUCGACCGGCUGAACAAAUUAUUCAUGAUUUCUGCUAGAAAACGGAAUCAUGAGACUCUAUUGAUUGAAGAAAAUUUACUGAAAUUGGUUCGAGAUCCGGUGUCAUACUUCAUUUCUUCCUCUCUUCCACAUUUUGCACCCAGAGUGGUGGUGCCCAACAAACAUUAUGUGGUGAAUGAUCUUCCUUUUUAUGCAGAGGCCCGGGCAACACACAAGAGGAAAAUGCUGGACCGGUUUGCCCAAAGAGAGAAGAAACACUAAGAUGGGACUCUGAGACAAGCUCUGGGUAGGAUUCAUCCAACCACCAGUUCUAUUGCUCGUCCUCCUCCUAAGAAGAAGUCCUUUCUUCAGCCUGCCGAGAAGACCUUGGAUUUAUCUCCGCUCACAUCCUCUCAUUUGUCUCCUUCAUCCUUAGCAAAGGUUGGCGUCGAUCAAGGCUCAUCCGACUCGCCUUCUGUGGGGGUCAGUUCGGACCAGGAGAUUGAGCCAACUGUGUCCUUCAUCAACCUAGAGCCAGAAGAAGAAGAAGAAACAGAAGAUAUGGCUCCAAAUCUGAGGGUCGGCUUCAAGGAAAGGCAUUGUAAGCGCAUAUUCAAGGCACUUCUGGCCAUACUCCUGCCUGUUAAGAAAAGUCGUCCGGAGGCCUCUCGUGAGGAAUCGGCUCCGGACACUCCUACGGGGCAUGUGCCCCCUUUUGAAGCAGCCCAACCCUACUUAGAGUUAAUAGUGGGGCCUCCUUCAGAUGACGCUUGUCUAGUAGGAGACGAGGUUCCUACAGCUGCUCCGAGCAGCAAAAAUAAGGGAAAAGAGGCUUUGGCUAUUCCUUCGAGCUAGGAGGAUGUCGUAACGUUACUAAAGACAGUUCCCUACUUUACGACGCUUGAGCUCCUAACUUUAGGCAUGAACGAAUUCUUUCCAUUAUCUCAUCGCCAUUUCGUCAACCUAGGCGGCAUCCCUCAUAUGGUCGGCAUGGUUUAACCCUCAUAUGUUGUUCUAGACUUUGAACUUCGAUGCACUUAUCUUCUGCUGAAGUACACUACUGAAGAGAUGGUGAAAGUGGUAGGCUUUAUUCUUCUUCAGCCCAAGUUUGCCUAAUCAUUCUGGUUCUGACAUCUAUUUUACUAUUGUUUCAAGGAGAUGGCUGCUAUUCAUAACUUGAUGCGAUAGUGAAGCUCACUUCUCAAAUGGUUAGAGAUUGCGGAGAGUAUGCCGGUAUUUCUUACCCAACAGGUAGAUACCAAUGAAGAACUCCACUCUCAACUUGGUCGGGUAUAGAGCGAGUUGGUCGCAGCUCGGAUAGCAACCGUUGAUAUAGAGAAAGGUAUGAGGCGGCUACAAGAGGAGACAUAGGCGGCGAAGUCUAAGGCUUGCCGGAUGGAAGAGGAAAAAGACGCUGUAGAGGCCAAAUGCAAAGGCGCUGAGCAAGAGAGUGAUCACUUGAAGAAGGAGCUCGAAGAGUUUUAGGCAGCCUCCGAGGCUCAAAAGAAACAACUUGAGGAGCUUCGAGUCGGAUUCACUACUGAGAAGGAGGCACUAACUAAAGAUUAUCAGAAGUAGGUGGAUGAGAUGUUCUUAUUCGGCUAUCAGUGCUGCUUGAGGAAGAACGACAUCACGCAAGACAUCCCCACCUAUCCUUCGGAUUACGAGGAAGACACAGUAGUAAGUGGUCCCACCCUAGGAGAUAAAGAUACGGAUGCUCCUGGUCCCUUUACUGGGCAAUGACUUUCAUAUUUUUCAUUUCUUCCAUCCGAACUUGUAAUGAAUUUUUCAUUUAUCGAUAUACACAUUCCACGCUUGGAGCAGGGGUGUUAUGUCUAGCAUUUACAGAUAGUAAGCCCCUGAAUCUCCAGCUUCAGAUACAAUGUAAGGUCCUUCCUAAUUUUCUUGGAGCUUCCCGACUUCCUGUUCAGCCGUAUUCUCAAAGACUUUUUUUAGGACAAGAGUCCCAACCAUGAAGGUAUGUAGUCGGACCUUCCAAUUGUAGUGGGCAACAACUCGUUGCUGGUAAGACGCCAUCUAGAUGGCUACGUUCCCUCUUGCUUCAUCUGCCCAAUCUAGGUGUCUUUCAAGUUCCGUACAUUCGUUUCUCUGGCCUUGAAUGGUAAUCCGAGCUGUGGGCAUGCCUAUCUCUAUUAGGAUAAUCGCAUCCAUCCCAUAGGGUAGGGCAAAAGAGGUGGUUCCCAUUGGUCGUCCGGGUGUUGUCCGAUAGGCCCACAAGACUCUAGGCAGUUCAUCAACCCACAUUCUUUUGGCUUUCUCCAACAAUUUCUUUAGUGCAGAAAGCAGAGUCUUGUUUGUUGCUUUUACUUGCCCGUUGCUUUGAGGAUACCGAGGAAUGGAAUACAAGUUUUUGAUUUUCAGCUUUGAGCAUAAGGUUCUGAAGGCAAUGCUAUCAAACCGUGGCCAAUUAUUAGCUAUAAUUGCCUAUGGGAUUCCAAAUCGGCAAAUGAUGUUUUUCCAAAGAAACUCGGAAACGUAUUUGUCUUUGAUGGUGGCAUAUGCUUCUACUUCUACCCAUUUGUUGAAGUAAUCAGUGGCUAUAAGCAAAAACUUUUUCUACGCAACAGCGAUGGAUAGGGGCCCCACUAUGUUCAUUCCCCAUUGCGCAAAGGGUCAAGGGCUUGUGACCGGAUUUAGGUCAUCAAAGGGCAUGUGGGGAAUGGGAGCGUGCCUUUGGCACCGAUCACACCUCUUGACAUAGUUCGCAGCACCUUGUUUCAUGGUAGGCCAAUAGUAUCCUUGUGAAUGAGCGUGAUGUGCUAAGGUUUGUCCCCCUGCGUGAUUGCCACAUACGCCUUCAUGUAGCUUUGUCAACACAUACUGUGUCUUCAUGUUGUUUAAGCAUCUGAGGUACGAACCUCUAAAGGAUUUCUUGUAGAGGAUAUCCCCAAUCAAAGUGAAGCGGGCUGCUUGCACUCGUAUGUUAUGAGUCUGCUUACUUUCUUCAAGAAGACUUUCGGUCCGGAGAUAUGUCUCAAUUUUGUUCAUCCAGCCAACGCUUACUUCAUUAGUGGAGCACACAGAUGCGACAACUAUGGAUGACGUAUCCUGGAUGUAGAUGGCCAGUAACAUUGCUUUUUCACAAGGAGAGUAGCUACUAUUCCAACUAAGGCGUCUGCCUAGGUGUUUUCUGAGCGGGAGAUUCUCUUGGUGACCCAUUUGUUCAAUUUGUCCAAGCUAGUUUGUACAUUUGAAAGGUACCAAGCCAUGCGCUCGUCCUUAGCUUCAUAUUCUCCUUGAAUUUACCUAACAACUAGCUAGGAGUCACUGCGUAUUUCGAGCUUGGAUGCUAACAAAGUUAGAGCAAGGCUAAGUCUAGCGAGGAUUGCUUCAUACUCGGCCUCAUUAUUAGAGACUAGGAAUCCAAGCCAAAUAGCCUACUCCAAUUGCUCUCCGAUUGGGGAUUGCAAGAGGAGACCCAUUCUGGAUCUUAAGGCUUAGGAUACCUCGUCGAUGUGCAAUAUCCACCACCUCUUUUCAGGAUAGUUUGCACCAUGAUGAGGUUUUUGGGGUGUUUCAGCUAUGAAGUCAACCAUGACCCGUCCUUUCAUUGCCAGCCUAGGUUAAUACUUGAUUCCAUACUCACUUAGUUUAAUGGCCUACCUUAACCGUCUCCUGGAUAGGUCUGGUUUGUGCAGAAUGUUUCUGAGGAGUUGAUUUGUGAGUAUAAUCACUUGAUGAGCUUGAAAGCAAGGGCGGAGGUUUCGCGCAACACUCCUCAAGGCUAAGGCUGUUUGUUCUAUUUUCGAAUACCAGGUUUCUGCGUCAACCAUUGUUUUGCUUACGUAGUAGACGAACCUUUGCUCCUUGUCAUCUACGCAGCGGAAUAGAACAACACUGACAACACAAUCAGAUACUGCUAAGUACAUAUAUAAUUGCUCACCAGGUCGAGGACUGAUUAGAAUGGGUGGGUGAGUGAGAUAGCGUUUAAUCUUCUCGAAUGUUAGCUCGUAGUUAGUUGUCCACCCUACCGUGCUAGUUCAUUUCAGUGUGAGGAAGAAGAGCCUUAACUUGUUUGUAAAUCAGGCUAUGAAGCCUCCUAAUGUAGCCAGACGGCCUAUGAGGCGUUGUAGCUCCUUUUUGCAACUUGGGACAGAUGUUUCCAUGAUACCUUUAAUUUGGUAUCGAUUGGCCUCUAUGCCUUGUGUAACCAUGAACCCUAAAAUCUUGUCUACACUAACCCCAAAUGCGCAUUUGGCCGGAUUAAGUUUCAUAUUGUACCAUUUCAUCAAGUGAAAGAUUUCUUCUAAAUGCUAGGCAUGCUCAAUCCUGGUCCUGUUCUUCACCACAAUGUUUUCAAUAUACACCUCUAUCGUGCGUUUGAUUAAAGGUUUGAAGAUCUUCGUCAUCAACCGUUGGUAAGUGGUCCCAACAUUCUUGAGUCCAAAUGACACGACUUUGUAGCAAAAGAGUCUGUGUGGCAUUAUGAAGACGGUUUUCUCUUCAUUUGGUUGAUACAUAGGGAUUUGGUGGUACAAAAAAAAAACGUCCAGGAAGGAGAGCAUUCCAUGUCCGGCAGUUGAGUCAACUAUUUGGUCUAUUCAUGGUAAUGGGAAGCUAUCUUUUGGGUAGGCAUCAUUCAAGUUGGUGUAAUCGACACAGACCCGCCAUUUGCCUUAUUUUUUCGGGACAACCACUACAUUCGCCAACCACUCUGGAUACUCUAUUUCCCUGAUGAAUCCAACCGCCAGUAACUUUUCUACCUCGACUUGGAUGAAUUUUUGCCUAUCCGAGUGGAAGCAUUGGACCUUCUGGCAAAUAGGUCGUGAGGAAGGGACAACAUUGAGUCGAUAUAAGGCUAUUGAUGGAUGAAUGGAUUUCGAGCAUAUCGAAAUGGGUCCAUGUGAAGACACCUUUAUUACGCUAAAGUACCUCUAUGAGAGCUCUUACUUCUUCCGUCAUGAAGAGUGAGCUAAAAUAGGUGAAGUGAUCAUUUUCUUUUAAGAGAUGUAUGAUCUACAGGGGGUCGGCUGUUAGCAAAUCUCUUUCCACCGAGCACUAUAAUUGCUAUUGUUCCUUUGUACUAGUUGGUUCAGUAGGAGGCUUAGGAACACUUGUGGACCCGAAUUCUCAUGUUACUUGGUAACAUUGUCAUGCCGCUAAUUGGCUUCCAAAAAGGUUAACCUGUCCAUCCUCAGUCAAGUAGCUCACUAUUUGGUGAUAUGUGGAGGGGAUGACCUUCAUGCCAUGCAACCAUGUGCGUCCCAUGAUGGCGUUGAAAUGGGACAAGUCUUCUAUGAUUGAUAACAGCACAUUGAGGACCACUAGCUCAACUUGGACAAGUAGCACGACAUAUCCCAGAGAUGUCGUUGACACUCCAUUGAAUCCUAACAGUAUCUGUCCGGGAUUUUCUAAAGCGAAUGGUGAGAACCCCAUUUGUUAGAACGCGGACAUCUGUAACAAGUCGGCUGAGCUGCCUGGAUCAACUAAGAUCCGCCUUACAUCGAAAUCAUUGAUUCCCAACGUCAUGAUGAGGGCGUCUUGAUGCAAAUGUAAUACCCGAUUGGGGUCUACUAGGGGAAAAGUGAUUGUCCCAUCUAUUAGGCGUACCCCCCCUUCAGUCAAUCAUGGUUGGAUUGAGUUAAUCCGUUCUCGUAUGGAGGCGGCUCGGAGCAACCUUUGUCUCUUCCGCUUAGAGUUGUAUUCCUCAUCGACGGGCCCUCCAUGGAUGUAAUUGAUCAUGGCUCUAGGAGUUGCUGAAGUUGUAGGGGUUUGAGCAUCCGGAUCUUGGUUUGUCUGUGCUCGUCUCCUUUUUGAGCAGACGUACUGCUUUAGGUGUCCGACUCUUACCAGUUUUUCCAGUAGGUAAUGGAGACUUCUGCAUUGCUCCAUGGUGUGGUCAUGUUCCUUAUGGCAAGCACACUUUCUACUCCAAUCCCGCUUAGUAGGAUCCGUCUUGAUGGUUUCUAGCCAUCUAAAAUCAGCCAGAUCCCGGAUCAAAGGGAAGAGCUUGUCGUAUGAAAUGUUGAGGGGGGUGAGGCUGGCUUGGCUUGACUAAUGUCGUCCGCCUUACCCUCUUCCUACCUACCUUCGUUGGCUUGUAGUCUUAGAGCCCUUGGGUGAGUCAUUCCUAGCAAGUUGACUGGUGACCAGAACCUGCUGGGUAGCUGCACGGACAUCGUCUUUGAGCAUGGAGUACUUGUUUACUCGUCUGAAUAGAUCGUCCAUAGUUAUAGGAGGCUUUUUUGCGAAAAAUUAAAACAAGGGUGUACCUGGGCAACUACUCCUCUUAAAGAUUUGCAAGACGACAUCCAUGCUAUAAAAUUCUACUUGAAGUACAACCUGCCCAAAAUGCUUUACAAACUCCCUCAAUGAUUCAUUCUCCUGCAUUUUUACAUUUUACAAGGUAUUGAUGUUUUUUUUUAUGUCAUGCUGAGCACAGGUAUUGUCCCACGAAGGCCUCCGAUAGAUCUCGGAAGUUAUCGACGAAAUUCAUCGAAAGACGGUGGAACCAUGAGAGAGCCUGACCUUGGAGGCUGGCUGGAAAGACCUUGCACAGUAGCGUAUCAUUCCCUAUGUCAAGGGUCAUGAGCUGCCUGUAGUGCAUGAUAUGGUCGAAUGGAUCACUGGAUCCGUCAAAUGCAGAGAAUUUUGGAAUUAUGAACCCUCGUGGGGGCUCAUAGGUGAUGAUGUCAGGGGUGAAAAGCGUGGAGAACAUAUCAUCCAAUCGCCUACUGGCAAAACCGGGGGGACCUCUGUUUGUCAAACCCCCUACUGGUUGUUGUGUUGGCAUAUGGGGGAGCCAGUCUGUGAUGAUAGGUGCAGUUAAGGGGCUAAGAUAUGCUUCAUGGGCCAUUGCUUCAUAUAGUUUCCCCAUUAUGUUAAGCGUCUGAGGCCCUAGCCUUGUGUGCAUUAUGUCUGAUAGUUGGGACUUCCUAUCGCGUCUUCUCUUUGUUGAGACACGAGUGGAAUUUGAGCUUUCAUCCUACUGCGCGUGAUAGGCUGAUAGAGAUCUUUGUUCAGGUAUUCUUUCUGGUUCAUUGGAGGGGAACCCUGUGUUUCUAAGAUAUGUUGCCUCCUCGUUUUACCUAGAGUUCACUUGCUGACUUCUUGGUUGUCGGCUACGAGGAGGGCCCGAUGAGGAUACCUGAAUACGCAACACGUUGUUUUCUUCCUCGAGUCUCCUUGUCUCUUGGAACAGAGCUUGCACUUGUCGUUCACUCUCUCGUUGGCGUAUCUCCAUACUUGCACGCCAGCCAAAGUAACUCUCGUCACCCAUGGCUGUUGAGCAACUUCUAGAGGGUGUUGAUAUUUUUGUUCUGCUUCCCAUAGACGGUGCCAAUGUUGAUACCUAGUCAACGGAGAAUUGAUUCAUUCCUUGAAGUGAUAGUGAAAGAUUCUAUUUAGACGCUGGAAUCUGGACUUCCUGCUUCCCUGCACAUAGAUGUCCGGACGGGUUGUCCAAAUAUACCCUCCGAAGCUUAAGUCAUAUUAGAAGCCCUUAGAAAGAGAGAGAGAGAGAGAGAGUUGGUUCGAGAACUUAUCAUUUCCCCCUGUUUUAUUGUAGUAAGGUUUUUAUAAUGUUCUGCGGUGAAAAGAGAGCUUAGGGAUGCUGAGUUGGCCCUAGUAAUGAAGAUUGCGCAGUAGUGACAGGGCAAUCAUUACAUUUGCAAGGCAACUAGGGGCUAUGUCAGGCGACACAUCAUGAUAUAGCUUGUUGCCCUUCCAAACUUGCACCUACUAAGGCAGACGUAAGGAUGGGAAGAGUCCCAUUAGUCAAUCUGGUGUCAGUUGGGCAAGGUCUAACAUAUCAGAAAAGAUUUGAGGCUAUCAAAGAGGUGAGGGCUGCUUGGUAGCGCAAAUGAUCCGAGCAAAAUGCCCCUAGGUACCUUGAAGGGCGUCCGAAUAGUGAUGAAAGAUGUGACACAUGGCCUAACCAGGAGAAUGCCACAUGGAUAGACACGUGGAAGUAUUCGUGGGUGGACACAUGGGAUAAGGUCCCUACAGUUGCAACCUUGAUAUGACCAUCUCAUGUUGGGGUUGAAUCAAGAAUAGGAGAGGUAAUAUGUAGUGUAUGGCUACUACUAUGCUUCUUGCCAUUUUUGAAAGGCCUAUUUGGGAAAUGAAAAAAAUGAGAUACCUACAUCCACCAUAUGCAAGUCAGCAGCUUUGGCACUGUUUUUUCUUGCUUUCAUUAUUAUAGGUAAAAGAAAGAGUUUCAAGAAAUUCAAUUGAAACGAGGGAAUCUUUACUUUGUUAUGACAUGCAUCAUCCCACUGGUUUAAUAUAAGGCAAAUUUAAACCUUUCUUGAGUCCAUUUUUCUUCUCCCGAGUCUUACCUUUUUUACUUUCUUCUUCUGCCAAGUGCCAACAAAAUGGUAUUUUGACAUUUUUCUUUUCACCACAACUACAGCUAUAACUUUGUGGGUGAAAUGAAAUCAUGAUCAUGUUGUUAAACCACCAAUUUAAUCUAAAACCAUACAAAACCAACUUGAGUAUUUUAAUCAACCUUUUGCUUUCAUGUAAGUUUAGUAAAUAGAAAAAAUAAAUAUUUUGGUUUCCUAUCAAUUAAGGCUAUGAUAAAGUAUCAAUUAAAUUGCUUGAAAGCCUAGCAUUAAUAAGGAAUUAGAGUGCGUUUGUUGGGCUUUUAGAUGAAGUAUUUUUUCUAGAAGGAUUUUUGGUAGAAUUACUAUCAAGACUGAUAAAUGAUUUUUCAACAAGCUUGCCAAAUUGGCUCUUAGCAUGUGUCAUGCCCGACAAUGCAUUUCAUAUUUUCUCAAUUCAAUAUAAAUAUUCAAGUUUCUCAUUUUGAUUAAAGUUCCUCAAUUACAUGCUUUUCUAGUACUCAAAAGACCUUGUUUGGAUAUUUAAUUUUUUAAAACAUGUUCUAGGUUUCCUCUUUUUACUAGUUUUGAAUUCCUAUAGAUUAUCUUCUUCCGUUUGUGUGCAACUUCUAUAUACAACUCUUUCCAUCUUCUCUCAUCGCCGAAACCAUGCUCCUUAGAAGAGGCAAGGUUAUGUGUAACUUGUAUAAAUUCAUAUAAUCAAUCCAAGAAUGUUAAUCCAAGAAUUUUGAGGUCAGUCUUUUCAUUAUAUCUUCUUUAUGAUAUCAGAGUAGGAUUGUCAUGCCUCGAAUUCUGGGCAACCCAGAAUUCGACUCGUGACCUUAGCUCAAAGGUUUGAACCUAAGGGUUAUGUCUAUCCAAGUUGGCAAUCAGUCUUGAAAAUUAACCUGAUUUUUUUUUUUUUUAAAAAAACAAAACAAAAUAACAUCUAACCUCAAAUAAAUUUACUAACCUAAGACUUACUAUAUCAUAGUAUUUUACUUCAUUUUAUUUAUCUCCAAAACCAACCAUUACUUGUUCAUAAGUAUAAUAAAUCCACCUAUCAUUUUUCCACACUAGAUAAUAACCCAAAUAGUUACAAUAAUCUUUAAGUCAAAAAGAAUAUUUCCAAAAAUGUUUUACAAACUAACAAAAUAUAAUUUAAGUUAUAAAAGUCCAUAUAACUCAAAUUAGUACAUUUCAAAAAGGUAAUAUAAAUGAAAAACAACUAAUAUUAUGGUUCUCUUACUUUCUGGGGCUUUCUGGAACACUUCCUGAUCUUCUUAUAGUUCUUUAAAAACUAUAUCCGUAUUUAAAAAUUUUAGAAAAUAAAGGGUGAGCAUUUCCACAUUACUUAAUAGGGUGUUUUAUACCCCAAAUGGGUUAUAAAUUAUAGGUCAAUAAAAUACAAUCACUUAUUAAAAUAUAAUAUUAUAUCUAUAUUGUAUACAUUAAAUGAAUCACAACUAUACAAAUUUAAACCAAUCAAAAUUAUCGCUUCUCUUAUUCAAUCAUAUGCCUAACAUAUCAACAAUUCUAAAUUCACCAAAAUAAACAAUUCAUUUUAGUUUCGAAUAAAAUAUUUGAAACAUCCUGUUAAUAAAUAAUAUCAAUCAUUCUUUCAAAUGUAACAUGAUGCAAAUGCUUACACACAAUCAUGCAAUACAUUGUUGUUCUCGAGUUUUCACUUAAAUAUACGCAUCCGUACCCAAAUACACUCCCCAUUCGAAGUCUUUCCAAGGUAAUAAACUUUUGGGUCUUUCACCAUAGGGAUCUCACUCUCUUCUUAAUUCACCUCUCACGGACCUUUCAUUUCUCAUUUCUUUUUUCCUUUCAUUUUUGCCUCUUUGAGGUCUUUUCAUUCUCAUUUCCAUUUCACACAACCAUUUCUUCAUUUUUCUCUUUCUUCACACAACCAUGAUGCAUAUGAAGGGCAAUCAAAUCAUAUUUUAACAUCCAUAAUUUUUUAGGACAUAAUUCUAUUUCCUCCCAUUAUAUUUCAUAAUUUUCAACAAUCCACACAACAAUUUUUCUUCACUUUAAUCACGACAAACAUCAAAGAAAAUUCACAAUUAAUUUGUAUAGCAUCAAAACAUAGUUUUAAACCUUAACCACAUAAAUUCUAUUUAUUCCCUACAUGCUUAAUAAUUUUCAACAACUAAUAUAACAAUUUUUUUUCUUCAAUUAAAUAACCACACAUAUCCAAGAAAAUUCUCACUAAUACAAAUAUCAACAAAAACAUAAUUUAUGUCAUAAUAUAUUUACCUCCAAUAAUCUCAAUAAUUUUAACACCCAAUACAACAAUUUUCCACAAUUAAGCCACCACAACGUUCGGGAAAUUUUUUCCAAUAAUUCAAAUAUUAACAAAAACCCAAUUUAUAUCAUCAAUUUAUUCAUUUAUAAUAAUAUUAAUAAUUUUAAAACAAUCAUCUUAAACAUAUCUCAAUACUCAAAAUUUUGAACAAAUAAUUUUUAUUAUUUUCAACACUAACAUAUCACCAAUAAAUUUAUAUAAUUUCUAACAUGACAACAAUCAUAAAAAUAUACUAACCAAUAUUCCAAUAAUUUUUUUUUUCACAACCAGAACAAUAUGGUUCAUUCUAUCACGAGAAUAACAAUUAAAUACCAACAAUUAUAAUAUUUUUAUAUUGCAUUAAACUUUCAUUUGCUUCACAUUUAACAUUUUCAAAGCAAAACUAAAUCAUUUUACACGUUUAGGGUUUCCAAAAACAACCUAAAAGAAAACUAUAUGACGAUCUACUACACCCAACAACUCACCCAUUUCCAUGGAGGUUUUUGAAAAUAAAUAAAAGUAAAACGAAAAGCCCCAAAAAAGUCGAGAGAGAAAUUUAGGAAAAACACACCCCUACCUGUACAGUAAAACCCAAUUGUAUGAUCGAAAAUCUGAUUUAGUAGAAUAAAAUAAUAUUUUUGAAUAAAGUUAUAAAAUAUUAUAAUAUUUUAAUUAUUUAUAAAAUAUAUUUAUUUUAAUGUGAAUAAAAAAAUUAAAAAAAAAUUUAAAAAUAUAUAUUUUAAAAAGAAUCUAAAAAAAUUCAAAUAAAAGUUUAAUAGGACGAGAUGAGGUGGGUAUGGGAAAUUCGUAUACUUGUCUUGUCCUAUUUAAUUUUUUUAAUGAGAUGAUGAUAAAAAUUAUUUGAAUAAAUGGGACGGGGUUGGGACAGGGAUAACCCAUCUCUAAUCCAUUUUGUUGCCAUCUCUACAUGAUUGAAGAGGAUAUUUUUUGACAUGCAAUUUUUCUUAUAUUUUAUGUUAUUUUCAAAACUCCUUGUGCAUUAGAGUUGUAAACAUGAAUGAUUAAUUGAAUAAAUGAGGAUAAAGAUAAUGUCACAUCAAUAUGCAUUCCACAAAAAGGAAGAAAUUGAGUGGGAGCAUGUACCGGCUUCAUCAGCCGGCAAUCAUGCAAAAUUUGGUUGAUAUUUACUUCUAUUGUGGACUUUACACCAAGUUUACUCUAUCAUAUGGGCCAAUUAUCCAUCUCUAUCGCCCUAAAGCAUCAGUAUCCCCUAUUUGUCUUUUUGGGGAAAAACAUAAUAACCAGGUUGCAGGGUCAAUUUGGUAGGGUACACUGUCGAGUAUUGUGGACUUGGCCGCAAAGUACGACCACUGCACCUGACAUGAUCUCUAGGCCAUGGUUUCUUCCACAUGAAUUUUCCCUUUUCUAAAUUAUGUUCAACGAUAUCAUCAUGGAGCUGCCUGCCACGCUUCUAUAAUUCAAUCUUGACUUACCUUGAAGAUCAUGCAUGCUUUUGUCUUCCACAUUCAUUUUUCCAAAUCUUUAAUGCAGCUAGAUGAUUAAUUGCAAAUUUAUGUUGAUUAACUCUUGUAUUUUUUUAUCAUGCACGAUACAAACUUAAACUCAAUCUUAAUUAUUUUACAAAUAAAAUUUUGUUAAAUUAACGACACUUCACAACAAGAAACUUUGGAUUAUUAUACAUAUGUUCUAUCAAAGGAAGUUCUACCGACAUUAUAAUUAUAACUUGGAUGAGUUAGACGAGCGAGAAGACUAAUUUGUUUCAAAUCUACUACCAACUUGUCCAACCCAAUCCAAAUCUAAUUAACUCAAGGUUGGAUCGAAAAUUAUUAACCCACUCCACGCCCUACACAACUGAGGUUCCCAUAAGUCACAAUGAGUUCUUACAAGUUAUUAAGUAAGAUGAUUAUUUUAAAGUCUAUUUCAAGUAAAAUAUAUUACAAAUACAGGUUUCCAUGGGUUGUCUAAACGAUUAAACUGUGGCAAUAUUAAUAUUUUAUGGUUGAUGGUUUUCUAUCCCAAGCACCAAGUUAACCCAUUUAAACCUUACCCACAUCAAUUGGAACUGGGGUGAACCCUUGAAGUUGCAGUCCAAAGAGACGUAAAUUAAGGUGUCCAUUAAAUUCAAAGAUUAAUAUUUAAUUACCUAAAACAACUUAUGAAAUUUUCUUUAUUUGAUGACUUAAAACUUAUCAUUUAAUCUUAAUUUUCAAGCAUCAAGAUUGUUUAAUAAAACUAAUUAAUUUUUUUUUAAGUUAGCUAUCAAGUUUAACAUAUUAACUUUUAUUAAUAUUAAGUCAUGACCAAUGAGAGAGACAAUUAAGGGAGCAAGAGAUAAUAGUUGUGAUAUAAAAUUGAUGAGAACUAUCUUGAAAACUGUUUUUGCUUUUCUUUUGACUUUUUUUACUCUAAGGAUCCUUUUUUGAUGAUAUAUGUAUGAUAAAAAAGUGAUUUUUAGAAAAACUUUUACCAAAUCUUUGUAUAAGAUGUGAUUUUAAAAUUUCUCAAAGAUAGUUUUUGAAACUUUAUCAAAUACAUAUUCAAAAUAAGUAGUUUUAGCAUUUUCAGAGUCACACCCAAAUAAACUUUUAGGCAUUCUUCACUUUAAAUAGCCUUAUUGAGUCUUAUUGACUAAUAAUACUAAUUAUAUCUAUCGGUGGGACAGCUGGGAAAUCCACGAAUGCAUGCGGUAUAUGUUGAAUAAAAUCAAUGUGUAUCAUACAUUACACAUUUAUAUUGUAGUAGUAAUAAUAGGAAUAUGGCUGUUUAAUUAGGCUACACUAGUAUGUCCAGUGAGAAAAAACAAGAGGAAAAUUGAAAAAUUACUGUUGGGUUUGCUCUGCAAGGAAUGGCCAGCACAACUAUAAAGCCAUUUAUGUAACGCCCAAGUUUUUUUUUAAAAGGGUAAUUUAGGAAAUUCAUAAUAAUGAUAUUAAAUUAAUUAAUUAAUUAAUUUAAUAAAAUGGAAGAGGGGUGAAAAUGUAAUUUUACGAAUAAUACCCUAGGUAUAAAUAGAAAAUUAUCUUCUUCCUGUUCUUUUCUGAAUCGUAUUCCUGUUCGCAGAAAGUUUUCAGAGAACGUGAAGUUGAGGCCAGAUUUCAAGGUUUGAAGAACAAACCUCUAUAGGUAAGAUUCUAAUCCCUAGAUUAUUAUUUUAGAUUCAUUAGUUAAUUUCAAGCACAUUAGAUAUAUUUCUUUUGGAAAACCCCAAAUCUAGAUUAGGGUUAGUUUAUUUUUUUUUUAAUUUGUUUUAAUAUCAAAUAGUGAAAAUUUAAGAUUUUGAUUUAUUAUUGGAAUUUGGGAGAUCUUAAGUUUUUUUUUUUUUGAAAAGAAAAAAAGAUUCCUAUGAAAAUUUCGAUUUAAAUUAGGGUUAGUUUAUUAUUAUUUUUUUAUUCGUUUUAAUAUCAAAUAGUGAAAAUUUAAGGUUUUGAUUUAUUGUUGGAAUUUGGGAGAUCUUAAGUUUUUUUUAACAAAAAAAAAAAAAAAAACCUAUGUGCACUAGUUGCAUGCGUGUGGGAACUAUGCAUCCACUUUUUUUUGUAAGGAUUUCAUGGUUGAAAUCUAGUUGGUGGAUUUUCACAUACUCUAUUAUUAGACUUUGAUGGAUACUUGGGUAUGUAAUAUUUAAUAGUAACAGAACUCCGUAUUGUUAGACUUUGAUGGGUACUAGAGUACUGAGUAUUGUAUUAUUUAAUAAUGGCAGGGCUUUGUGUUAUUAAAAACAAAUUGGGAAUUUGUUAAUUUAUUUAAAUAAGGAAUAGAUUAGUUAAAUUAUAGAUAAAUUGUAAUAGUUAUUCCUCUUAUAUUUUUUUAGGUGAAGAGUAAAUUUUCAAGAUUAUUUUCUCUUCAAAGUUUUUGAGGACUUCUUUUGAAAUAAGAGAAAUUAAUGUAGUUGUUAAAUUCUUUUUUAAAACAAUUAUAUAUAUAUAUAUAUACAUUAUUUGAAAACGUUUGAGUUAUAUUCCGUUUUAUGCAUAGAUCAAACCUGUUUUGCAUGAAAAGUAUAUUAAAAUUUUAUAUUAUGUUUUUGACAAAUAAAUGUGGAGAUAUUAUAUGUUGUAAAUUUCAAUAAAGGAAAUAAAUAUUUGACUCUGGUUUGUUUGGCCCUUGUCAACGGGAUUUAAUAGUUGACUUUUGGUCCUUGUCAAUGGGAUAUAAUAGUUGACCUUUACAUUUCUUGGUGGGGAAUGUAAUUGAUUUGAACCCCAGCCUCUAGGGGUUUCAGUUAGAGGUUACUAGUACUAGUAGUGUUUGGUUCCAUCCACCUUAAAGGAACAAUUUGAGGCUAGCCACCCAUUUGAAAAGUCCCACCUAACUGGGCACCCUUUGAUGUUUGAUGACCAAAGUAAAUAAAUUAUUGGAAUGUUUUGACUAAAUUUGAUAUGAAAUUGUUUGAAUCAGAAAUAAAUACAUACAGUUAGAAAUUUUGAAUGUAUUGGAAAAAAAAAAAAAAAAUUUACUCACAGCUUUAUGAAAAUGAUUGAUUACAAUAUCUCCUAUUUUGCAAGUGAGUUUGAAAUGUUUGAUCCAUGGACUGCAUUAAUGUUCCUUAUUGGGCUGUGAGCUCAUUCCCAUUUGUUGACUACUUUUCGGAUACCCUUAGUUCGGGUGAGGAGUGAUGGCUAGGUUAAGGAAUUGUCAUCAUUAGGAUUUGACUUAGGAUUUUAUGUUGGAUUUUGUUUAACUGUUAGUUGUGUUCAUUUGGAUCUUUUGGUAUUUGGAAGUUAUUUGGAUAUUGAUCCUUCAAAUUUUAUGUUAGAUCAAAGUUAAGUUUUGGAGAUUUCGAAAUUUGUUCUAGUACUUGAAUUGUUUAAGUUUGCAACUAUUUGGACAAUGGAUUUUGGAUAGUGGAUGUUUGAGUUUUGAAAUUGAAUUUUGAGGAUUUUAGAUUUUGUUCCGCUACUCUGAACAGAUAUUUGGUAAUUGGUAACUUUCGAUUACAAGAUAAUUGUUUGGGUCAGGUUACACUGUAAGCCUUCGGGUUUGAAGUGUGAAAUGACCGUCACGCCCUUGGAGUGGGUCUUGGGGCGUGACAAUUUACACCUCCACAAAUUGCAUACACCAUCUGUCUAAUAGGGCAACUCUUAAGGUAUCCUCCUCCUUUUUCGAAUGGCCGCACCAAUCUCACCUCUCUAUGAAAAAAUCCCCCAGAAAAAUACACUCCAUAGAGCCUUGGAAUUUACCAUCUUCUUCCUUCUCCUCUCUCUCCUUGCUUAUCGUCUCCUCUCCCUCAAAAACAAUGGUUUCGCUUGGCUCAUCGCCUUCCUCUGUGAGUCAUGGUUCACCUUCCUUUGGGUUCUUAACUUGAGCUCCAAAUGGAAUCCUGUGUCCUACAUAACAUACCCUGAACGCCUUCUACAAUGUUAUCAGUAUCCAAUAAUUCUCUUAGUAAACCUCUUUAUGUACUUUGGCGUUUUUUUCUGCCUUCAAUUUUCAUAUAUGACUAUACUCUUGAUUUUCUGAACAGAGUUGAUGAGCUUCCUCCAGUGGACAUGUUUGUUACAACUACAGAUCCCAUGCUGGAACCCCCUAUCAUCACUGUAAACACUGUCCUCUCCUUACUGGCACUUGACUAUCCAGCUAACAAGCUUUCUUGCUAUGUGUCGGAUGAUGGAGCUUCCCGUCUCACCUUCUACUCUCUCCUUGAAGCAUCUAAGUUUGCUAAGCUUUGGGUUCCUUUCUGUAAGAAGUAUGGUAUUCAAACCAGAGCUCCCUUUAGAUACUUUUCCACUGAGUUGGUAUCAUCGAAUGAUAAUUCGAUGGAGUUCCUACAAGAAUACAGAAAGAUAAAGGUACGCAAACUAUUCUAGUAUGAACCAUAAGUACUUGGUGCAAUUUAAUUUUUGCUUCUUUACUUUUAAUUACAAUUCUUAAAAUGCAGAUGAUUUGGAAUUUGGAAUUUUCUUUUCCUUCAGCAUAUUGAGUAUUGAUCCUUUUCUUUUCUGUUUAUACAUAAACCUUCUUCAGAAAAGAAUUCCACUAGCCAGUAUGUCAUUUCUCCAAAUAUAUCUCCUCUUCAUCAGUGUACAGUGACGCUUUGAUAAAAGCUUUUGCAGAUAUCUUCCUUGUGCUUAUACAAUUUUGUUCAUCUUCAUCUCUUUUAGGAAAGAUAUGAAGAGCUUGGACAAAAAAUUGAAGGUGCAACCCUAAAGUCAAUGCCGUAUGAGCUUAGUUCUGCAGAGUUCGUGGCUUUCUCAAAUGUAGAAAGGGAAAACCAUCCGACCAUAAUCAAGGUAUGUUUACUCAUUAUUACCAUUAUUAAUUAUAUAUAAAAAAAAUCCAACACGUGCAGCUAAUCAUAAGAGAUUAAAAUGAUUGUAUAAAUAUUUUGCCCGUGGAUUAGUAUUUAAAAAAAAAAAAAAAAAGAGUAACCAAUUUAAGCUAUAACUAUUUGGUUAACAUGAGAGAGCUAGGGAGUGGUGAUAUUCUAUAACCAUGAAUGGUGACUUUGUAGGUUAUAUUGGAGAACAAGGAGAGCCGCCCUGAUGGACUGCCACAUCUAAUUAAUUUAUGUAUCCAGAGAGAAGCAUGCCAGGCAUCCACUCCAUUACAAAGCCGGUGCCGUGAAUGUUCUGGUAAGGAAGCCCCUUGAAUUGUGGUAUAAUUACUGAUAUUCCUUCUUUUCCCCUGAUUGUUUCAUGAUAAACAGACCAGAGUCUCUGGAGUUAUGACAAAUGCUCCUUUCAUGCGGAACGUAGACUGUGAUAUGUACGCCAACAAUCCACAGAUUUUUCAUCAUGCAAUGUGUUUGCUCCUCGGUUCCAAGAAUGAACAGGACUGCAGGUUUGUUCAGACUCCACAAUGUCACGCCCCAAGACCCACUCCAAGGGCGUGAUGGUCAUUUCACACUUCAAACCCGAAGGCUUACAGUGUAACCUGACCCAAACAAUUAUCUUGUAAUCGGAAGUUACCAAUUACCAAAUACCUGUUCAAAGUAGUGGAACAAAAUCUAAAAUCUUCAAAAUUCAAUUUCAAAACUAAAACAUCUACUAUCCAAAAUCCAUUGUCCAAAUAUUUGCAAACUUAAACAAUUCAAGUACUAUAACAAAUUUCGAAAUCUCCAAAACUCAACUUUGAUCUAACAUAAAAUUUGAAGGAUCAAUAUCCAAAUAACUUCCAGAUACCAAAAGAUCCAAAUGAACACAACUAACAGUUAAACAAAAUCCAACAUAAAAUCCUAAGUCAAAUCCUAAUGAUGACCAUUCCUCAGCUUAGCCAUCACUCCUCACCCGAACUAAGGGUACCUGAAAAGUAGUCAACAAAUGGGAAUGAGCUCACAGCCCAAUAAGGAACAUUAAUGCAGUCCAUGGAUCAAACAUUUCAAACUCACUUGCAAAAUAGGAGAUAUUGUAAUCAAUCAUUUUCAUAAACCUGUGAAUAAUUUUUUUUUUUUUUUUGCCAAUACAUUCAAAAUUUCUAACUGUAUGCAUUUAUUUAUGAUUCAAACAAUUUCAUAUCAAAUUCAAUCAAAACAUUCCAAUAAUUUAUUUACUUUGGUCAUCAAACAUCAAAGGGUGCCCAGUUAGGUGAGACUUUUCAAAUGGGUGGCUAACCUCAAAUUGUUCCUUUAAGGUGGAUGGAACCAAACACUACUAGUACUAGUAACCUCUAACCGAAACCCCUAGAGGCUGGGGUUCAAAUCAAUUACAUUCUCCACUAAAAAAUGUAAAGGUCAACUAUUAUAUCCCAUUGAUAAGGGCCAAAAGUCAACUAUUAAAUCCCGUUGACAAGGGCUAAACAAACCAAAGUCAAAUAUUUAUUUCAUUUAUUCAAAUUUACAACAUAUAAUAUCUCCACAUUUAUUUGUCAAACACAUAAUAUAAAAUUCUAACAUACUUUUCAUGUAAAACAGGUUUGAUCCAUGCAUAAAACAGAAUAUAACUCAAACGUUUUCAAAUAAUGUAUAUAUAUAUAUAUAUAUAUAUAUAUAUAUAAAAUUGUUUAAAAAAAGAAUUUAACAACUGCAUUAAUUUCUCAUACCUUAAAAGAAAUCUUCAAAAACUUUGGAGAGAAAAAUCUUGAAAAUCUUCUCUUCACCUAACAAAAUAUAAGAGGAAUAAUUAUUACUAUUUAUCUAAAAUUAUAGGUUUGACAAUCCUAAAAUUUUAGGUAUUCAAAUUUUUUUUUUUUUAUAUUUAUGAAAGGUAGUUUAAUCUAUUCAUAUUUUAAAAAUUAAUAAAUUUCUAAUUCAUAUAAAAUUGAAUUUAUUUAUUUAUUUAUUUAUUUUAAAAUUUAUUUCUUGGGACACAACUUAAUUAAACUAUAAUUUAUUUCAAUAAUUAAUUUCUAUGUUAUUUAUUAACUUACGCUUAUAAUUGUAAUAUAAAAAAAAAACUUUACUUCCUUUUUAUUUAAAACUUCUAUUAUCUCAUUUUUAUUUUUAUUUUAACAUAAACUUUAUUCCCAACAAUACUUCAUUAUUGUCAAUAAAAUAAUAGACAUAUAUAUAUAUAUAUAUUAACUAACCACCCUCCAUACUUCUUAGUAGGAAAAUUAACUGAUGAGAGAUUAGAAAAAACAUUAGGAAAUUCAAAGGAAUUCACCACAACAGCUGCAAGGAUUUUAUCCGGGUUGAGUGGGAUUUCCCAUUGUCCAUAUGAUCUUUUGAAUCGGGUUGAGGCAGCCCAACAAGUUGCAACUUGCAGCUAUGAGUGUGGAACUAGCUGGGGUACAAAGGUGAGUUGCAAAUAUUUAGGACAACAAGAGUAGUACCUUGAAUAAAAUCCACGCUUCCUUUUUUACCUUAAGUUCAUACAUUUUUCAGUAAAAAAGGAUUUUCGUUUAUUUUAUUUUAUUUUAUUUUUAUUUAUUUAUUUUUUUUCUCAGUGAAAGUUACAUUAACUCUACUAUAAGGCAUUUUCACUGUAUAAUGGUUUUAGGUGCCUGAUGUUUUGUGAUCAGAUUGGCUGGUUAUAUGGAAUCACAACAGAAGACAUUCUCACGGGUAUGACGAUACAUGCAAAAGGUUGGAGAUCCACAUACUGCCAGCCUGAUAAAUAGCAUAAGUCAUGAUGAAAAAAAUGUCAUGAGAUAAAAAUGAACUUAUGAAGAAUAUAUGAAGUAGAUAGAAGAAUAUACGUAAUAAAUAGAGAUGUGAGAAAUAAUGGAAGACACUUGGUGAAGUUGGAUUAAAGCUUCCAUUGACACAAGAAGUGGCAUCAAAGAUUUGAUUGAGUAUUUUUGGAAGGACAACAAGAAUAGAACACAAAAAGGAUUACAAAAUAAAUUAAUUUUUGUUGAAGGUAAAAUUGAUUGUUUCUCUCACAAAAAUGUGAUACAAAAAGCAUGAGGAUCAUGAUGCAUGACAAGAUCAUGGUGCACGAAAGCAAUUGUGACAUGCAAGAAGAGCAUGGUACACAAGGAAGCUGGGUAUAAAAUAAGGAUUUGGUUAAGACAAGCUUUGUAAAAGAGUUUAUCCUAAAUAACUGAAAGAUUAACUUAAUAAAAUUUGAUCAAAGGUGAAGAUUGUUGGAAAACGUCUCAAAUUUCUAAUUAGUAUAUAUUUAUUUAUUUUUUAAAAUAUUUUAUUGAAUAUUUUCUAAAUUCAUAUGUCAUUAUAAUUAUAUUUUUUAUAAAAUAAGGAAAGUCAUUAGAAAAUAUCUAUAUAAAUAUUAUAAAUUACGAGGGGAAAAAUUAUGAAAUAAAGAUAAGCUUGUGAAGACUAUCCAAAGAUAUGAGGGGAAGAGUGAAUGAUACUAGAUGGAAUAAGAGGACUAAUUAUUUAAGGUACAGAUACAAAGAGUGAAAAAAGAUAAGAUAUUUACUGAUCUAAUAAUUAAUUUAUUUUUAUCCUUUAUAAUCAUUUCUAUAGUAUAGUGAAAUGCUAUUUGUCAUAUAUUAAUAAUAUAGACAUGAAUAGUCGAAAAACCUCAUGUACCUCUAUGUGUGGAUUAUUUGAUUUUUGUGUUCUUGCAUUAACAUGUUUCCAUUGAAGAUUCCACUUACACAACAUAGCUAGUGUUCUAAGAUAUUGGUCUUGCUUUGUUUUUGCUUUUCAUUGUCCCUUGUUUUAUUAUCAUUUUAUGCAUACUUAGCAUUAGUACUUCACCAACAUUUGUUUUGUUAUCAUUUUAUGGUCCUACUAGCUAGCUAUAUUAUGCAUACAUAACAUAUCAUUUCUAAUUUUGAUGAAAAUAACUUAAAUUCUAAAUGAUUUCUACUUUAAAAUGUUCUAAAGAUGCAACCAAAUAUACACUAUUAAUACGGGAUACCCACAUCCACCAUUUGCAAGUCAGCAGCUUUGGCACUGCUUUUUCUUGCUUGCAUCAUUACAAGUGAAAGAAAGAGUUUCUAGUAAGUCAAUUGAAAUGGAGGAAUCUUUACUUUGCUGAAGAGCAUAAGUAUUAAUCAAAUUUGUUGUGACAUGCAUUAUCGCAAUAUAUAAUUAAAUGUAAGAGAAAUUUUACAACUAUGCACCAUUUUACUGCCUUCUUGUCUCUAUCUUGACACUCUUCGUUCCCAAAUAAGACGGUAUUUUGCCAUUUUGCCUUUCAUAGUAGCCGCAGCUGCAACUUGGGGAAAUGAAAUCUUGGUGGUGUUAUUAAAUUAGGUUGACAAUUUUGUUCCAAAAUAAUUUGAUUUAAUGCUACCACUUAAGAGACUAAUCAACUUCAAGAGCAAGAUUGAAAAUUCAAGGAAGUGAAGUCGAUUAAGGUGAGUUGCAAGUUGGGCUUAUAAGGGUGGUGAUUCCUUGAUUUGCAUCACUUCGGUGUUCUUCUCAAGGUUUUAUUUCUUCUCUACUUUAUCCCAGUGCAAAUUGGUACCAGAGCAUUGGUUUCAUGGCUAGUCAUUGUCAUCACAAUUAGAAUCACUGUGUUCUUAAUGAACAUAUUAAGUUUUCUUUUCUUAAAAGUUAAGUUCUCUUUUCUUAAAUAGUUUUCAUUUAUUUUCCCAUAUGUAUAAAUUUUUUGUAAAGGUAAUUUAGAUUCAUUUUAGAAUUCAUAAUACUUAUGAAGUUUGUGUUCCAAUUGUUAUUAUUAUUAUUAUUAAUCAAUAAGAAGUUUAAAAGUAUUUAACUAAUGGCUCAUUGAUGAGAACUCUAAUGCACCUAUAAAUUGAAAAGCUCUUGGUCCCUCUCUCCACUCUUAUAUAUAUAUAUUUUUCAAAAGUAUUUCCUUAUUUCUCACUAAGGAGUGUAUAAAGGGGGAGCAAGAGAGUGAAGAUCAAGAGUGAAAGAUUUCAAAACUGUUAUUUCAAGAACUUUAAGUUUUUUUGAAAUUAGGAAUAUAAAUCAAGGUGUACUUUCUUCUUCACAUCCUAUAUAUAUAUAUAUAUAUAUAUAUAUAUAUAUAUAUUUUAACAUUUGGUAUUAGAGUGAGGUUAAUCAUUUGUGUGUUUAAUUUUUUAUUUGGAUAUAGAUCAAGAAACACUAUAACCUAAAGUUAUGGAGAAAAUCUCUUGAUGUGAAAUAUUAUAACUAGACAUUAUGAAUAAAUUAUUUUAUUUUUCAUAGCCCAAAGCUAUGAUAACAUUUAUACAUCUAUAACUAGAAGUUGUGAAUAAAAGCAUAUUUGCACAUAUGAUAGUCCAAAGUUAUGAAUAAAUUAACUUAAAUUACAUAACAUAAAAUUAUGAAUUAAAGAAUUUGUUAAUAUCAUAUAGGUUGGAUAUGGAAAAGCGUUGAUACUAAUUUGAUGGAGUAAUAAGGUUGAUAGAGAGAAACACAAACAAUUAAAAAAGAAGAUUAGUUAUAGUCUUCACUAGACUCUUCAAAUAUGCAAGUGGCAUUUAUAGAAGAACUAUCUUGGGGUUAUAAGUCGUGAGCUUGAGAUUGUGAACCAUUUGAUUUUGAAGAAGCCAUGCAAAACUAAAAAUGAAAUAAUAUUCAAGUAAAAUAUCUUUCAAAAGGGAAAGACAUUUGAAGUAAAAUGGAUGUACAAAAUAAAGAAGAAUACAAAAAGAGAAGUAGAGAAAUACAAAACCUCUCAAAUCUGAAGAUUUUAGAAGAUUAAGAACAUUAUUUGAAGUUACAAAUUAAGUUUAAGAGAUUAUAUAUGUUAAAAAAAAUUAAAAAAAAAAACUUGAGGAGAAAAGUUUCGAAUAAAGAGAUGUAAUUUGAUUUAGUUUCUAAAAGUCAAUUGAAAUAUUUUAGUUUGAGUGAUUCAGUCAUAUUUUAUUACUAGGAGUUUUUAUUUUGUUAAAUGCAAGCAUAUAUAAAAAGGUUGUAUAAUAUUUGAACAAAGUACCAUUGGAGGAUAUAUCAGAGGUGUUCAACAUCAGUGUUUUGGUUUGAAAUAGGUUCUCUGUUAGGGGUCAUUGUUGAAUGGUGGUUGUAGUGGGAUCCAUGUGUUGAAUAGAUGUUGUAGAGUUGAUCCAUUAUUGAAUGGGAAUGUUGACUCCACUUUUGAUGAAUGUGGGGACAAUAAAGCGAUGUUCUUUCCAAAGUAUAAAUGUUAAGCUACUUAUUAGCUUAGCUUUUAAUGUUGUAUAUCAAAUCCAUUAAUAGUUUGUUUGAUAAUGCAUUUUAAAAAUAUAAAAAAAGAAAAAGAAAAAAAAAUCAAUCAUUUAAUUAAAUUUUAAAAAUCACUUAUUAUUAUAUUUUUUUUAAAAAAAAUAAUUUACAAAUGAUUCUCUCAUAAAAAAAAAAUAUUUACAUUAAAAGUUUGUUUGAUAGUGAUUUUAGAAAUUAUUUUUAACAUUUUUAAUACUUAAGAGAUAAAAAAUUUAUAAGUGUUAAAAAAACUAAAAACAUUUCCUAAAGUUAUUAUCAACCACAUUAUAAGAGUGCAUUUAAGAAAAAUUUUAAAAAGCGAUUUUAGUACUUCUAAUACUUGAAUGAUAAAAAAUUUGAAAUAUUAAAAAUAUUAAAAAUGUUUCUUAAAAUUACUAUCAAACGGAUUCUAAAAACACUAAUAUAUUCAAGUACUAUUUAAAACUCCAUUUCAUGUGCUGCUCCACUUCUUGAGUUCAAUAAAUAGAAAAGAAAGGAGGUUUGAGUUAUAAACACUGAAAUAAAAAACUCUAAUACCAUAAGUCACUUAUCAGUUAGACAUAAAAUAUAUAGCAAUGAGUCAGCAUAAUAAAUCAAUCAGUGCUCAUGACUAGAAACAAUGCCUUAAUCUCAUUUGUCGCAUAGUGGUGAUUCUUCUAUACCCCACCAAACACUACAACUCAUCAUGGUCUUCGUCUUUCGUUUUUUCUCCGCAAGAAAAACUUUCCCAACUUCAAGUUCAACUUAAUGAUCAUAGAGAUGCCUUGCCUCAUGCUGUGCCCAGAAUACAAAAUCCCGCUUAUGUCUUACAUUUUGUGGUAGAAAAUGGCAUCAACAUCACACCACAUCAGUCUUGUUUCCACUACUGGAACAGAAUUUUCAGGCAGCCUCUAAAUACUGAUUUUUUCAAAGAUAGCUAGGUUCAUGUUCCAGGUCAGUUUCUGUGUUGUCAAUGAACAGUGGACCUCAGUGGUCUUCAAAAGUGUCACGGAGUUGGCUGCAAAGCAUGACCACUGUAACGUACAAUAUUAUCUGUAGGCCAUGGUUGCUUCCUCCAAGAAAAUUAUGUUAUGUCAUAAGUCACGGAUUUCGUUGCGAAGCUGCAAUAAUUCAAACUUACCUUUCUUUAAGACCAUGCUUGUGUCUACAUUCAUUUUCCCAAAUGUGUACGUUGAAUUUUUUGUCAUGUAGGGGCUGCGCACUUAAGGCAGAUAUCAAGUGAGUUAAAGAAUUAAUAAAUUAAGGUGACAUUUGAUAAAUUAAACUAAAAACUUAAUACUUAAUUGUUUAAGAUGAUUUUAAUAUGACUUUUACUAAACUUGAUGAGUUGAAAAUUAUUAUUAAAUCAUUAAGUUAAAUAUUAAAAUAGUUUUUUUAUUUUUUCAUUUACUUAUUACUUAUUUUUAAAAGAUUUUUACUAAAUAAAAAAUGAAAAUAUUCGUUUUUUUUUUACUAUAUAUUAAAAAUAACUUUUUAAAACAUUCAAAACAUGUUCUCAACAUGACUAUAAUUGCAUUAAUACUUAAUACUUAAUAAAAAUAAAAUAAUAAUAAAAACAAAGAAUUUAAUACUUAAUACUAUUAAUUGUAUUUAAAUUAACUUAUUUUUAUAUAUAGGUAAAAAACCAAAAGUAACAUUCGAAAGUAAAAACCAAAACACAAUUGAUUGUCUGAACACAUUUAUAAUGCAGUAGAACAGUUCUGUUGGCCAAUGAGAAAACGAAGGGAAAAACUAUGGUAGGGUAGCCAUCCAUGGAGUGGCCGAUAUGAAGGAGGGGAUAAAUCAAUCCAAACGUCCAUUAACACCUCCACAAACCACAUACACCAUCUGCCCAACAAGGCAACUUUAAGCAAUCCUCCUCCAUUAGAUGGCCAAACCAAUUCCUUCACCUCUCUAUGAAAAAAUCCCCCAGAAAAACACACUCCAUAGAGCCUCGGACGUCACCAUUUUCUUCCUUCUCCUCUCUCUCCUUGCUUACCGUCUCCUCUCCCUAAAAAACAAUGGCUUCACUUGGCUCCUCGCCUUCCUCUGCGAGUCAUGGUUCACCUUUAUUUGGAUUCUUAACUUGAGCUCCAAAUGGAAUCCUGUGUCCUACAAAACAUACCCUGAGCGCCUUCUACAAUGUUAUCGGUACCCAAUAAUUCUCUUAGUAAAAUUCUUCAUGUGCUUUGGUGUUUUUUUCUGUCUUCAAAUUUUAUAUAUGACUAUACUUAUGAUUUUCUGAACAGAGUUGAUGAGCUUCCUCCAGUGGACAUGUUUGUGACAGCUGCAGAUCCCAUGCUGGAACCCCCUAUCAUCACUGUAAAUACUGUCCUCUCCUUGCUAGCAGUUGACUAUCCAGCUAACAAGCUUUCUUGCUAUGUGUCCGAUGAUGGGGCUUCCCCUCUCACCUUCUUCGCUCUCCUUGAAGCAUCCAAGUUUGCUAAGCUUUGGGUUCCUUUCUGUAAGAAGUAUUGUAUUCAACCUAGAGCUCCCUUCAGAUACUUUUCCAGAGAGUUGUUACCAUCCCAUGGUAAUUCAAUGGAGUUCCUGCAAGAAUACAGAAAGAUAAAGGUACGCGCACUAUUCUUCGUAGGAAGUAGGAACCAUAAGUGGAGAUUAAUUACAUUAGUUCAACUUACUGCAAUUAUUUUUUUAUAUAAUAACAGUUAUUAGAAUGCAGAUGAUCUGAAACUAGAAUUUUCUUUUCCUUUAAUUUAUUAACUAUCUUUCUUUUUCUUUUUUUAUUCUUUUAUAUAUAUAAUCUCCUUAAAAAAUAAAAUAAAAUUCCACUAGCAAGUAGUUACGUGUCCAAGUAUAUCUCCUCUGCAUCAUGGUAUAAUGAUGCUUUACAUUUAAGCAAUUUUCUUUUUCUUCAUCCCCUUUUAGGAAGAAUAUGAAGAGCUUAGACGAAGAAUUGAAGAUGAAACCCUGAAGUCAAUAUCAAAUGAGCUUAGUACCGCAGAGUUUGUCGCUUUCUCAAAUAUAAAAAGGGGAAGCCAUCCAACUAUAAUCAAGGUAUGUUAAAAGAUACAACUAGCUGAUAUGUUUACUUAUUAUUACCAUUAUUAGGUCUAUUUGGAUUGAUUUCUCAUAUGCUAAAAAGCAAAUUUUUUAAGUUCACUGACAAAUUUUAUAAAUAUUUGAUAAAUUUUAUGCUUAUGGCUUAAGAAAGUGCUCAAUAUAAAAGUCUUGAAAAUGUCAUAUUCUUUGUUUAAUAAAAACUUUACGAUAUCAAUAUUACUUUUAAAAAAUUAUAAUCUUAGGUUUAAUUUUAUGUUGCAUAUAAAGAUAAAAACAAACAACCUCAGACAGGUUCUCAAUUAUUACAUAAUAAGGGACACUAAAGCUAAUUAUAUGAGAUUAAAAUGAUAGUAUAAAGCUAUUUGUUUUUGCCUUUUUCUAUAUUAUAGGUCAUAUGCAAUGAAAAUAGGAAUUAUGUCAUGAUUCAAAACAAAGAAGAGGGUUAGAAAAUACACAGGAUUUCCAACAAGAAAUUUAAAGAGAAGGAACCAAAAACUUGUUAGUUCAUAAUAAGCUUAAAUCCGACCAUGUAGGCGGUACAAAAUAAAAAACAUAAACUUAAAAACAAAACUUAAUUAAAACCGACCAUGUAGGCGGUACAAGAACAUAAAAUGAAAAACAAAACUUAAAAAACCAUCCAUAUAAGAGGUAAUCAAAACAUACUUAUAUUAUACAUAAGGAGAAAUAUCUUACAAUGGACAGGGGUAGGAAAGCUUGAAGAAAGCUUGAAAGCUUGAAGGGCUUACAUGAUGAGAGAGAAAGAAAAGAGAAUGGAGAACAUAAGCUUGGGAGAGAAACAGAAUUAAAAUGAAGCGUGCUUACAAAUGAGGACCGAGCCUCCUUAAAUAGGCAAAAAAGGAAUCUUGAAUAGUAACCAUGAACAGUAGACCCGUGCUUGAAUAGUGAAUAGUGAAUAGUAAGAUUCACUUUUAUACCGAAAUCCCCCAAAAAAACCCUCUUUCGGCUGAGAAGACUUCUGGCAGGCUGCUUUAUACUGUGUAGACACAAGCUUGCUACUUUUUGAACAGAAACACUAUAAAGCUUGAAAAAUAUUCUUGAUGGAAGACAAAAGGCUGAUGAUUACUUAGAUCUUCUUAUUGGAGGAAGGAUUCCUUCACAGUCAUCACCAUUGUCUGGAAGGUAGCUUGUUGAAUCAUCCGACUCUGCAUAAGAAUUUUCUUGGGGGAAACUUGAGCUUCCUUCUUCAAGGAUUUUCUGGAAAUCUUGAGGGGUCUUAGCUGCUACGAGCAUGGCUUGUAACUGUUGCUUUUUAAGGAGAAACUGAGACAUAUUAUCACUGGCUGAGACUUGUGUGGGGUUCUGGAGGAAAUACUGCUUAACUGUAUCAAUAGAUGCAUCAUUUUUUAAGGCAUCCCACCAUUUUGUUUUAAAGGUCCUUCCCAGAGAUGGAAAGGCUGCUGAUUCAUCUGUAAUGAUAAUAUAAUCCCACUGGACUAUCCAAGCAAGGCCAAAUUUGCUGAAGAAGAAUAGUAAAGGGGGAAAAGCUGAAAGUUCUCUGGGGAUAUCAAAAGAACUUCUAAAUAGCUCAAAGCCAUCCAGGAUGGGCUUGGGAAGAAUCUUAAUAGUUGGACCAUAAUAAUUCCACCAACUGUAGAACCAAAAUGGGAAAGAGGAAAGCUGAUUCUUAGAUGGAAAAUAGAACAUCCAUGAAUGAUGGAAGUCCCUAUUAUGGAUCAGAAAAGCAUUAAACCAUGCUCUCUGAUAAUCCCAAUAAUUAAAAAACCUUGGCUUUGAUGGUUCAGAAAAUUCCCUUGAAAGAGUAGGAUUUCCUCCCCAUUGCUUGAUAGUAAGAAUCUUAUAGAUAUGGUAGGUGGAGAAUGCCAAACUCAUAUUGCUGAAUUUGUCUGCAUUAUGCUUAAUUUUAACAGAACCAGUUUUUGUAAGGACUGCUUCAUAAAACUCUCUUGUUCUUAAAAUAUCACCAGAGAGAUAAUGAAAAUUUUAUUGAAAAGCUUUUGCAACAAUUUCUCUGGGGUUUUCAGAGAAAAAUUCUCUUUCUAUAACCAAAAGAGGUUGAUUUAAAUCAUUUUGCCAAUAUCUUGAUUUUGUUGAAAGAGGUGUGGGGUUGGCAGCCACCACAAUUUGCUUGUUUGAAAAAGAGGAGCUUGAUGCUAAUUCCUUUUGAGAGGGAUUAGCCUUAAUGACUUGCUUGAAGGUCUGAGACCCUGAAAUGGCUGGAUACUGAGUGGCCUUGACUGGAUUAGCUGGAUCGGAAUGAUCAUAGUACAAGGUCAUCAUCUUGUUAGGCAUAGGUUUAGAAGAAUGAAGCCUUGCUUCUUCUUCUUCAACUUGUUGGCUCCAUAGCAUUUUAUGGGGAGAAGGAGCUUGACUGGAUUGGGUUUUCUAGCUAGGAGCUUGGGUAUUCUUUUUAGGGGCCAUGGUCUCGUGAACCCUGCAAAUUUCAUGAGUUGAGUGAUUAGGAAUGAAACUUUCUCCUUUAAUAAUCUUGAUUUGAAAAUUAGGGUUUAAAAUAAUCCAAUCAAUUAAAUUAUACUUAAAAGAAAUAUACUUAAUUGUUUUCUCAGAUGUGAAAACAACUUUUAAAAUUCCUUGGUUCAAAAUAUCAAUUUGAAAUUUUGAAAUGCAUAAAGGAAUGCUUAAAAUAUCAUUUAUAAUGAGAUUAUGAAUGAAUUGGGUACCUAAUAUCUUAGGUGGAUCAUCUAUUCUAACAAUAUUAAUUUCUUGAUCACAUCGAGUGAUGUUUUCAAUAGGAUUAGAAAAUUCAAAAAGAAUUUCCUUAUCAAAAAACUUUGUUCUUAUACCUUGGUUAUCUACCCACAAUGGAUAAAUAGAGCUUAAGAAGGGUAUUCCUAGAAGGGCUUUUUCAUUAAGGUCCUUAACAAGGAUAAAGGUUUGCUUAAUACAGAUGUCAUGGUUACGGAUAUGAACAUCUGUUAAUUUAUACUUAAUGGCAAGUCUUUUGCCAUUGGCUCCAAAUAGAGACUGACUAGUCUCUUCGCAUAAAGGAAUAGGUACAAGACCUUCUUGAAGGCAAUUUUCAGCUGCUCCUGAAUCAAUCAAAGCAAUAAUAUCAAAGACAAAUUUAUCUUUGACUACUAUAGUAAGGGAGACUUCCCACCUCUGGAAGAUAACCCUACUCACAGUAUUCAAAAAAGUAUAUGUCUCAUUAUCAUUAACAUGAGAAGAUUCUGGAAUAUCCAUAAGGUUUCCUUGGUUGACCAUCUUAUUGAUUUGAUCUUGGAGAUCAGAGAGACCUAAACUUAUGAAUUGUCUUAACUCUUUAAUCUCCUUUUUAUGCUGCUUAACUUCUUCAUGAAGUUCCUUAAUGCUGACAUCCUUGGGAGACUGUUGGUCAAACCUGUUUAAGAUAUCAUUAAAGUUAUAAGGAUUAACAGUCUUCUUGGCUUCUACCUUGACAACAGAUUUCUUAAAAACUUCAUAAAGAUUUUGCUUAGUCUUUUCAUCUUCAACUUUUCUUAAAGUAUCUAGGAUAAAUUCCUGAUCUUGGCUUAUGACAUUUAUAGUUUUAGGACGGCAAUUACAAUUUCCUUUAAUACAUUCUGCUUAGUCACUAGAAGAUUGGCUGUAAACUUCACCACUACUGUCUAGUUGAUUAAUGUCAUCUUCAUUAUCUGAAUCAGUCCUUGAUUCAGAAUCUAAGUUUAACAUUACCUUACAAAGCAUAUUUUUUAAGUCAUCUGAGACACUUAAGUUAUUAAUCUUUUGCUUAACUCUACAAUCUUUUUUAUAAUGGCCAACUUUGCCACAUUUAAAACAGAUGAUUGGCUUGACAUCUAAAGGAGUUUCUACCUUUUUCUGGGUAUCUUUGUUGAUCCUUCUUUGGAUGUGCCUUGAAUGCUUAGUAUCAUUCAUCCUAUAGUUGUCAUGGGUACCUCUCUUACUGUGGUAAAACUUAUCUUUGUUAGGCUUCCUACUUGGUUUUUGCUUAGAGGGAGGCAUAGUUUCUUUUUGGCUGAAACCAAACUGGCUACAGAAUGAUCCAAAUUCAUUCUUGUAGAUUUUUUUGUUCAUUCUUCAUUUGUUGCUUAAGCUUGAAGUCAUUGCACAACUUAAUCCCUUCAGCUAUGACAAUGCUUAUAAUCUCACCAUAGGUUAACUUAUCAUAAGGGAUUUGACCAUUAUACUGUUCCCUUAUCUUGAUCCUAAUUCUCUCAGAGAAAAGCUUAGGUAAUCCUGAGAUGAACUUUUCUUUCCAAAAAGACUGGUUACAAUCUGAUCUUAGCAUGACUUUGGUUAGGAAGACUUUCUUAUACCACCUAAAAUCAUGAAGCUUGGGACACUUAAGGUUGGUUAAGAGAUCUGCAGUUUUAUCCUUAAUUUUUGCAGGAUCUCCAAUGAAGUGCUUGGAUAUUGAGUAGAUUAAAGUAGCCACUGCAUCCUCAAUAUCUUGGUCAUCUUCGUCCUUAACAACUUCAUUACUCUCAUUAAUCCUAUAGGCUUUAAGGAUACUAUUCCUAUCAUCAAAAGUGAGAUAAUUAUCCCACCAACCCUUAAGCUGACCUGUAAAUCUAGCAACAAUGGUCUGAGCUACAGCAUGAUCUGGCAGUCUAUUGUUUAAUUUAUAGGCUGUACUUACCAUGGUCAUCUCUUGAAGCUUAGUGAGUAUGUUAUACUCGGUCAUACCAUCUAUGUUCCAUUCAUAGAUAGUACCACUGGUGUAUGAGGCUUGAGUAUACUGAUUUCUUUCUUCAAACUGCAUGUCAGGAAAAGUAGGUCUAGGAUAAUAAUUCCUAGUCUUAAAGGCUUCCAAGUUGUUAAUAAUUUGAUUAUGGGGUUCCUCAAACAUCUUAAUUAGUUCAUCAGCUUCUUCUUCUGAACUAAUAUCACCUUUAACCAUAUUGAUUCUCUUAUCAGGCUGAACAGUCAAAGGGGCAACAAGAUUAUCCUUAAUCUUCUGAUUAAUCCUAUCAACAAAAUCCUGGUUGAUUUGGGGAUUUUCUUGGAAUUCCUUAGAAAAUUCAAAGGACUCAGUGCUCUUCGUGUUAUUAACACGCUUAUAAGGAUAAUCUGGAUAUUCCUCUUGUUUGAAGAUUUCAAACCAAAUCCAAAACUUAAUAUUUUUCUUUUCUUAUCUUAAGUAGGCAUAGAAUUCCUCUUGGUAAAUGGUUCUAAUGACCUUAGGGACAGUGCUAAAGAACCAAUCAUUUCUUUGCUUAUUGACUUCAGAAUAGAAGCCUUUUCUUAAGAGAUCCUUGUUGAUCUCAAAGUCCUCAUCACUUAGGCUUAUUGUGUUAAUCAUCUGGGAAUAGGUAGGAGACAUAACAUGGGACUCAUCCUGUUGGGAUUCCUGAGUAGACUCAUUUUCUUCACUGUAAAAUGGUCUAGCCACGUUGGUGUGACUUCUAACACCAGUUAGCUUAAUGUUCUUAGGGUUUCCUGAGCUGGAUCCUUCUUCUUCCCUAGUGGUUCUAACUGGGAUGGAAGAGCUUGAAGCUCUAGAGGGUUCAUAAACAUAAACUCUAGGGCUGCUGGAAUGUCUGAAAGAGUUGGAGAAAACCAAUUCUCCUCCUCCAUCAGGAUAUUGAACAAUUUGUUCAAUACUUUCAGAACGCUGUGCUAUGGCUGGAACAGCAAAAUGCCAAUUUUCAGGAAACUCAACAUCUUUCCACAAGAUCUUCUUGGGAAUGAUGAAAUCUGACUUAUCUAGCAUAUUUGAAUGAAAGUAAGUGGUCUCACCUUUAGGACUGGUGCAAAGAGCCCCAGAUCCAACGCUUGUGUUCAUGCUCUUAUAGGCAAACCUGGUUAUGAUAGAAACAGGACUGUUUCCUGGUUUGAUCAUAAAGCCAUGAGUCUUAAUAUGCAAAACAACGGAAUCUAAGAUGUCUGCAUCUCUUAUUUUAACUGUGAAGUUAGGAUAUCACUGGAAAUAAACUGGGCCAUCAUUCAGUCCAGCUUGGACUGCGCCUAUAAUAGAAUCUCGAUAUUCGAGAUGCCUAUUAUCCCUUAAACACAUGACAAUAGAGGUGUUUAAACCUAAUCUUGUCAAAGGCUUAGCUGCUACUUGAAUCAUACCAAAGUGUAUGAAAUUAUAGCCAUCUUUCUUAUGCUUAUCAAUGGAUCUGUUAUCUAGAAGUCUUAUGACUUGGUCAUCUUGUUCUAAGCUGACAGACAUUUCAGAGGUCUUAAUGGUAUAAUCUGUGAAGAACUUAAAGGUUCCUUUCUUAUAAAUUUCUUGAUUAGACACCUUGGGUAACUUCCAAUCAUCUAAAUCAUUUUGGAUCUUAGGAUAAUUGAUCUCUUCACUGUUUACAAUAGUAUCUUGAGAAUCACUGGAUCUCCUAGACAUGGUUAUGAAAAUUGAACUCAUUUUAGGGUUUUUGAACUAGAGCCUAAUAGCAGAUUGACAGACCUUAUGAGAUGUCACCCCAACCCUCUUACAGCCUAACAAACGCCUAUCCACGGCUAACAACGGCUCAACCGGCAAGGCUCGCACUCCCAGGCACACUGCUACCUAUCCUAGGAUAGGCCAAGAACACCUAAAACAAGACCCAACUUCCCUCCCACAUGGCUCUGAUACCAUAGACACCCAGGACAAGGUCAUAUGCAAUGAAAACAGGAAUUAUGCCAUGAUUCAAAACAAAGAAGAGGGUUAGAAAAUACACAGGAUAUCCAACAAGAAAUUUAAAGAGAAGGAACAAAAAACUUGUCAGUUCAUAAUAAGCUUAAAACUGACCAUGUAGGCGGUACAAAAUAAAAAACAUAAACUUAAAAACAAAACUUAAUUAAAACUGACCAUGUAGGCGGUACAAGAACAUAAAAUGAAAAACAAAACUUAAAAAACCAUCCAUAUAGGAGGUAAUCAAAACAUACUUAUAUUAUACAUAAGGAGAAAUAUCUUACAAUGGACAGGGAUAGGAAAGCUUGAAGAAAGCUUGAAGGGCUUACAUGAUGAGAGAGGAAGAAGAGAGAAGGGAGAGCAUAAGCUUGGGAGAGAAACAGAACUAAAAUGAAGCGUGCUUACAAAUGAGGACCGAGCCUCCUUAAAUAGGCAAAAAAGGAAUCUUAAAUAGUAACCAUGAACAGUAGACCCGUGCUUGAAUAGUGCUUGAAUAGUAAAAGUGAACAGUAAGACUGAACUGUAGCACUUUUGACUAUUGACUCGGAAUCUUGCUUUCGGCUGAAAUGACUAUUAGUCAAUUAAUCAAGGAGGAAUAUAUUCCGAGCGGUGAUCCAUUAGGAGUUGAGUAUCUUGAAUAGUGGAUUUGAACGCUAAAGGAUCAAUCUUUUUGCUGCAGAAGAUCUGAUGACGGGAAUCCGCAGCAAUGAGAUACCCCAUGUUUUUAGGGUAGGCUUCAAAGUCUCUGUUGAUAACUCUAACUCUCCAAUGCUUAAUUUGUUUAAUAAUUGGUUCGGCGCAAAUCUCAUUUUGCAAUAAGGGGUUUAACAAAAGUGUAGGCUUUCUAUUUUGAUAAUGAAGAUUAACAUAAUGCUGAGCUGGAAGAACAUUGCCAUUAGAAAUCCAUUCAGGAGCUUUGCUGAAGAAAAUGGCAUCUGCAAAUUUCUUAUUUAACUUAAAGCCUUGGGUUAAGCUUAAGUUAAUCUUUCUGCCAAAAUUGCUUGCUUGACUAGGAUCAGAACAAAUAAGCUGGUAGACUAACCCGUACUCAAGAAGCUUUUCAGGAGUUAGGGUUAUAACUCCUCCCUUGAAAGCGAUGUUAAUUGGCUGAUAAUGCUGAAGAUCAAUAGAGGCUCUACUGAUAGUGAAAUUUCUAUUGCAAUUGCACAAAUGCUUGUUGUCAUGCUGAUGCAGAAGUGGCUCACUAAUAUUUCUGCAAAUCUUUGAAUCAUCAAAUUCCAUCUCCUUAAUUAAAUUUAGUCCUGGAACACUGAGACCAGGAAUAGCUGAGAGAUAGAUAUGCAGAUCCUGAAGAUAGGCUGAAAUGAAAACUUGCAUUUCUUCUGCACUGGACUUGGCCUUUUCACAAAUUAGACGAUAAACAUCUGGCUUAAGAUUAUAUAGGAGUUGAUUCCUAUGAUGAAACAUUCUAAAGAGAAGGCAAUCUUGCUCUUCCUUACUUAAUUUUUUUCUCAUUCACCAAUGGGGUGAAUGGUUUUUUCUCACAUUUUUCCAGUGGGGAAAAAGAGGCUUGGCUUAUAUCUCCCUUAGGAAAGUUAGCUAUUUCUAGCAUUCUUUCGAGAUCCCUGCAUUUAGCCUGCAAAACAUGAAUACUUUUUUGAAUAGAUAAGGGGUUAGUAUCAAAAUUAGAGGAGUUUAUGGGGAUGGAAUCCUCCACAAAAGGUAGAGAAUCCAAACUAUUUCCUUCUUCCCAAGCAGGGGAGGAAGGAUGCUUAAGCACUGGAGGAAUGUAAGAAGAAGAUGAUCCAUGGGAAUCUGAGGCAUAAUACAUGGGUUUGAAUUUUUCUGAUAAGGCUGACUGGGAUUUCAUGUAGGAUGAUGGUUUCUUAAGGGAUUGCUUUUCUUUUUUGGGAGCCAUAUUCUCGGGAAUCCUGCAAAAAUUCACGAGUUAAGAAAUCAGGGAUAUAGUUAUUUUCUCCUUUAAUAUAUUCAAUUUGAAAAUCAAAAUUGCUUAAAAUAGCUUGCCAUCUAGCAAAUAUAUGCUUAGAAGCUAUAUUUUUAACAUCUUUUUUCAAAACUGAUUUUGUUGACAAACAAUCAACUCUUAAUAAAAAUUCUUGAUUUAAAAGAUCGUCUUGAAAUUUUGAAAUGCAUAAAACGAUGCUUAAAAUUUCCUUUUUGAUGGUGCUGUAGUUGAGUUGGGCAUGGUUCCAAGUUCCAGAAGUGAAUCUAACCAACAAUUCUUGAUUAUUACUUUUUUGCUUAAGAAUACCACCAAAACCUAUGUCAAAAGCAUCAGUCUCAAUAAUCUUAAAGGCUUUAUGAUCAGCUAAGGCGAGACAUGGUAAGGUUUUGACUCUAGAUUUUACUAUUUUAACAAUCUUGGUAUGAUCCUCAUUCCAAGGAACUGGAUUUUUCUUAAGUCUUUGUCUUAAAGGGGCACAUAAUUGGCUUAAAUCUUGUAUGAAAUCUGACACAUAAUUAAGGCUUCCUAAGAAACGUUGCAAUUGUUUCUUAUCCUUAAUCUCAUCAGGGAACUUAUCAGCAAACUCAAUUGAUCUUUGAAUGGGGGUGAAUGUUCCUUGGUGAAUAUGAUGACCUAGGAAUCUUACUUUAGUUUGGAAGAGGUUAAUCUUAGUGGCUGACAAGCUUAAACCAUUGCUCUUAACAGUCUCAAUAAAUCUAUUGAGAUGUUUCCAAUGCUGCUCAAUAGAAUCUGAGUAAAUCAAAACAUCAUCAAUGUAAACAAUAAUGAAAUCAGAAAACUGGUUAAAGAUUUCAUUCAUUAUGUUUUGAAACUCAGAAGGUGCAUUCUUAAGGCCAAAGGGCAUUACAUUCCACUCAUAAUGACCAAAUGGGACCACAAAAGCUAUUUGUACCUAUCUUUUUCCGCAAUCUGGAUUUGCCAAAAUCCUAAUUUCAUGUCAAACUUAGAGAAAACUUUGGACUUCCCUAAUCUUUGAAAGAGGUCUUUUUUUAUUUGGGAUAGGAUAUCUAAUCCAUCUUAAAACAUCAUUGAGGGGCUUAUAGUUGAUGACUAGUCUAGGUGUUCCUCUUUCUAGUUCAGCUUGUUUCUGAACAUAAAAGGCUGAACAACUCCAAGAGGAUUUAGACAUAAAAGGCUUGUUUCUGAUUUCAUUAUUGUUUACAUUGAUGAUGUUUUGAUUUACUCAGAUUCUGUUGAGCAGUAUUGGAAACAUCUCAAUAGAUUUAUUGAGACUGUUAAGAGCAAUGGUUUAAGCUUGUCAGCCACUAAGAUUAACCUCUUCCAAACGAAAGUAAGAUUCCUAGGUCAUCACAUUCACUAAGGAACAUUCACCCCCAUUCAAAGAUCAAUUGAGUUUGCUGAUAAGUUCCUUGAUGAGAUUAAGGAUAAGAAACAAUUGCAACGUUUCUUAGGAAGCCUUAAUUAUGUGUCAGAUUUCAUACAAGAUUUAAGCCAAUUAUGUGCCCCUUUAAGACAAAGACUUAAGAAAAAUCCAAUUCCUUGGAAUGAGGAUCAUACCAAGAUUGUUAAAAUAGUAAAAUCUAGAGUCAAAACCUUACCAUGUCUUGCCUUAGCUGAUCAUAAAGUCUUUAAGAUUGUUGAGACUGAUGCUUCAGACAUAGGUUUUGGUGGUAUUCUUAAGCAAAGAAGUAAUAAUCAAGAAUUGUUGGUUAGAUUCACUUCUGGAACUUGGAACCAUGCCCAACUCAACUACAGCACCAUCAAAAAGGAAAUUUUAAGCAUUGUUUUAUGCAUUUCAAAAUUUCAAGACGAUCUUUUAAAUCAAGAAUUUUUAUUAAGAGUUGAUUGUUUGUCAGCAAAAUCAGUUUUGCAAAAAGAUGUUAAAAAUAUAGCUUCUAAGCAUAUUUUUGCUAGAUGGCAAGCUAUUUUAAGCAAUUUUGAUUUUCAAAUUGAAUAUAUUAAAGGAGAAAAUAACUCUAUCCCUGAUUUCUUAACUCGUGAAUUUUUGCAGGAUUCCCGAGAAUAUGGCUCCCAAAAAAGAAAAGCAAUCCCUUAAGAAACCAUCAUCCUACAUGAAAUCCCAGUCAGCAUUAUCAGAAAAAUUCAAACCCAUGUAUUAUGCCUCAGAUUCCCAUGGAUCAUCUUCUUCUUACAUUCCUCCAGUGCUUAAGCAUCCUUCCUCCCCUGCUUUGGAAGAAGGAAAUAGUUUGGAUUCUCUACCUUUUGUGGAGGAUUCCAACCCCAUAAACUCCUCUACUUUUGAUACUCACCCCUUAUCUAUUCACAAAAGUAUUCAUGUUUUGCAGGCUAAAUGCAGGGAUCUCGAAAGAAGGCUAGAAAUAGCUAACUUUCCUAAAAGAGAUAUAAGCCAAGCCCCUUUUUCCCCACUAGAAAAAGGUGAGAAAAAACCAUUCACCCCACUGGUGAAUGAGAAAAAAUUAAGUAUGGAAGAGCAAGAUUGCCUUCUCUUUAGAAUGUUUCAUCAUAAGAAUCAACUCCUAUAUAAUCUUAAGCCAGAUGUUUAUCGUCUAAUUUGUGAAAAGGCCAAGUCCAAUGCAGAAGAAAUGCAAGUUUUCAUUUCAGCCUAUCUUCAGGAUCUGCAUAUCUAUCUCUCAUCUAUUCCUGGUCUCAGUGUUCCAGGACUAAAUUUAAUUAAGGAGAUGGAAUUUGAUGAUUCAAAGAUUUGCAGAAAUAUUAGCGAGCCACUUCUGCAUCAGCAUGACAACAAGCAUUUGUGCAAUUGAAAUAGAAAUUUCACUAUCAGUAGAGCCUAUAUUGAUCUUCAGCAUUAUCAGCCAAUAAACCUCGCUUUCAAGGGAGGAGUUAUAACCCUAACUCCUGAAAAGCUUCUUGAGUACGGGUUAGUCUGCCAGCUUAUUUGUUCUGAUCCUAGUCAAGCAAGCAAUUUUGGUAGAAAGAUUAACUUAAGCUUAACCCAAGGCUUUAAGUUAAAUAAGAAAUUUGCAGAUGCCAUUUUCUUCACAAAGCUCCUGAAUGGAUUUCUAAUGGCAAUGUUCUUCCAGCUCAGCAUUAUGUUAAUCUUCAUUAUCAAAAUAGAAAGCCUACACUUUUGUUCAACCCCUUAUUGAAAAAUGAGAUUUGCGCCGAACCAAUUAUUAAACAAAUUAAGCAUUGGAGAGCUAGAGUUAUCAGCAGAGACUUUGAAGCCUACCCUAAAAACAUGGGGUAUGUCAUUGCUGCGGAUUCCCGUCAUCAGAUCUUCUGCAGCAAAAAGAUUGAUCAUUUACCAUUCAAAUCCACUAUUCAAGAUACUCAGCUCCUAAUGGAUCACCGCUCGGAAUAUAUUCCUCCCUGAUUAAUUGACUAGCAGUCAUUUCAGCCGAAAGCAAGAUUCCGGGUCAAUAGUCAAAAGUGUUACAGUUCAGUCUUACUGUUCACUUUUACUAUUCAAGCACUAUUCAAGCACGGGUCUAUUGUUCAUGGUUACUAUUUAAGAUUCCUUUUUUGCCUAUUUAAGGAGGCUCGGUCCUCAUUUGUAAGCACGCUUCAUUUUAGUUCUGUUUCUCUCCCAAGCUUAUGCUCUCCCUUCUCUCUUCUUUCUCUCUCAUCAUGUAAGCCCUUCAAGCUUUCAAGCUUUCUUCAAGGUUUCCUACCCCUGUCCAUUGUAAGAUAUUUCUCCUUAUGUAUUAUAUAAGUAUGUUUUGAUUACCUCCUAUAUGGAUGGUUUUUUAAGUUUUGUUUUUCAUUUUAUGUUCUUGUACCGCCUACAUGGUCGGUUUUAAUUAAGUUUUGUUUUUAAGUUUAUGUUUUUUAUUUUGUACCGCCUACAUGGUCUGUUUUAAGCUUAUUAUGAACUAACAAGUUUUUGCUUCUCUUUAAAUUUCUUAUUGGAUAUCCUGUGUAUUUUCUAACCCUCUUCUUUGUUUUGAAUCAUGGCAUAAUUCCUGUUUUCAUUGCAUAUGACCUUGUCCUGGGUGUCUAUGGUAUCAGAGCCAUGUGGGAGGGAAGUUGGGUCUUGUUUUAGGUGUUCUUGGCCUAUCCUAGGAUAGGUAGCAGUGCCUGGGAGCGCGAGCCCUGCCGGUUGAGCCGUUGUUAGCCGUGGAUAGGCGUUUGUUAGGCUAUAAGAGGGUUGGGGUGACGUCUCAUAAGGUCUGUGAAUCUGCUAUUAGGCUCUACUUCAAAAACCCUAAAAUGAGUUCAAUUUUCAGAACCAUGUCUAGGAGAUCCAGUGAUUCUCAAGAUACUGUUGUAAACAGUGAAGAGAUCAAUUAUCCUAAGAUCCAAAAUGAUUUAGAUGAUUGGAAGUUACCCAAGGUGUCUAAUCAAGAAAUUUAUAAGAAAAUAACCUUUAAGUUCUUCACAGAUUAUACCAUUAAGACCUCUGAAAUGUCUGUCAACUUAGAACAAGAUGACCAAGUCAUAAGACUUCUAGAUAACAGAUCCAUUGAUAAGCAUAAGAAAGAUGGCUAUAAUUUCAUACACUUUGGUAUGAUUCAAGUAGCAGCUAAGCCUUUGACAAGAUUAGGUUUAAACACCUCUAUUGUCAUGUGUUUAAGGGAUAAUAGGCAUCUCGAAUAUCGAGAUUCUAUUAUAGGCGCAGUCCAAGCUGGACUGAAUGAUGGCCCAGUUUAUUUCCAGUGCUAUCCUAACUUCACAGUUAGAAUAAGAGAUGCAGACAUCUUAGAUUCCGUUGUUCUGCAUAUUAAGACUCAUGGCUUUAAGAUCAAACCAGGAAACAAUCCUGUUUCUAUCAUAACCAGGUUUGCCUAUAAGAGCAUGAACACAAGCGUUGGACCUGGGGCUCUUUGCACCAGUCCUAAAGGUGAGACCACUUACUUUCAUUCAGAUAUGCUAGAUAAGUCAGAUUUCAUCAUUCCCAAGAAGAUCUUGUGGAAAGAUGUUGAGUUUCCUGAAAAUUAGCAUUUUGUUGUUCCAGCCAUAGCACAACGUUCUGAAAGUAUUGAAAAAAUUGUUCAAUAUCCUGAUGGAGGAGGAGAACUGGUUUUCUCCAACUCUUUCAGGCAUUCCAGCAGCCCUAGAGUUUCUGUUUAUGAACCCUCUAGAGCUUCAAGCUCUUCCAUCCCAGUUAGAACCACUAGGGAAGAAGAAGGAUCCAGCUCAGGAAACCCUAAGAACAUUAAGCUAACUGGUGUUAGAAGUCACACCAACGUGGCUAGACCAUUUUACAAUGAAGAAAAUGAGUCUACUCAGGAAUCCCAACAGGAUGAGUCCCCUGUUAUGUCUCCUACCUAUUCCCAAAUGAUUAACACAAUAAGCCUAAGUGAUGAGGACUUUGAGAUCAACAAGGAUCUCUUAAGAAAAGACUUCUAUUCUGAAGUCAAUAAGCAAAGAAAUGAUUGGUUCUUUAGCACUGUCCCUAAGGUCAUUAGAACCAUUUACCAAGAAGAAUUCUAUGCCUACUUAAGACAAGAAAAGAAAAAUAUUAAGUUUUGGAUUUGGUUUGAACUCUUCAAACAAGAGGAAUAUCCAGAUUAUCCUUAUAAGCGUGUUAAUAACACGAAGAGCACUGAGUCCUUAGAAUUUUCUAAGGAAUUCCAAGAAAAUCCCCAAAUCAACCAGGCUUUUGUUGAUAGGAUUAAUCAGGAGAUUAGGGAUAAUCUUGUAUCCCCUUUGACUGUUUAGCCUGAUAAGAGAAUCAAUAUGGUUAAAGGUGAUAUUAGUUCAGAAGAAGAAGCUGAUGAACUAAUUAAGAUGUUUGAGGAACCCCAUAAUCAAAUUAUUAACAACUUGGAAGCCUUUAAGACUAGGAAUUACUAUCCUAGACCUACUUUUCCUGACAUGCAGUUUGAGGAAAGAAAUCAGUAUACUCAAGCCUCAUACACCAGUGGUACUAUCUAUGAAUGGAACAUAGAUGGUAUGACCGAGUAUAACAUACUCACUAAGCUUCAAGAGAUGACCAUGGUAAGUACAGCCUAUAAAUUAAACAAUAGACUGCCAGAUCAUGCUGUAGCUCAGACCAUUGUUGCUAGGUUUACAGGUCAGCUUAAGGGUUGGUGGGAUAAUUAUCUCACUUUUGAUGAUAGGAAUAGUAUCCUUAAAGCUUAUAGGAUUAAUGAGAGUAAUGAAGUUGUUAAGGGCGAAGAUGGCCAAGAUAUUGAGGAUGUAGUGGCUACUUUAAUCUACUCAAUAUCCAAGCACUUCAUUGGAGAUCCUGCAAAAAUUAAGGAUAAAACUGCAGAUCUCUUAACCAACCUUAAGUGUCCCAAGCUUCAUGAUUUUAGGUGGUAUAAGGAAGUCUUCCUAACCAAAGUCAUGCUAAGAUUAGAUUGUAACCAGUCUUUUUGGAAAGAAAAGUUCAUCUCAGCAUUACCCAAGCUUUUCUCUGAGAGAAUUAGGAUCAAGAUAAGGGAACAGUAUAAUGGUCAAAUCCCUUAUGAUAAGUUAACCUAUGGUGAGAUUAUAAGCAUUGUCACAGCUGAAGGGAUUAAGUUGUGCAAUGACUUCAAGCUUAAGCAACAAAUGAAGAAUGAACAAAAAAAUCUACAAGAAUGAAUUUGGAUCAUUCUGUAGCCAGUUUAGUUUCAGCCAAAAAGAAAUUAUGCCUCCCUCUAAGCAAAAACCAAGUAGGAAGCCUAGCAAAGAUAAGUUUUACCACAGUAAGAGAGGUACCCAUGACAACUAUAGGAUGAAUGAUACUAAGCAUUCAAGGCACGUCCAAAGAAGGAUCAACAAAGAUACCCAGAAAAAGGUAGAAACUCCUUUAGAUGUCAAGCCUAUCAUCUGUUUUAAAUGUGGCAAAGUUGGCCAUUAUAAAAAAGAUUGUAGAGUUAAGCAAAAGAUUAAUAACUUAAGUGUCUCAGAUGACUUAAAAAAUAUGCUUUGUAAGGUAAUGUUAAACUCAGAUUCUGAAUCAAGGACUGAUUCAGAUAAUGAAGAUGACAUUAAUCAACUAGACAGUAGUGGUGAAGUUUCCAGCCAAUCUUCUAGUGACCAAGCAGAAUGUAUUAAAGGAAAUUGUAAUUGUCGUCCUAAAACUAUAAAUGUCAUAAGCCAAGAUCAGGAAUUUAUCCUAGAUACUUUAAGAAAAGUUGAAGAUGAAAAGACUAAGCAAAAUCUUUAUGAAGUUUUUAAAAAAUCUGUUGUCAAGGUAGAAGCCAAGAAGACUGUUAAUCCUUAUAACCUUAAUGAUAUCUUAAACAGGUUUGACCAACAGUCUCCCAAGGAUGUCAGCAUUAAGGAACUUCAUGAAGAAGUUAAGCAGCAUAAAAAGGAGAUUAAAGAGUUAAGACAAUUCAUAAGUUUAGGUCUCUCUUAUCUCCAAGAUCAAAUCAAUAAGAUGGUCAACCAAGGAAACCUUAUGGAUAUUCCAGAAUCUUCUCAUGUUAAUGAUAAUGAGACAGAUACUUUUUUGAAUACUGUGAGUAGGGUUAUCUUCCAGAGGUGGGAAGUCUCCCUUACUAUAGUAGUCAAAGAUAAAUUUGUCUUUGAUAUUAUUGCUUUGAUUGAUUCAGGAGCAGCUGAAAAUUGCCUUCAAGAAGGUCUUGUACCUAUUCUUUUAUGCGAAGAGACUAGUCAGUCUCUAUUUGGAGCCAAUGGCAAAAGACUUGCCAUUAAGUAUAAAUUAACAGAUGUUCAUAACCGUAACCAUGACAUCUGUAUUAAGCAAACCUUUAUCCUUGUUAAGGACCUUAAUGAAAAAGCCCUUCUAGGAAUACCCUUCUUAAGCUCUAUUUAUCCAUUGUGGGUAGAUAACCAAGGUAUAAGAACAAAGCUUUUUGAUAAGGAAAUUCUUUUUGAAUUUUCUAAUCCUAUUGAAAACAUCACUCGAUGUGAUCAAGAAAUUAAUAUUGUUAGAAUAGAUGAUCCACCUAAGAUAUUAGGUACCCAAUUCAUUCAUAAUCUCAUUAUAAAUGAUAUUUUAAGCAUUCCUUUAUGCAUUUCAAAAUUUCAAAUUGAUAUUUUGAACCAAGGAAUUUUAAAAGUUGUUUUCACAUCUGAGAAAACAAUUAAGUAUAUUUCUUUUAAGUAUAACUUAAUUGAUUGGAUUAUUUUAAACCCUAAUUUUCAAAUCAAGAUUAUUAAAGGAGAAAGUUUCAUUCCUAAUCACUCAACUCAUGAAAUUUGCAGGGUUCACGAGACCAUGGCCCCUAAAAAGAAUACCCAAGCUCCUAGCCAGAAAACCCAAUCCAGUCAAGCUCCUUCUCCCCAUAAAAUGCUAUGGAGCCAACAAGUUGAAGAAGAAGAAGCAAGGCUUCAUUCUUCUAAACCUAUGCCUAACAAGAUGAUGACCUUGUACUAUGAUCAUUCCGAUCCAGCUAAUCCAGUCAAGGCCACUCAGUAUCCAGCCAUUUCAGGGUCUCAGACCUUCAAGCAAGUCAUUAAGGCUAAUCCCUCUCAAAAGGAAUUAGCAUCAAGCUCCUCUUUUUCAAACAAGCAAAUUGUGGUGGCUGCCAACCCCACACCUCUUUCAACAAAAUCAAGAUAUUGGCAAAAUGAUUUAAAUCAACCUCUUUUGGUUAUAGAAAGAGAAUUUUUCUCUGAAAACCCCAGAGAAAUUGCUGCAAAAGCUUUUCAAUAAAAUUUUCAUUAUCUCUUUGGUGAUAUUUUAAGAACAAGAGAGUUUUAUGAAGCAGUCCUUACAGAAAUUGGUUUUGUUAAAAUUAAGCAUAAUGCAAACAAAUUCAGCAAUAUGAGUUUGGCAUUCUCCACCUGCCAUAUCUAUAAGAUUCUUACUGUCAAGCAAUGGGGAGGAAAUCCUACUCUUUCAAGGGAAUUUUCUGAACCAUCAAAGCCAAGGUUUUUUAAUUAUUGGGAUUAUCAGAGAGCAUGGUUUAAUGCUUUUCUGAUCCAGAAUAGGGACUUCCAUCAUUCAUGGAUGUUCUAUUUUCCAUCUAAGAAUCAGCUUUCCUCUUUCCAAUUUUGGUUCUACAGUUGGUGGAAUUAUUAUGGUCCGACUAUUAAGAUUCUUCCCAAGCCCAUCCUGGAUGGCUUUGAGCUAUUCAGAAGUUCUUUUGAUAUCCCCAGAGAACUUUCAGCUUUUCCCCCUUUACUAUUCUUCUUCAGCAAAUUUGGCCUUGCUUGGAUAGUCCAGUGGGACUAUAUUAUCAUUACAGAUGAAUCAGCAGUCUUUCCAUCUCUGGGAAGGACCUUUAAAACAAAAUGGUGGGAUGCCUUAAAAAAUGAUGCAUCUAUUGAUAUAGUUAAGCAGUAUUUCCUCCAGAACCCCACACAAGUCUCAGCCAGUGAUAAUAUGUCUCAGUUUCUCCUUAAAAAGCAACAGUUACAAGCCAUGCUCACAGCAGUUAAGACCCCUCAAGAUUUCCAGAAAAUCCUUGAAGAAGGAAGCUCAAGUUUCUCCCAAGAAAAUUCUUAUGCAGAGUCGGAUGAUUCAACAAGCUACUUUCCAGACAAUGGUGAUGACUGUGAAGGAAUCAUUCCUCCAAUAAGAAGAUCUAAGUAAUCAUCAGCCUUUGUCUUCCGUCAAGAAUAUUUUUCAAGCUUUACAGUGUUUCUAUUCAAAAAGCAGCAAGCUUGUGUCUACAUAGUAUAAAGCAGCCUGUCAGAAGUCUUCUCAGCCGAAAGAGGGUUUUUUGGGGGAUUUCGGUAUAAAAGUGAAUCUUACUAUUCACUAUUCACUAUUCAAGCACGAGUCUACUGUUCAUGGUUACUAUUUAAGAUUCCUUUUUUGCCUAUUUAAGGAGGCUCGGUCCUCAUUUGUAAGCACGCUUCAUUUUAGUUCUGUUUCUCUCCCAAGCUUAUGCUCUCCCUUCUCUCUUCUUUCUCUCUCAUCAUGUAAGCCCUUCAAGCUUUCAAGCUUUCUUCAAGCUUUCCUACCCCUGUCCAUUGUAAGAUAUUUCUCCUUAUGUAUAAUAUAAGUAUGUUUUGAUUACCUCCUAUAUGGAUGGUUUUUUAAGUUUUGUUUUUCAUUUUAUGUUCUUGUACCGCCUACAUGGUUGGUUUAAAUUAAGUUUUGUUUUUAAGUUUAUGUUUUUUAUUUUGUACCGCCUACAUGGUCGAUUUUAAGCUUAUUAUGAACUAACAAGUUUUUGGUUCCUUCUCUUUAAAUUUCUUGUUGGAUAUCCUGUGUAUUUUCUAACCCUCUUCUUUGUUUUGAAUCAUGGCAUAAUUCCUGUUUUGGGUGUCUAUGGUAUCAGAGCCAUGUGGGAGGGAAGUUGGGUCUUGUUUUGGGUGUUCUUGGCCUAUCCUAGGAUAGGUAGCAGUGUGCCUGGGAGUGCGAGCCCUGCCGGUUGACCUGUUGUUAGCCGUGGAUAGGCGUUUGUUAGGCUGUAAGAGGGUUGGGGUGACGUCUCAUAAGGUCUGUCAAUCUGCUAUUAGGCUCUAGUUCAAAAACCCUAAAAUGAGUUCAAUUUUCAGAACCAUGUCUAGGAGAUCCAGUGAUUCUCAAGAUACUGUUGUAAACAGUGAAGAGAUCAAUUAUCCUAAGAUCCAAAAUGAUUUAGAUGAUUGGAAGUUACCCAAGGUGUCUAAUCAAGAAAUUUAUAAGAAAAGAACCUUUAAGUUCUUCACAGAUUAUACCAUUAAGACCUCUGAAAUGUCUGUCAACUUAGAACAAGAUGACCAAGUCAUAAGACUUCUAGAUAACAGAUCCAUUGAUAAGCAUAAGAAAGAUGGCUAUAAUUUCAUACACUUUGGUAUGAUUCAAGUAGCAGCUAAGCCUUUGACAAGAUUAGGUUUAAACACCUCUAUUGUCAUGUGUUUAAGGGAUAAUAGGCAUCUCGAAUAUCGAGAUUCUAUUAUAGGUGCAGUCCAAGCUGGACUGAAUGAUGACCCAGUUUAUUUCCAGUGUUAUCCUAACUUCACAGUUAGAAUAAGAGAUGCAGAAAUCUUAGAUUCCGUUGUUCUGCAUAUUAAGACUCAUGGCUUUAAGAUCAAACCAGGAAACAGUCCUGUUUCUAUCAUAACCAGGUUUGCCUAUAAGAGCAUGAACACAAGUGUUGGAUCUGGGGCUCUUUGCACCAGUCCUAAAGGUGAGACCACUUACUUUCAUUCAGAUAUGCUAGAUAAGUCAGAUUUCAUCAUUCCCAAGAAGAUCUUGUGGAAAGAUGUUGAGUUUCCUGCAAAUUGGCAUUUUACUAAUGCUGUUCCAGCCAUAGCAUAGCAUUCUGAAAGUAUUGAACAAAUUGUUCAAUAUCCUGAUGGAGGAGGAGAACUGGUUUUCUCCAACUCUUUCAGACAUUCCAACAGCCCUAGAGUUUCUGUUUAUGAACCCUCUAGAGCUUCAAGCUCUUCCAUCCCAGUUAGAACCACUAGGGAAGAAGAAGGAUCCAGCUCAGGAAACCCUAAGAACAUUAAGCUAACUGGUGUUAGAAGUCACACCAAUGUGGCUAGACCAUUUUACAGUGAAGAAAAUGAGUCUACUCAGGAAUCCCAACAGGAUGAGUCCCCUGUUAUGUCUCCUACCUAUUCCCAGAUGAUUAACACAAUAAGCCUAAGCGAUGAGGACUUUGAGAUCAACAAGGAUCUCUUAAGAAAAGACUUCUAUUCUGAAGUCAAUAAGCAAAGAAAUGAUUGGUUCUUUAGCACUGUCCCUAAGGUCAUUAGAACCAUUUACCAAGAAGAAUUCUAUGCCUACUUAAGACAAGAAAAGAAAAAUAUUAAGUUUUGGAUUUGGUUUGAACUCUUCAAACAAGAGGAAUAUCCAGAUUAUCCUUGUAUGCGUAUUAACAACACCUCUACAAAAGCUAAGAUAUGGAAAACGAGUGACAACAUUGUUAUAGAAUCCAUUCAUCCUCCUGAAGCUAAGAUAGAAAAGAAUAUUAAUGGAACCAUAGUCACAGCUUCACCUUUUAAGACUAAGCCAGAGGAUAAAGGAACUGCUAGUGCAUCCGAUAUUAGAAGGAUUAUGGAACAAAUCAAUUAUACUAAUAUGUUUCUCAUAACCCUUGGAAAUCAAGUCAGCCGAGUUGAGGAGAUUAUUGAAACUCAGGAUCACCUUAAGAAGCCUUUUGUUAAGAAUGAUAAUAAGCCUUUGUUUAAGCCUUUUGAAUUAUCUAAGAAAUUCCAGGAAAAUCCUCAAAUUGAUCAAGCUUUCAUUGAUAGAAUAAGCCAAAAGGUUAAAGAUAAUCUUGUUAUCCCUGAAACACCUCAAACUUUUACUAUCCAUGAAACACUUCUACCUUCCCAUAGGAGAAUCCUUUUGGUUAAAAGGAAUAUUAGUCCAAAAGCAAAGGAUAAUGGACUAAUUAGGCUAACCAGAGAACCUUCUAUCCAAAACACUUUUAAGGAUCAUGAUGAUAAACAAGAGAAAAGGAUUAUCCUUAAUGCCCUGACUAUUAAAGAUCUUCAAGAAGAAAUAGGACAGUAUAAGAAGGAUAUUGAGAACCUAAGACAACCUACAAGCUUAGAAAUCCCUAUCCCUCAGGAUUAUAUCAACAGGGUAGGUUUUUACCACAGUAGUCCUAAAAAGGAAGACUUUGAAGAAGUUCUUGAAUCUUCACAAGAUAAUAGUGAUAAGAUAAAUGCAUACUUAAAUACUAUUAGUAAAGUUAUCUUCCAACUGUGGGAAGUCUCCCUUACUAUAGUAAUUAAGAAUAAAUUUAUCCUUGAUAUUAUUGCUUUAAUUGAUUCAGGUGCAGCUUUGAAUUGUCUACAAGAAGGUCUUGUACCUACCCAAUUUUAUGAGAAAACUAGGCAAGCCCUCUUUAGUGCUAAUGGUAAAAAGCUUAUUAUCAAGUACAAGCUAUCGAAUGCCCAUAUUUGUAACCAAGGCAUUUACAUUAAGCAAACCUUCAUUCUUGUUAAAGAUCUCAAGGAGAAAGUUCUCCUUGGAGUCCCUUUCUUAAGCUCCAUCUUUCCCUUGUGGGUAGAUGAUCAAGGUAUAAGAACCAAGCUUUUAGAUAAGGAAAUUCUGUUUGAAUUUGCCAAUCCACCUGGAGAAAGAAGUAUAAACACCAUAAAAGAUCAGGUGAUUAAGGCUAAGCAAAAUCAUAUUAAUCUCUUAAAGCAAGAGAUUGCUCUGGUUAGAAUAGAAGAUCAAUUGAAGGUUAAGAAAACCCAAGAUGCCAUAGAAAGCCUUAAGAAUAAGAUUAUUAAGGAAGUAUGUUCUAACAUUCCUAAUGCUUUUUGGCACAAGAAGCAGCAUGAGGUAGAAUUACCUUAUGAGCCUGAUUUUAGUGAGAAAAAAAUUCCCACUAAAGCAAGACCAAUCCAAAUGAACAAGGAUUUAUUAAGCUAUUGUGAAAAGGAAAUCCAGGAUCUCUUAGAUAAGAAGUUGAUAAAACUUAAUUAAAACCGACCAUGUAGGCGGUACAAGAACAUAAAAUGAAAAACAAAACUUAAAAAACCAUCCAUAUAGGAGGUAAUCAAAACAUACUUAUAUUAUACAUAAGGAGAAAUAUCUUACAAUGGACAGGGGUAGGAAAGCUUGAAGGGCUUACAUGAUGAGAGAGAAAGAAGAGAGAAGGGAGAGCAUAAGCUUGGGAGAGAAACAAAACUAAAAUGAAGCGUGCUUACAAAUGAGGACCGAGACUCCUUAAAUAGGCAAAAAAGGAAUCUUAAAUAGUAACCAUGAACAGUAGACCCGUGCUUGAAUAGUAAAAGUGAACAGUAGACUGAACUGUAGCACUUUUGACUAUUGACCCGGAAUCUUGCUUUCAGCUGAAAUGAUUGCUAGUCAAUUAAUCAGGGAGGAAUAUAUUCCGAGCGGUGAUCCAUUAGGAGCUGAGUAUCUUGAAUAGUGGAUUUGAACGGUAAAGGAUCAAUCUUUUUGCUGCAGAAGAUCUGAUGACGGGAAUCCGCAGCAAUGAGAUACCCCAUGUUUUAAGGGUAGGCUUCAAAGUCUCUGCUGAUAACUCUAGCUCUCCAAUGCUUAAUUUGUUUAAUAAUUGGUUUGGCGCAAAUCUCAUUUUGCAAUAAGGGGUUGAACAAAAGUGUAGGCUUUCUAUUUUGAUAAUGAAGAUUAACAUAAUGCUGAGCUGGAAGAACAUUGCCAUUAGAAAUCCAUUCAGGAGCUUUGCUGAAGAAAAUGGCAUCUGCAAAUUUCUUAUUUAACUUAAAGCCUUGGGUUAAGCUUAAGUUAAUCUUUCUGCCAAAAUUGCUUGCUUGACUAGGAUCAGAACAAAUAAGCUGGUAGACUAACCUGUACUCAAGAAGCUUUUCAGGAGUUAGGGUUAUAACUCCUCCCUUGAAAGCGAGGUUAAUUGGCUGAUAAUGCUGAAGAUCAAUACAGGCUCUACUGAUAGUGAAAUUUCUAUUGCAAUUGCACAAAUGCUUGUUGUCAUGCUGAUGCAAAAGUGGCUUGCUAAUAUUUCUGCAAAUCUUUGAAUCAUCAAAUUCCAUCUCCUUAAUUAAAUUUAGUCCUAGAACACUGAGACCAGGAAUAGCUGAGAGAUAGAUAUGCAGAUCCUGAAGAUAGGCUGAAAUGAAAACUUGCAUUUUUUCUGCACUGGACUUGGCCUUUUCACAAAUUAGACGAUAAACAUCUAGCUUAAGAUUAUAUAGGAGUUGAUUCCUAUGAUGAAACAUUCUAAAGAUAUAUAUAUAUAUAUAUAAAGGUAACUUUUUUAAUUAAUAAAAAAUUGUCAUAUGAAAAAAAGUCUCAUCUCUCUGUACAUUGAUUUAUACUCCAUUUCUUUGUACUUGUUGUAUGGUUAGAUUAAAAGUUCAAUAUGAUACUAAAUUUAAUAAGCUUGCCAUGAUCUCUAGUUAUACACAAAAUUAAAUAACAUUAAUUUUGCCAGUGGAUUAGUAUUUUUUUUUUUUAAAGGCAACCAAUUUAAGCUAUAACCAUUUGGUUACAACAUGAGAGGGCUAGGGAGUGGUGGUAGAGGAAGUAUUUGACAACAUUUCUAUAACCAUGAAUGGUGACUUUGUAGGUUAUAUUGGAGAACAAGGAGAGCCGCUCUGAUGGGUUGCCACAUCUAGUCUAUGUAUCCAGAGAGAAGCAUCCCAAGCAUCCACACCAUUACAAAGCGGGUGCCAUGAAUGUUCUGGUAAGGAAGCCCCUUGAAUUGGUAUAAUUACUGAUAUUCCUUCUUUUCCCCUGAUUAUUUCAUGAUAAACAGACCAGAGUCUCUGGAGCUAUGACAAAUGCUCCUUUCAUGCUGAACGUAGACUGUGAUAUGUACGCAAACAAUCCACAGAUUUUUCAUCAUUCAAUGUGUUUGCUCCUCAGUUCCAAGAAUGAACAGGACUGCGGGUUUGUUCAGACUCCACAAUCCUUCUAUGAUGGACUAAAGGACGACCCAUUUGGAAAUCAGUUUGGAGUUUUGUAUAAGGUAUGCCAAAUUUCAAUAGUGAAGAGUGAUCUCUUCCAUACUAUAGAGCACACGUACUAGAAGCCUCUUUUAUUUUUUCAUUAAUUGAUAUCUUUGCUGAAUCAGUAUGUAGCAAGUGGAAUAGCAGGGCUUCAAGGACCUCAUUAUUCUGGAACGGGAUGUUUUCAUCGAAGAAAAGUUAUCUAUGGGUUAUGGCCAGAUGGAAGGAUGGAGUUCAAAGGAAGAAUUGGUAUGCAGUCAAUUUAUUUGUCUUAUGUAUCCUUUUAAUUUCCUUACAGGGAUCUUAAAAUGUUAUAUGAAACUAAGCAUUACAGUUUUCUCUACUUUUUGGUAGGAAAAUUAACAGACGAGAGAUUAGAAAAAACAUUCGGAAAUUCAAAGGAAUUCACAAAAACAGCUGCAAGGAUUUUAUCAGGGUUGAGCGGGGUUUCGGAUUGUCCAUAUGAUCUUUCGAAUCGGGUUGAGGCAGCACACCAAAUUGCAAGUUGCAGCUAUGAGUAUGGAGCUAACUGGGGUACAAAGGUGAGCAGCCAAUAGUUAGAACAACAAGAAUAGUACCUCAAAUGAUACCUUUAGUUCAACCAUUUUUCAUUAAAUAAGGAUCUAUUUUUAUUUUUUUAUUUUGAAAAGAAACUUAACUAGAAGUUACAUGCAUUAUGUGACUAUCCAUGUUCAGAUUGGUUGGUUAUAUGGAACUACAACAGAAGACAUCCUCACAGGUAUGAGGAUACAUGCAAGAGGUUGGAAAUCCACAGAUUGCCGGCCUGACCCUCCUGCAUUUCUUGGGUGCGCACCCUCAGGCGGGCCUGCUGCACUUAUCCAACAGAAGAGAUGGGCCACUGGCCUCCUUGAGGUGCUGUUCAGCAAGAACAGCCCAUUCAUUAUCACCUUCACUGCAAAGCUCCAAUUUCGCCAAUGCCUUGCAUACAUGUGGAUUCUUUCAUGGGGUUUAAGGCCAAUUCCGGAGCUUUAUUAUCUUGCUUUGCCAGCAUAUUGCAUCAUGGCCGGCUCACAUUUCUUGCCCAAUGUGAGCAAAACUAAAACCAUUCAGUUUUCCUCUUAAAUUCAUACAUAGCAUUAGUAGUACUACUUCACCAACCUUUGUUUUAUUAUCAUUGACGCAGGUCCAAGACCCAGCUGUGUUGAUACCGAUAUCCCUCUUUGUCAGUUACAAUUUUCACACUCUAUUGGAAUACUGGGGGGCUGGAUAUUCAAUCCGAGCAUGCUGGAACAACUUGAGGAUGUGGAGAAUAACCGCAGUGACCGCAUGGUUAUUUGGAUUUUUAAGCGUCAUUCUGAAGCUCCUGGGGUUAUCGGAGACCGUCUUUGAAGUUACAAAAAAAGACCAAUCCACUACUCCUGGGGAGGGCAGUGACAAGGAUGCUGGUCGGUUCACCUUUGAUGGGUCUCUGAUUUUUGUUCCGGCCACUACUCUUCUGUUGGUGCACCUGAUGGCACUUGUAACAGCCUUGUUAGGACUAUUUGAUCAUGUCGAGAUUGAAUCAAGAAUAGGGGAGAUAAUAUGUAGUGUGUGGGUGGUGCUAUGCUUCUCGCCGUUUCUUAAAGGCUUGUUUGGGAAAGGAAAAUAUGGGAUACCCAAAUCCACUAUAUGCAAGUCAGCAGCUUUGGCGUUUCUUUUUUUUGCUUGCACUAUUACAGUAAGAAAAUGACAUUAGUAAAAACUAAAAACCGUAACAAUUUAUUAAGCAUAAUUGUUAGUCAAGUGUGUUAUGACAUGUAUUAUCCGGUUCAAUGUACGAACAAAUUAAUUUAUGCAAUUUUAAUGGCAGUUUGCUUUUCACCAUUGCCGUAGCGGCAGUACCUCCAUGAAUUGAAAUGAAGUAAUGAUCACAACCAUGAGUUUAAAGUACUAAUGAUUAGUGGAAAAAAGAUGAGACAAAAGAAAAUUAUCAUAUAUUCUCUUCAUUCUCCACUCAUUAAUAUAUAUGAAUAGGAAAGAUCUCAUGUUCCCUACAUAAGAAAAAAAAAAAAAGGAUUAAUUUCAAGAAUAUAUUGAUUAAACCGAGGAAAAUAAAACACAUAAAAUAGAAAAUUAAGUGAUUUAAAUUCAAAAGAUCAAGUCAAAAUAGAAAACAAUCUUAGAAAAGUAAAGUUGCUUGUUGAAAAUUAGGUUAUCUUUCUUGAUUAAUUUGCUUAGUUUUUGGAGGUAUGCUACUAGGACUCUUUCCUUUCUUCGUCUUAAUAUGAGACCUAUUACCUUUCUUAAUAUCCAAAAUUUGAUUUUAAGGUAAUUUGACCUACUCAUUAGAUUAUUAACAUGUGACUGAAUUUUUCAAAGAGCCUACUACUACAACACUUACUAGCAUUAUGUCUUGACCUCUUACAUGUAGUGCACUUAGGGUCUUGCUUAGAGUUAGAUUUCCCAUAAGAGGAACAACCUACCUAUGUUUUUAUAAAAGUAGUAUUUUCACUUGUGGGAGUUUCACAUAUAAUUAUAUAUCAUAAACCUCUCUUGCCUAUAAACAUUCCCAUUUUGAAUCAUUUCAUUAAAAUUUUAGGGUGAGGAUAAAAAAAUUUAUCAUGUCAACUUUCGAAGAUCUUUUUCCUAUGGUCUAACUUUGAGGUUAAGGAUUUAUUCUUUUCAAGUACAAUGUGAUAUUCAAAAUAAGGAACCUAAUUUUUCCUUAGCAAAUUGUAAUGUUCACAAGUUGUGUCCCUAAUCUUAUUACCCAAAUUAGUUUUUUUAAGACUCAUAGGAACUUAAUUUUUCAUUCAAUUCAUUUUUCUCAUAUUCAAGAUAUUUAAUGUGAGAAAUCUUUUUGUUUAAAAUAAUUUUAAGCUUAACUAUAACACCUUAAACCCGGAGGCCAAGGGCCCUACAGUCAUUCCUUAUCAAAUUGAAACCAAAACUAAAAUAAAAUAUCUAGCCAUAAAUUCAAUAAUUUUCUUGAACACUUAAAUCAAAAUUCUAAAAAUUAAUAAUGAAUUCAAUCUUAAGUAAACAAUCCCAUAAAAAAAUUGAAAAGAAAAAAAUCAAUUCCAAAGUAGUUUAUAAUAGAAGCAUGUUUCCUAUCUUGAUUUUUCUUCUUUGAUGUCACUUGUACUUGAAAAGGGGAAUAAUAGAAAAGGGUGAACUUGAAAGCUCAGUAUAAAAAAUAAUUUAAUAAGAAUGAUUAAUAUAGUAUAAAAUUAAACACUGAGAGAUAUCAUUUUUUUUUUUUACGAAAAUCAAUUAGUGAGUAAUCUCUUUUAAUUCAAUAGUUUAGUUCACUUUCUUUGAAAAAUUUAACACUUUCUAUUGAAAGAUUAAACAACAUAAUGCACUUUGCAUAAUAAUUCAUAUAAAAAAGAAUUUCACAAAGAAACAUUUUACUCUAAUCCACUCACAAUAAUACCAUGCCCAAAUAGUUGAAUUUGUAUUAGGUGGCUAGCCUCAAAAUGUUAUUAGUGAAUGGAACGGAUUCCAAUCCAUAAUAUACCGAAGGCCAAUAACACCCCUAUUAGCUAGGGUUGUGUUGUAUUGUUACCCUCACUAAGGGUAAUAAAGGUCAACAACUUAUCCCCUAUUGACUAGAGCCACUUAGAGUUUCUAAAAUCAUUUUAAUUAAUUAGAAAAAAGUAAAAUUCACUUACAUAAUAAUCAAACAAAUCACAUGAUGUUACUAAUUUAUUUUAUGAACAAAACACAACAUAUUUCAAAAAAAUAUUACCUAAUCCACUUUACGAAAUUUAAACAAUUUUGAUACUUUACUAAAUAGAGGAAGACAAAUAAAAAGGUAGAAAAUAACUCACUACACUAUUAACCCUUACCUUGAAGAAGCCACUUAAAUUCUUGAAAAAAUUAAUCCACACCUUUAAAUUAUAGAACGAAGCAAUAUGAAGCAAAUACUAAAACUUCUUCUUUCUAACUCUUCGAAUCAAAGUUCUCCGGAGACUUUUUUUUCUUCUUUAUUUUGUGUUUUCAAUUUUUUGAUAAUAUGAAUAAUUCAUAACAAAAUAAAGUUGGUAGGAAAUUAAAGGGAGCAAAAAUAUCUCACUUAAUUUGUUUUUCAAUGUUUGAAAAUAUAUAAAUAUCCCUAAAUAAGGUAAAUCUUUUUAAAUAUUUAAGUUACACAAAUAUCCCUAAAUUCUCCUUCCUAAUCACUAGAUUCAAUAGAACUAAUUUUAGUACCUGAGGAUGGUGAAACAGUGAAGGCAAUAAGGUUAUCAUUGUCUUUUUUUGUUGAUCUUCAUGUAAUGAUUCCUAGUGAAGAAAUUAAAGAAAAACGAAAAAAAACACACACAGAUUUAAUGUGGUUAAGUAGAUUGCCUACGUCCAUAGGAACAAAGAAAAAGACUUUCACUAUAUUUCAAUUAAUGUUACAUAAAAGGGUAUUUAUACUAACCCUCGGGUAUUGAAAUUCCAAAAAUACCCUUGAACCAUACCACGGGGAGGCAUUGUCCCCCAUACCCCCCCAACCUAUCGUUCGCCCUUAACAAUAAAAAUAUAAAAUUAAAUGGCAAAUGUCAUCGUUCCACUUCGACAUUUGCCCAUUUUUCUCCAUAUGUCUUUUACUCAAUAUGAGCCGCAUACUACAACAUCAUUGUCAAUUGAGCCUAUCAACUUAUUAAUGUCAUUAGACUCAGAAUUGCCCCAAGUCACUGUUGUUAUUUAUUUAUUUAUUUUUUCAAUUAUCAUUAUUAUUAUUCUCUUUGGGAGUAAGACAAUUAGUAGCAAAAUUUUUUUUUUUUUUUUUUUUUUACAGAAUUGAAAAAUUCAACUUAUGGUGAUUUGGAUGAACUUUUUAUUUUUUAUUUUAAAAUUUUGUAGAAGGAUUUCUUGUUUUUCUCUAAGUUUUAUUUCAAGUUUGCUUUUCUUUAUUCUUAAAAGUUUGAAUUUUUUUAACAAAUGCCAAAAUAUCUUAUGGAGUGAGAAUAGGUUCACGCCUAUCAAGCUCAUUCUUUUCUUUCAAAGAGGCUUUAGGGUUACCCUUUUAGGUCUCCUUGGAGAUGGCAAAGUCAUCUUAUAGGUUCGUGAAGAAUCUACAAGUUCAUAUACUUUCAACAUGUCUACAUUUUUACUUUCCUUUAUUGCGACCAUUUUAUAUAUAUCUAGAUCCCGUAUAAAUCUCUCAAAGAGAGAUCUCAAUAUCUUUUUAACCAUUUUAGAGUUAGAGAUUAUUUCUCCUAGGUUAAAACAUAAAUUAAUAUUUUCACUAGGUUCAAUAUAAAACACAAAGGUGCUUUCAUCAUCUUUCAUUCUAAUACUUUCAAACUUAAGCAUUUAACUUCAACAUGGACUCAUGUGUUACUACUAAGAUGUGCCAAACCUCUUUAGUAUAUUUGCAAGUACUAAUCCUACAAAACAUGUUAAGAUGGACCCUAUUGCAAAUAUAGUAAAGGCUUAAGCAUUCGUCUCACUAUCUUCAGUUUGUGAUCUAUCUUUAGUUUAAGUUCGCCAUAUGAGCUUUUAUUCUUUAGUAGGGGUAACCACCCAAAUUUUAUUGUAUUCCAUAUUUUUUCUUUUUGCAUUCUCAUAAAGAAUUAUAUUCUUACCUUUUAGUCGAGGUAGUUAUUUCCAUCAAAGAAUGGGGGAUGAAUAAUUAAAGUACCCACUUUUUGUGAUUCCAUUAACCAAGAUUAAUUAGUGAGAAUAAAUAAUUUUUUAUUUUUGAAACUUAACCCACUUUAAUAACACUUGAAAAAAAUUGUGUCUUGAUAUAAAAGAAUCUAAAGGGGGGUGAAUGGGUAGUCCACGGAAUAAACCUCAACUUUUAAUUUUCUUUAUCAAUCAUAUAAUUAAUAUUGAGUAAAAGUUAAUGAAUCUCAUGCAAAUGUAAAUUCAAUCACACGAAUGAACACAAAAUCUAACAUUAAAAAAAAAAAAAAAAAAAAAACACUUAGAACCUUAGGUGUAAAAAACUAUGGAUGAUCACUCAGCCAUUAAAUAUAAAACAAAUGGUACAUAUAUAGUUUUACUUGACCGGAUGCACUUAUUUCCUAAGGUUUUAUACCAUUAAUACCUACAGUCAUUUUUUGUGUCCCUGAUGCAACAGUCCCUCAUACUCCCUAAUGGAUCCCUUGAAACCCUUAUCAAAAUUUGCACUAUGUGUGUGUCAAACCUUUGUUGUAGAUGAAAGGUUCUUGUAAGAAAGAUUUUGAAAGGUUUCAAAGAUGGAUGUACAAGCUUUAAUAAUAAUGAUAUUUUUUUAAGGUUUAAGGGUCCACCAAUUUUUAAUAAAACAAAUCUAUGUAUACUUGCAAAACCCUAAUAAUUAAUUAUGGAGAGUUUCUGAAUUUUAAACCACUUUGAAAAUGAGUUUCUAGAGUUAGAAAUGAAGGGAGAGACAAAAAAAAAUCAUCAACAAGAUGUUUGAAUGCUUGUGGGGUGGGGGGGGAGAAAGCUUAAAUGCCCUUGAGAAGCAUUUGAACACCCCUCAGUACAUUUGAAUGCUCACCUUUAAUUAUCUCUUUAUUUUUGCAAUAUUACGAGCUUUUCUCCAUAUGUUUCAUCCCAAUUUCAUAUUUUAGUCAUUCCAUAAGUUUUAUCAACUUUAGAUGCAUACAUAUCUCGAAAAACAUCGGCAUUGAAAAGAUUCAAGGUUAGCCUUGAAGAAGUCUGAAGUUAAAUAGAAGGUGAUAAGACCUAAGGAAAUAUGUCACGUCUAAUCAAUAAGAAAUAUAACAAAAUUGCAAACUAAAUCUAAUACAUCAGCAAAUUCAUAUGAGAAGAAAUCAGUUCACUCUUGUAAUACAAGCUUUGGUGUGUAGUUAAUCCUAUGAGGAUUUUUGAUAUUGUCUUUGAGGAAAGAAAAGUGGCUUUAAAAAUCACCAGUGGGGAUUAAGAUCAAGUGGUAUGUAUGUAUGUAUGUAUGUAUGUAUGUAUGGAGAGAAAGAGAGAGAAAUCAACCUCCUUGUGCAAUUGCAUUUGCCAUAGUUAUUGUUGCAUACCAAAUGUUGUUUCAUGUGGUUCCUCUUUGAAACCAUACAAUCACUACCCACCCAAUUUGAAAUGAAACUCUAUUUUGGUAAUGCUUUAUCUAAGAAUGAAAAUAGUUGACAAGGAGUAGAGCAUGUAAAAACAUUUUCCUAUUUGAUUUAGGUUAAGGGUUAUCAAACACAUCCACCAUUCCUCUCUUCACGCCUAGCUACUUUAUUGAGAAAAUUAAAAAAGAAAGAGUAGGUCCAAGAGAAAAAAUAAGUGUAUUUAACAUCAUCCUAAGUUAUUAAUAUAUAGUCAAUAAAAAAUAUCGAAUUACCUUUAGAGAUGCCUAAGAAUCCCAAUUUGCUUGUUUCACAGACAAGUUUUCUACCCCAAGUCAUGCAUGGGACUAUGAAUGCAAGAACAACUCAAGAUUUUUAUAACACAAGAGCCUUGACCUUUGUUCUCAAGAAGAAAACUAAAAAACUUCAAGAGAGGACAUUUUUGGGGGAAACCUCUAUUCUCUUGUUAAUAAAAAAAAAAACUUUCUUAAUCCAUUUUUCUCAUUAUUAUUAUUCUUUUCCAUAACUUUCGAUAGUUAAAAACUCCCAGAAAAUGCUUCAUCUGCUUUUAAAAAUAUUGGAUGAGGUCGGGUUGAGCUAUAUAUAUAUAUAUAUAUAGACACACACACACGUAUGUAUGUAUGUAUGUAUUGUCCAAACUCAUGGAAAGACCAAUGUCUGACAUACAUUUUAUUAGGUUAUUCCUUUCUCCAAAUAGACAUUAAUAAAUUAAUUUCUGAUUAUGCAUCAAUAUCAGUCUAUAUACCAUGUGCCAUUGAGCCUGUUAGAGAAUUAAAUUCAAUAAAUUUAGAACCGAAAGCAUUGUUUGUCAAAGAUGGAUGGUGGAUGAUGGCCCGGAAUAUUUUCCUUUUGAUCUAUGAAUGGAUGGACGAGAAACUCUUCAUGAAUGAAUCCACCUUUGAGAAGGAAUGAUGUGGACAUAUUAGAACGUUAAAGAUGGUGUGGCUUUCAGUGAAACUUGGAGUGUUGAUCAACUUAGAAAAUUGAUUGGAUGAAAUUUAACUGAAACUCCUUUGAAAUCGACUGUGGUUCAGAAUAAAUUAUUUCCUUUGCUUUAAUUUGCUUCAAAAUGGACACCCUUCCCUACUAAGAGGUUCCUGUUGAAUAGAAGUUGACGCAACUUGUGACAUAUGAAGGAAAGAGUUGAGAAACUGGAAUCAUACCUUGUGAUUGAACUAAAGAUUGUUGCCCAACUCCAAUUGCUCAAAAGGACAGAGUUGGGCCCAUUUUGAUAAAAGUAACCAUAUCCAUCAAGUCAUUGAAAAAGCAAUUCACAUCUAUCUUUGAAGUCGAUCACACUCUACAAAGAGAGUAGAGGUCCCCACCAACCUAUAGAGUUGAACCAUUAAAGUUUGUUGGCAUAAUAGAAUUAUUUUAUCCCAAAUUCUUCAUUAAAGGUUGCUUGAAUAAGAAGAUAUGUGAACUCACAUUUUUCACGUGCGUUCCCACUCAAUUGGCCAGACUCGUUUUUAUUUGUGAAGAAUUAGUUUAGAAAAGUUGGAGUCGCCGCUUAUUUUAUUUUUAUUUUAAAGGGAAAAUAAAACAAGAAAGAAAACCCUAAAGAAGUGAUUUCAUAGUUUUUGAAAAUGCGUGUCUUUGAAAAACUCGAGUCUAGGUCCGGGGAUCAAGUUAUCUAUUGGGAAUGUACCUCUAAAAAGUAGCACCCUUUUAAGCCCUAAAGAGGUCUCUAUUGACCUAGUUGAGGGAAAUUGGGCAAUUAAUUGGUUGAUUAUAGAUACCUAGGUAGGCUAAGGUGAUUUCGAGAUUUUAUCAAUACUAGCAUGUCAAAUAAGAAAUCAAAUUACAAUCAUAAAGAAGAGUUAGGGUGUAUACCUGAACUGCUUCUUACCUGCUACCAUAAGACAAUCAAAGUUAAUUUGAAUAGUAUAUCAUUCAACAUGCGUUUUAUUAGAGAUAAUCAAACAAGUAUCAAGGCAAUCAAGGAUAGCAUUCAAACAUGGAUAUAGCUCAUGAUAACGUGCAUUUUCAUAGAAUUUUGGAAUUAGAGGAUAGAGAGCUUACCUGGAUAGAAAGUAUAUUUUAUAAGAUUCCUCCAAAAAUGCUAGAGUGGUUAGGGCAAGCAUAAAUUAUAUAAAAUAUUCAUUAUGUCUAAUAUACAAUGUCAAAGCCAAAAUUGAGCUAAGAUAAAUCAAAUGACUCCAAAAAUAAUAACAAUUUCAAGUAUAAAACCAUCAACAUGCAGUUAGAAAAAGUGACAUGCAUAAACGAAUUUUUUAAAAAUAAUAAAUGAUCACAUAAAAACUGAAUUCAAGGUAAGAUAGUACUCAAAAAUAUUUUUAAAACACUCCAAUUAAUUAGAUGUCCAAAAUCUAGCAUACACAGUAGGUACGACUUUGAAAAAUCAUAUCUCCCUCAAAAAGGCAUAUUUUUUUUAAUAUUUUAUGUGUCUAAUAUCAAUUUCAAGAAGCGUAUAAUUGAGGAAAAAUAUUGAAUCAAAUUUAAAAAGUUGUCUGGUAUUUAAUUUUUGCAAAAAGAUCUCGGGUUUUUAGAACUGGGUGAAAACGGAGCCCCCCUAAAGACUCGUUUAUAUCUUCUAUUCUAGAAUGGUUUUCUAACUCAAAUGAAACUUAAAAUUCAAGUUCAAGGAGUGAGGAAAGUCAUACAAGUUUUGAAUUUUUUUUAAAGCAUUUUGAAGUUGUUGAAACGAAUUUUAAAGCUAAAAGGUCAGUGAUUGAGUUAAAACUGGCAACAACGAAGAAUUUUUGAGAAAAAAGAAAAGAAAAAAAUCUCUUAUGUAGGGGUUCCAUCUGCUGCUCCAUAUGCUAGUAGAUCAGAACUCUUGUUCCCAAACUUUCAAACUGUAACAGAAGCUUUGCAUUGGUCAAAGAUGCAAUGCAUUCCUACAAAGGAAUAUGCAGGUUCAAUCUUUUGAACUGGGGGAUCGUUGUCACUUGCACUUGAGCUGAAACUGGUUCUGUGACUUGAAGCUUGAUAGCCACUUCGUGGGUCCCUGCUGGAACUCCAACUGUCCACCUCAAUGACAGAUACUGAAGGAAUGGCACCAACUAGAAGCCUUUUCUCGAAUUCGUUUUCUGUUACAACAUCCUUGAGUGACUUCUUCAAGCCCUUAGAUUAUUUUGAAUAGUCUGAAGAGUUCCGAUUCCACAUUCAAAGCUUUCACUGGUCAAAACCAGCCUUGUACUAGCAUCAUCUUCAGCUUUAGGAAUUACACACCUAAAAAAGGUGGCCAUGAAGGAAUGGAGUCCGGGAGAAGAUGCAGUUUCUGCAAAAGGAGUUUGUGGGUUCCAAAUGCUUGGUUUGAAGAGUUUGGUCACAACUCGAUCGUGCAUGUGUCUUCUUCUGCAGAUCCACUUGCGCAUGAACUCAAUCAAAGGCCAAUUUAGAAAGUUUCUUUGGUUUCAGAUUUGCUUAUUUCCAGGAAAUCUGGAAAGUGAGCACUGCGUCAUUUGCGAGAUAGCAGGAUUUUGCAUAAUCUGACCUAGUGAAUCAGUAUCGGAUAUCAUCUGUUAUCAUAAGCAAGAGUAAACCUGAAUGCAUCUGAGCCUGGAAGGCACUCCGGGGUAGCUUUGAGGGCAAUAUACCAGGGUCUAAAGGCAGGAGGCAAUCGACAACCACUUUCUAUUUCAAACUUAUCGCAUCCUGAGGUGCAUUUUCCAGCGUCUUAACUCUCUGUGUCAAACGUCCUCUGACUUCAUGAAUGUCUUGCUCUGACCAAUCUUCGAACCAAGAUCAAUUUCAUUGGUGAUCUUCGUGCCAAGUGAGGAUCUUCAAGGACAUGCCGGAUUAUAGUAGCAGCAACAUUGUCAAACCCAGAAAGGGGGCUCUUGUUGGCAAAGGCAAAAGCAUGGGUAAGCCUCCGUCAUCAAGAAAAUUAAAAGGGAUGGAAUGAGUUCUGGUAAGGGUAGUGUACAGCUGUAGGAUAGCAUGCAUUGUUUCAGAUGGAAGUCGGUUCCUGGUAUAAAUACAAACAAUCUCAAUAAGUCUCUUCUGCUCACUCAUAUCUAUAUGCUUUGGAGGUAAUUACAAUGCGGACUGCAAUCGUUCUGCUCAUCAUCAUCAAUGGUUAUGGACGUGCCUACUGACAUUAUACUUCUUCAAUUGUUCUGCAAGAUCGGGAUUCAAUUUUUGAUCCACUUGUAGCGGCCAGAUGGCGAAGAAGGUUGCUGUUACCCAAUUUGGAACUUGGGAUUUCUCGUUGUCACACGCACCAGAAUCUUAUCGUGAAAGUGAAUGUUUCCACUCUCCGACGUGAAGCUUCAAAGAUUUAUCUGGAAUAUGAAAAUUGCCCCCCAUAAACAGAUAAUACUACAGAUUCAGCGGUGUCAUCGAGCCCACAGGCAGUUUCUGUCGCGAAGAUGUAAGUUCUAGACGAUCGCACAUCUUCCAGUGCCGACCCUUCUCCUACACAACCAAAGUGGUGUCUCCAACAGAAACACUUUUAUUAGCACACGCCCCCAAGUUCCUAUGGAACUGUGAUUGCUGUCAUAUCUUGAACUCUCUUAGCCUAUUGAGAUGCUAUAAUUAAACAGCAUAUGCACCAUGAGCACACAAAGAGAAAUCUUGAAGAACCUCACGAAAGCCAAUUCCCCCAACCAUUCCAGCAACAAAAACCAGACCAGUAGCUUAAACUUUUGAUUUCCACGGUCCAUCAAACCCAGAAACAACUUGGAGUUCAUGAAAAACAUUUUUUUUAUUAUUAUUACCAUAAGCCCAAGACUACCAGAUAGUUUUCAAAGAAUAAAGGUUGGUAUUUUUUUAUUUUUUUUUUUUUGCAUGAAGGGGGAUUUUAAACAAAAAAAAACAGAGCACGCUCAAGACAAAAAUAAAAAAUAAAAAAUCAAACCUUCAAUCAGGACACCACUUCAUGCCGCCCUCAAUGGGACCAAACGGGUGGGACAAGCAGAGAGCAGUGAUAUGAUGAAUUAAAUAUCAAGCUCAAAAACAACCCAUACAUCUGUUAUCUUCGGGAAAAGUCAAAGAGAGCGUAAAAGAACCAAAACAGAGUAGAUAUGAAAACAGGAUCAAACUCAGGAAAACCACCAUUUGAACUUUAAAGUCCAUGCCAAUCAACAAGUUAAAGUCCAGACAAUCGACAGAAAAUAGAGCGGAGAAAUAAAACAGAAUGAGAAUGUAGAGCCAACAGUGAUCAUACCUCUUCUUCCAAAGAAAAUUAUCCAGAACCAAAAUAAGCCUCCUUUUUUCCUUCGUUCCUCCCUGCUUUCUAUAUCUCUUCCUUUUCUCUCCUGCUAUAUCUCCUUGCUAUCUCCUUUUGCCUAUGAAAACAAUCUCCGAAUCCCCCUAAAACCACCCGCCUGUGUUUUAAUAUCAAUUGGAGUCGUCCAAACUGUGACUCCUCUUCUCUGCCAAAUUCUAUCUCAUCCACCAGAAAAAGUCCUUUUUUUUCUUUCCAAAAAUCAAUCCAUGCAUAUCACAUAAAGAGUCCUACAUUUUCCAAAAUCUUCUCCAUUGGUAGAUUUUCUUAUCACACUUCAAAUUAUUAAAUCGGAUAAAUGAAUAAUAAAUAAAUAAGAGAAUGGUAAAAUAAUAAUAAUAGAUAAAUGAAUAAAUAACAAGAUAAUGAACAAAAUAAAUAAAUAAUAAUAAUGAAUAACUAAAUAAAUAAAAGUGAUUGACAAUAAUAAUAAAAAUAAAACUUCAAUUUAUUAAAUCAAAUAAAUGAAUAAAAAAUAAAUAAAUCAGAGAAUGAUAAAAUAAUAAUAAUAGAUAAAUGAGUAAAUUAACAAGAUAAUGAACAAAAUAAAUAAAAAAUAAUGAAUAACUAAAUAAAUAAAAGUGACUGACAAUAAUAAUAAAAAUAAAACUUCAAAUUAUUAAAUCGGAUAACUGAAUAAAUAAUAAAUAAAUAAAAUAAUAAUAAUAGAUAAAUGAAUAAAUAACAAGAUAAUAAACAAAAUAAAUAAAAAAUAAUGAAUAACUAAAUAAAUAAAAGUGGCUGACAAUAAUAAUAAAAAUAAAACUUCAAAUUAUUAAAUCAGAUAAAUGAAUAAUAAAUAAAUAAAUAAAAUAAUAAAUAAAUCGGAGAAUGAUAAAAUAAUAAUAAUUUAUAAAUGAAUAAAUAAAAAAAUAAUGAACAAAAUAAAUAAAAAAUAAUGAUUAACUAAAUAAAUAAAAGUGAUUGACAAUAAUAAUAAAAAAUAAAAAUAAAUAAAUAAAUGAAAUAAAUGAGUCAUGCAACCAAACAAGUCACGCUAAAAUGUCUAAUAGGUCAAGCGUGCCUAAAUAGGCUUAAAAGUGUCUAAAGGGGCUUAAGUGAAACUAGACAGGCCUAAGGUGUCUAAAUGGGUUUAAGGUAGUGCCUAAUGGGCCGGAUAUACCUAUAUGGGCCUAGGGUGAGACUAGGUGGGCCUAACUAAGUCUAACCUAAAGUGCACCUAAGUGAAGCCUAAUCUAAACUUGAAAGGCAGCUAAGGUCAUAAUGUGGAACCAGAUAAACCCUUUAACCAAAUUCUUCAAAGUGGUUCAGAAAAUGUAAGCUGCACGAGUAGUAAUGGGCCACCAAGAAAUUGUUGUAAAGUACCGAACAAACACGUAAAAGGACAUGUGCUAAGAGGACAAAAUGGAGGUUUUACAAAAUCAUUAAUAUUGUAAUGUAUGUCCAAACUUACAUUAAAAGAGAAAUGUAGGACUACUAAAUCCAUAUUAGCAAUUUAUUUAUUCAAGUCAUAUAAUUUUGAAAUUUAAAGUAAUUGUGAGUAUGGAUAACCCAUAAUAAAUCCAACAAAGAAAAAUUUAAAGUCAUCAUUAUAAACAAAGUAGGAGAACGUUAGAACCAUAAGUGGUUUAAUGACCACAUUAAGUUUUCUUAUAAAAAAAAGAAUCUUAAAAUGUUUGGAUUUAUUUUCUCAUGUAUGAAUUUUGACAAAAUUAAAUUAGUUCAUUUUGAAAUUCAUAAUACUUAUUAAGUUCAUGUUCCAAUUGUUAUUAUUAUCAAUUAAAAAAUGUUCAAAGUAUUUAACUAGUGGUUUAUUGAUGGAUAGAACCAUAAUGCACCUAUAAAUAGAAGAGCUCUUAAUCCCUUUCUCCACUCUUACAAUUUUUUUUAAGGAUUUAGUGGACUUAUAAUAAUGGUUGCAAGCUUGCAUUUAGUGGAAAAGCAGCAAAAAGAAGCAAAAAAAGAAGUGGUUAUAGAUUCAUGUCUUCAAAUGGUUACAACACCUAAAAGCCUAUCCAACUCUCAAAUUCAAAUCUAAAACAGCUUCAAAGUUGCUGGUGGGGCCAGAACUUUUCACAUGUGCAAGUAGCAUUUGUGGAAUAACUAGCUUGGGGUUGUAAGUUAGCAUGAGAUUGUGAACCAUUAGAUUUUGAAGAAGCCGUGUAAGAGUAAAAAUGAAAGAUGCUAUGGAUGAGGAAAUAAGACAAUAAUAUUGAAGUAAAAUCUCUUUCAAAAGAGAAAGACAUUUGAAGACAGACAGAUAUACAAAACAAAGAAGAAAACAAAAGGAGAAGUAGACAAAUAUAAAACCUCCCAAAUUUGCAGAUUUUAGAAGAUUAAGAUCAGAACUUUUCAUAUAUGCAAGUAGCAUUUGUGGAAUAACCAGCUUGGGGUUGUAAGUCAGCAUGAGAUUAUGAACCAUUAGAUUUUGAAGAAGCUGUGUAAGAUUAAAAAUGAAAGAUGCUAUGAGGAAAUAAAAAAUAAUAAUAUUGAAGCAAAAUCUCUUUUGAAGGGGAAAGAGAUUUGAAGUAAAACAAAUAUACAAAACAAAGAAGAAAACAAAAAGAAAAGUAGAUAGAUACAAAACCUCCCAAAUUGGAAGAUUUUAGAAGAUUAAGAACACUACUUGAAGUUACAAAUUAAGUUUAAGAGAGUAUGUUAGAAAAUAAAUUUGAGUAGAUAAAAAAGUUUCCAAUAAAAAAAAUAAUUUGAUUUAAUUAGUUUCUAAAAGUCAAUAGAAAUAUUUUAGUUUGAGUAAUUCAGUCACAUUUUAUUACUUGGAGUUUUUAUUUUGUUAAAUACGAGUAUGUAUAGAAAGAUGAUGGAAGAUAAUAAUUUGUUCUUAAUCUUUCUCAAUUAUUCAUCUCUUUUUGUAAAUGUUUGUGCAUUUUUUCAACCCUAUUACUUCAACAAUAACGUGCUACUUAAUCUUCGAAUUAAGUACACACCAUAUGUUAUUCUCUUGAGAUUUGAUGAAUGAAAUAAGGAGAGAAUGAAAUAAAGGUACACCCCUUGAAGCUAGCUUUCAGCUGCUCCACAGAGGGCUCAGCAUGAAGCUGUGAGAUCAGCCAUCAAAAGAAAUAAUAGCACACCCCAAAAAUCCAUGGCCAAGUUGGAAACGGUGCCAAAGAAGAAGCUGCUUGUUCCGGAUUCCCACGGCAUGUCAUGAGAAUGGGACAGGGAAAGCUGGUGGCCAAACCUACCAGAAGGAGAAAAAGGGUGCCCCAAUUCUCACAGUAGAGGCGAAUAAGCCAAUUUGACCUUGUUGGCUUUUGCUUCCACAGCUGCCCUCACCUUCCAUUGCGAAAAUGCUAGGUUGGAGAUUUUUUUUGUCCAUUUGUUCCAUCAAUAGCUUGAUUGGAGAAGCAAUCAGUGAUGGUUCUUGAAGUUUUUAGACCCUCCCCGCUUAAAACUUCUUCAAUUCCCUUUCAAAUGUUAGGUGUUAAACUCCCGUUUCCAAAUGUUAAGUUUAAGAGAGUAUGUUAGAAAAUAAAAUUGAGUAGAUAAAAAAGUUUCCAAUAAAAAAAAUAAUUUGAUUUAAUUAGUUUCUAAAAGUCAAUAGAAAUAUUUUAGUUUGAGUAAUUCAGUCACAUUUUAUUACUUGGAGUUUUUAUUUUGUUAAAUACGAGUAUGUAUAGAAAGAUGAUGGAAGAUAAUAAUUUGUUCUUAAUCUUUCUCAAUUAUUCAUCUCUUUUUGUAAAUGUUUGUGCAUUUUUUCAACCCUAUUACUUCAACAAUAAUGUGCUACUUAAUCUUCGAAACAAAUAUAAAAAAGAUGGUUAGUUAUGGUUAUGAUGGUUUUUGCCCUUCUCAUUAAAUUUGAUAGAUGAUUAAAAAAAAAAACUCUUCAUCAGUUAAUCCUAUUUACGAGCAGAAAUUAUAUGGAAUUUGAAAGUAAAAAAAUAUAUAGUUAAGCUUCCAUUGUUGAUAAUCUUGUCGUAUGAAAUUUAAUUACAAAGUCCCAUUGGAGGAUAUAUUAAACUUGUUCAACAUCAGUGUCUGAUUUUUGGUUUGAAAUAGACUUUCUGUUAAGGGUCAUCGUUGAAUGGUGGUUGUAGAGUUGAUCCAUUAUUGACUUGGUAAGUUGAGUACUCCACUUGUGAUGUGGAGUCACCAUAUCACAAACACUACAACCCCACCAUGAUCUUUUCCUUCUUUUGUUUUUUCUCUCCAUGUGAUUCUGCAAGAAAAACUUUCCCUACUUUAAGUUCAACCAGCUUAACCAUCGUAGAGAUGCCUUGUCUUUUUUACUUUGUCCAGAAAAUUACACUUUUCUAUUAAAUUUUGUGGUAAAAAAUCGCACUAACAUCACAUCACAUCACAGCAGCCCUUCUGUUUCUGUGUUGUACGUUACUGGAAAGUGGUUGAUGAUUUUCCCACAUACAUUGAAUUCUCUGUCAUGUAGGGGUUGCAAACUUAAUUAAGCUAAGUCUUAACUUUCUACAAUAAUAUUCCAUUAGAUCGACAAUUAUACAAUAAUGGUCCUUAUCAAGUGAGUUAAAGAAUUAAUAAAUUAAAGUGACACUUGAUAAAACUAAAAACUUAGGCUAUGUUUAAUUUUUAGAAAAAAAAUUAGGAAAAAAAAAAAGGAAAAUAAUUUUUUUGGGAUUGGUUUUGCGUCAAACAUAUGAAAGAAAAUUAAAUAUAAUUAAAAUUAUUAAAAAAAUGUAUGAUUUUAAAUUAUAUAAUCUUUAUAUAAAAAAGUCAAAUUAGUAAAAUAAGCUUUAAAUAGCACAUAAAAACUAUAUAUCAAAUUUAAAUCUAAUUUUUAUUUUCUUUCAUUUUUUUUCUUUUAAUUUUAUUUCCUUUGCAUUUUCUUUCGAACCUUCCAAAAACCAAACAUAGUCUUAAUAGUUAAUUGUGUAAAAUGAUUUAAUACGAGUUUUACUAAAUUUCAUGAGUUGAAACUUAUUAUUAAAUUUUUACUUUAAAUGUUAAAAUUGCUUAAUAAAUUAAAUUAUAAACUUUUGAAACUUCUAUAUUCAACAUAUUCUCUUAUAUUAAGCAAAGGGCUUAAGAGAAACAAGAAAGCAAGAUGCAAUUGUGAUAGAAAAUUAAUGAGAAAUUGAAAUAGAGUUAAUUUUAGGAAUAAUUGUGCUUGAGGGGUGGUUGAGAUUGAUAAUUGACCCGAAGGACGUCAUGUAAAGAGUGAUGUUAACAACAUCUGCCUAAUUGGUAUUAUACAAACUACAAAUCCUUCAAAGCAAUUAUUUCACUAUGUUUUUUGUGCCCAAUAUAUAUAUAUUUGAUAGAGACAAAUUAUUAGGUCUCAUAGGUUCAAAACAUAAUUGUCUCUUAAAAUUCAACCGCCCAAGAUACUAUCUUGAAUUCCAUAAAGAUGAUCUUUUUAAUUUAUUAGUUGAAAAGGACUAUCUUGAAUUCAGUAAAGGCGAUAUUUUUAAUCUAUUACUUUAAAUGUCCAUUUCAACUAGAGUACUAUGAUAAAAACACUUUUAACCUAUAAUGUUUUUCUUAGUAACACUUUAAUUAGAAAUACUUACACUAAGACGUGAUGUUUGGAUAUAAAGAAAAAUUAUUUUUAUAGUAAUUUGGUAAUAUGUUAUGUAAGGAACAUUUGAAAGAAAGAAAAAAAAACCUCAUGUGAGGACUAAUUCAAGGAUGGGUUCAAGUGAUUUUCUCAAGUUUUUUAGUGUAAUUUUUAAAACUUUACCAAUAAUUUUAUUUUGUCAGAUAUAACACAUUUAUAAUGUAGAAAUACAGUCCUGAUCAUGGUUUUAAAAAUCGGACCGAACUGGCCUAUCUGACCUCUAGCCGGUCACGAUUCAAGUCCAGUCCGACCAAUUAAAUCGAAAAGUGAUCGAACUGAAAUUGUACCGCUUGAACCGGCGGUCCGAUUGGCGAACCAGACAAACCGACCGGUUCCCUCUGAACCGUCUGGUUCAACCAUUUUUUAUUUUUUUAGUUAUUCUCAUCCCCCUCCCCCACCUAGAGCAUCGUCCACCGACAAUGGUACCUCCACUGUCGCCUGUAUCAUCGUCCCAUCGACAGCAUAUCCCCAACAUUAGAAACCCCACUCCUUGCGUCGCACGAUCGAAAGCCCCCCACCGUGUGCUGGAAAUCCCCCCCACCCAGCACCGCGCGCUGGAAACCUCCCAACCCCACCCCAAAAUGGCUGCAAAUCCCCAUCGUCGGCCCCCGCUUGUAAAGCCCCAUCGCUCCCCACCAUCCCCCACCCCUGACAACAUGUUGAAAAGCUCCCACAAUUGAAAAAUGUAGUUGUUCAAGCCACCUUUGACAAAAAAAAUCCGUACUUGGCUGAAGUAAUGAAGUCCAACUCCCUAUCAAAGUGUUUUGAGGCAGGUUAUGUGUGAUUGGUGGAUGAAUCUUUAGCUGAAGAAGAAAGAUGGAAGACUUGGAAGUGUUCCAAAAAAGUUAGAUGAUGCGUUGGAAACGGGAAACCUCCCAAAUUUUAAUGUUUUAUAUUUAAUUUCUUAAAUUUUUUUAUUGAUUAUAAUUGUAGUGGUAUGUUUAAUAUUUAUUUUUUUGUUUUUGUUUUAUUUAUUACACAUUGAAAUUUUAAUUGAUUGAAAUUAUUGAAAAUGUUAGGUGAUUGACAUCUACAUGUAAAAAAUUUUGUGAAAAAACUUAACAAAUAUAGUAGAUAUUAUCAAAAUUUAGAUAGAAUUUAUUAUUUUUAUUUAUUAUUAUUUUUUUAAUUUUAAUAAUAUAUAAAAUAUAUAUUUAUGACGUCACUGGUUCGACCGCUGGUCCGACCAGUGAAUCGUGAACCGAUGACUUUUUCGAUUCAAUGACCGGUCCAAUUAUGAAAACAUUGGUCCUAAUACUUGUCCAAUCAUAAAAAUGAAAGGGAAACACUAUUGUAGGGUUGCUUCCAAGGAGUGGCUGUUAUGAAAGGAGGGAUAAAUCCAAGCAUCCAUUAACACCUCCACAAACUAGAGUCCCAUAUAUCUGUCUAAUAAGACAACUCUUAAGGUAUCCUCCUCCAUUUUCCAAUGGCCAAAUCAAUCCCCUCUCCUCUCUAUGAAAAAAUCCCCCAGAAAAACACACUCCAUAGAGCCUUGGACCUCACCAUCUUCUUCCUUCUCCUCUCUCUCCUUGCUUAUCGUCUCCUCUCCCUCAAAAACAAUGGCCUCACUUGGCUCGUCGCCUUCCUCUGUGAGUCAUGGUUCACCUUUCUUUGGGUUCUUAACUUGAGCUCCAAAUGGAAUCCUGUGUCCUACAAAACAUACCCUGAACGCCUUCUACAGUGUCAUCGGUAUCCAAUUAUAUCUUCUCUUAGUAAAACUCUUCACGUGCUUUGGCGUUUUUUUAUGCCUUCAAUUUUUAUAUAUAACUAUACUCAUGAUUUUCUGAACAGGGUUGAUGAGCUUCCUCCAGUGGACAUGUUUGUGACAACUGCAGAUCCCAUCCUGGAACCUCCUAUCAUCACUGUAAACACUGUCCUCUCCCUGCUGGCGGUUGACUAUCCAGCUAACAAGCUUUCUUGCUAUGUGUCCGAUGAUGGGGCUUCCCCUCUCACCUUUUACGCUCUCCUUGAAGCAUCCAAGUUUGCCAAGCUUUGGGUUCCUUUCUGUAAGAAGUAUGGUAUUCAAACUAGAGCUCCCUUUAGAUACUUUUCCAGCGAGUUGGUCUCAUCCCAUGAUAAUUCAAUGGACUUCCUAAAAGAAUAUAGAAAAAUUAAGGUACGCUCACUAUUCCUAGUUGGAACUAUAAGAGGAGAUUAAUCAUAUUAAUAUUUCCUCUCUAUCAUUGUACAGUGAUGCUUUGAUAAAAGCUUUUACAGAUAUCUGCCUUACGCUUAAGCAAUUUUGUUUCUCUUCAUCUCUUUUAGGAAGGAUACCAAGAGCUUGGACGAAAAAUUGAAGAUGCAGCCCUAAAGUCAAUGCCGUAUGAGCUUAGUACUGCAGAGUUUGUUGCUUUCUCAAAUGUAGAAAGGAGAAACCAUCCGACCAUAAUCAAGGUAUGUUUAUAUAUAUACACCAUCAUUAAUUCUAUAUCAAAACAAGCAACCACUUAGAGCAAAUCAUAAGAGAUUAAAGUGACUGUAUAGUUUGAAACUAAUUGUUUUGGGUUUUUCUCUAUCAUUGAAAAGUAACUUCUUUGGAAUUAAUAAAAAAUAGUCAUAUUACAAAAAGGUUUCAUCUAUUUGUACUUUAUGUGUGUCAUUUCUUUGUACUUAUUAUCAUUUUACUGUAAAAUAAUAUUUCAUUCAGUGAUGUAGAUUUAGUUGCAUGCAUCAAAGGUUGGUUGAGAUUAAAAGUUCAGUAUACUAAAUCGAAUAAGCUUGGCAUGAACUCAUCUUAAGGCGAAAUAGCAUUAAAUUUUUUCAAAAGCAUAAGGAUUUAAAUAUUUUCCCCGUGGAUUAGUAUUUAAAGAACAGAAAAAUGCAUCCAAUUUAAAAGAUAUUACUUUUUGGCUAACAUUGAGAGAGCGAGUGGUGGUAAAGGACGUAUUUGACAAUAUUUCUAUAACAAUGAAUGGUGAUUUUUGUAGGUUAUAUUGGAGAACAAGGAGAGCAGCUCUGAUGGGUUGCCACAUCUAGUCUAUGUAUCCAGAGAGAAGCAUCCCAAGCAUCCACACCAUUACAAAGCCGGUGCCAUGAAUGUUCUGGUAAGGAAGCCCCUUGAAUUGGUAUAAUUACUGAUAUUCCUUCUUUUCCCCUAAUUGUUUCAUGAUAAACAGACCAGAGUCUCUGGAGCUAUGACAAAUGCUCCUUUCAUGCUGAACGUAGACUGUGAUAUGUACGCCAACAAUCCACAGAUUUUUCAUCAUGCAAUGUGUUUGCUCCUCGGUUCCAAGAGUGAACAGGACUGCGGGUUUGUUCAGUCUCCACAAAUGUUCUAUGAUGUAGUAAAGGACGACCCACUUGGAAAUCAGAUGGUAGUUUUGUUUAAGGUAUGCCAAAUUUCAAUAGUGAAGAGCGAUCUCUUCCAUACUAUAGAGCACACCUAGUAGAAGCCUCUUUCAUUUUUCUUAUUAAUUAAUGUGUUUUUCUGAAUUAGUAUGUGGGAAGUGGGAUAGCAGGGCUUCAAGGACCUCUGUAUUCUGGAACGGGAUGUUUUCAUCGAAGAAAAGUUAUCUAUGGGUCAUGGCCGGAUGGCAGGAUGGAGAUUAAAGGAAGAAAUGGUAUGCAGUCAACUUUUCCACGGUCAUUCUUCACUUUAUUUAUGUACCAUUUUAAUUUUCUUAGUGGGAUCUUAAAAUGUGCUAUGAAACUAAGCAUUACAGUUUUCUCUACUUUUUGGUAGGAAAAUUAACCGAUGAGAGAUUAGAAAAAACAUUCGGAAAUUCAAAGGAAUUCACAAAAACAGCUGCAAGGAUUUUAUCAGGGUUGAGCGGGAUUUCGGAUUGUCCAUAUGAUCUUUCGAAUCGGGUUGAGGCAGCAUACCAAAUUGCAAGUUGCAGCUAUGAGUAUGGAACUAGCUGGGGCACAAAGGUGAGUUGCCAAUAGUUAGAACAAGAAGAAUAGUAUCUCAAAUGAUACAUUUAGUUCAACCAUUUUUCAUUAAAUAAGGAUCUAUUUUUAUUUUUUAUUUUUGAAAAGAAACUUAACUAGAAGUUACAUGCAUUAUGUGACUAUCCAUGUUCAGAUUGGUUGGUUAUAUGGAACCACAACAGAAGACAUCCUCACAGGUAUGAGGAUACAUGCAAGAGGUUGGAAAUCCACAGAUUGCCGGCCUGACCCUCCUGCAUUUCUUGGGUGCGCACCCUCAGACGGGCCUGCUGCACUUACCCAACAGAAGAGAUGGGCCACUGGCCUCCUUGAGGUCCUGUUCAGCAAGAACAGCCCACCCAUUGCCACCUUCACUGCAAAGCUUCAAUUUCGCCAAUGCCUCGCAUACAUGUGGAUUAUUUCAUGGGGUUUAAGGCCAAUUCCGGAGCUUUGUUAUCUUGCUUUGCCAGCAUAUUGCAUCAUGGCCGGCUCACAUUUCUUGCCCAAGGUGAGCAAAACCAAAACCAUUCAGUUUUCCUCUUAAAUACGUACAUAGCAUUAGUAGUAGUACUUCACCAACCUUCGUUUUAUUAUCAUCGAUGCAGGUCCAUGAGCCAGCUGUGUUGAUACCAAUAUCCCUCUUUGUCAGUUACAAAUUUCACACUCUAUUUGAAUACUAUGGAGCUGGGUUUUCAAUCCGAGCAUGCUUGAACAACUUGAUGAUGGGGAGAAUAAUCACAGUGACCUCAUGGUUAUUUGGAUUUUUAAGUGUCAUUCUGAAGCUCCUGGGGUUAUUGGAGACCGUCUUUGAAGUUACAAAAAAAGACCUAUAUACUACUCCUGGGGAGGGCAGUGACAAGGAUGCUGGUGGGUUCACCUUUGAUGGGUCUCUGAUUUUUGUUCCGGCCACUACUCUUUUGUUGGUGCACCUGAUGGCACUUGUUACAGCCUUGUUAGGACUAUUUGAUCAUGUCGGGAUUGAAUCAAGAAUAGGGGAGAUAAUAUGUAGUGUGUGGGUGGUGCUAUGCUUCUCGCCGUUUCUUAAAGGCUUGUUUGGGAAAGGAAAAUAUGGGAUACCCACAUCCACUAUAUGCAAGUCAGCAGCUUUGGCAUUGCUUUUUCUUGCUUGCACUAUUACAGUAAGAAAAUGAUUUUAGUAGAAACGGUAGCAGUUUAUUAAAGCAUAAUUGUUAAUCAAGUGUGUUAUGACAUGUACUAUAAUGGCAGUUUGCUUUCCACCAUUGACGUAGCAGUAGCUCCUUGAACUGAAAUGAUGUAAUGAUCACAAGCAGUUAAACUAUCCAAAAGGAGUUUUGGGUCAAAAUGGCCUUCUCCCCAAACUUAAUAUCAAAAUUGGGCUUCAGGUGAAACUAUUGUUAAAUAGCCUCAUCGUCCACAUAAUCAAAGAACAUUUUUUUAUAUUAUUUUUUUUAACUUUCCCAUUUGCUUCCCAUCCCGUGGUUGGUUGUCUCCAAAGUUUCUUUAAAACCCUAGCCCCACCAGUAGGCCACUGUAAGAGACAUUUUUGGAGUUGCAAAGUUGAGGUUGGUUUUGUUUAUGCGUGAGAAAUUUAUUUGGCUUACAGGUUGUGUUCCGUGCGUGAGAAGAUUUUGUGAGAAAUUUUUUAGGUUGUAUUCUAUGCGUGAGAAGUUUUUUGAGAAAUUAUUUUGACUUACAGGUUGUGCUCCAUGUGUGAGAAAAUUUUGUGAGAAAUUUGUUCAGCUUACAGGUUGUGUUCCAUGUGUGAGAAAUUUUUUUUGGCUUACAAGUUCUGUUCCAUUCAUGAGAAAUUUUUGUAAGAAAUUUUUUUGGUUGUGUUCCCUGCGUGAGAAAAUUUUGUGAGAAAUUUUUUUGGCUUACAGGUUGUGUUCCAUGCGUGAAAAUUUUUUGUGAGAUUUUUUUUUGGCUUACAGGUUGUGUUCCAUGUGUGAGAAACAUUUGUGAUAAUUUUUUUUUUUGGCUUACAAGUUCUAUUCCAUUCGUGAGAAUUUUUUGUGAGAUUUUUUUUGGUUGUGUUCCAUGUGUGAGAAAAUUUUGUGAGAAAUUUUUUCAGCUUAUAGGUUGUGUUCCAUGUGUAAGAAAUAUUUGUGAGAAAAUUUUUUUUGGCUUACAAGUUCUGUUCCAUUCGUGAGAAAUUUUUUUUGUUGUGUUCCAUGCGUGAUAAAUUUUUGUGAGAACUUUUUUUGGCUUACAGGUCACUCCAUUUGUGAGAAAUUUUUUUGGUUUACAGGUUAUGUUCCAUGUGUGAGAAAUAUUUGUGAGAAAUUUCUUUUGGCCUACAAGUUCUAUUCCAUUCAUGAGAAUUUUUUUUUUUUUUGUGUUCCAUGCAUGAUAAAUUUUUGUGAGAAAUUUUUUUGCCUUAUAGGUUAUGUUCCAUGCAUGAGAAAUUUUUGUGAGAAAUUUUUUUGGCUUACAAGUUGUGUUCCAUGUGUGAGAAAUAUUUGUGAGAAAUUUUUUUUUGUCUUACAAGUUCUCUAGGCACUCAUCAACAUUCAAAGUUGAAAUUUAACUAUUCAACAUUUUUUUGCCAGAAAAAGUAACUUCUUUGUAGGCACUCACCGACAUUCAAAGUUGAAAUUUAACUAUUCAAGUUUUCUAAAAAUAUUUUAUAAAUUUUUGUAUUGUAUAUAAGUAUGUAGUAAUUAAGACAUACUAAUCAUUUUUUAUUAAAAACUCUAUAAAAGAAAUUGAACCUAAACUGUAUACUAUUUUAUUUUAUUUUUUGAAAAAAAAAAAAUGACAUGUGAAUUUGUUGUCAUGCCCUCAUUUUCUUCAAAUCCUAAAUCUUAAUCUUAAAUAAGGGAAAAGAAAAAGAAAAAGUAGAUAAAGGGAUAAGAAAUGAGGAAAAUGAAGAAAAAGUAAAGAAUAAUGAGGAGUAAGAAGUAAAGUUAAGGUUUUGGUGUAUUUAGAAUUUCCAAGUGUUUUCUAUUUAGACAUGAAGUUUUGUUCCAUUUCAAUAUUUAUUUGGUUUAUUCUUGUAUUUUAUAAAUCAUUUACCGUAAAGUAUUAUUUUUUACUUGAAUAAAUAUUAUUUUUUUAUGUAAUAACCUUUUGUUAUUAUCUAUGUGAAGGCGAUUAUGACUGAUUUCACAGUAGAAGUGUUAUGUUAUUGGAAUUGAACCAUUUUGAGGACAUAAACGGAUUUGAGAUAUAUUGGAAAUAAUGUAAAGAUUGAGCCUAUAGAUGUGCCCAUUCAUACGACCUAUAUGGAGUGGUUGAAGAUGAUAUAUGAUAUCAUUGGUGUUGACAGACACUAUCAAUUAGUCUUGAAAUGUUGACAUCCAACUGAAAUGAACAAAUUUCAACCAUUAAUGGUGAGAAAUGAUUAAACAAUUGCACAUAUGCUAGUGGUGUCAUCGAAGUAUGGAAUGUCUUUAGUUCAAUUAUUCAUAGAGCAAGCUCUCAACCACUAUCAUUUGAGUAAUGAAAUGGGUCAUUUGACACGAUUGUCGACAGGUUAUACUGAUGUUGAUGACAAAAAUGAGAAAGAUGAUAGAGAUGAUGCAAUCGACACGGAUGAGAUUCAUUUACCUAAUGAUGAUGAAAAUUGUUGUAAAAGAGAAAAUAUUGAUUUGGUAAUGGUCUAACAAGUUGUGGAAUGUGAAAGCACAAGAUUUGUGAACCUUGAAGUUGGUGAUAGGUCUAAUAAUCCUGAGGUUGCGUUUAAGGUUGAAAACACAUCACCAGUUGCCUCCUCACAUGGCACCCAAGUUAAUAUUUCUAAUGACAACCUAGAGGCAACAUUUGCACCCGUUUCAUACCAUAUGCCACCUACACCACAAUUUUUAAAUAUGGACGAGGCAAUUAAUUGUGUUGUAAGUGAUUGGACUCCAUGGAAAAAGCCAACUUUAGGAAAUGUUGAUGGGAAGUUAUCAAUUGGCCAAAUAUUUCCCUCAAAAUCAGAUUUGCAACAUGUUGUGAAGAUGUUUUCUAUAAAGUCGCACCAAGAGUUUACUAUUUAUAGAUCAAAUACAAGUGUGUUAGUUCUUAAAUAUAACAAAGCACUAGAAUGCCAAUGGCAACUAAGGGCAAUGACGGUGAAAGAUACGGGUAUGUUUAGAAUCACAAAGUACAAAGGUCCUCAUACAUGUGUCAAUCCAUGUAUUAAUUAGGAUCAUUCACAGUUGGAUUCUAGCUUUGUAUCUUAGUAUAUUGAAACAUUGGUGAAGGCAGAAAUGACCAUUAUAGUUGUUGCAAUUCAAGCUAUUGUUGCGGAACAAUUUGGUUACCAAAUUUCUUAUCAAAAAACAAUGAAGGCAAAAAGAAAAGCAACGACUCAAUUAUUUGGUGAUUGGUACAAGUCUUAUGUAGAGUUGUCUCAUUUCUUCCUUGCUUUGGAGCAGUCAAAUCAUGGAUGCAUUGUGUAUUCCAAAAUGGUUCCUAGAAACAACCUGAAUUUUUCAACGUGUUUUUGGGCAUUUGCUCCAUCUAUUAAAGGGUUUACUCACUAUUGACCAGUUCUCAGUAUUGAUGGGACACAUUUGUAUGGAAAAUAUAAAGGGACUUUGCUGAUUGCUAUGGGAUGUGAUGGUAAUAACCAAUUGUUUCCACUUGCAUUCUCCAUUACAAAAUGAGAGAAUACAGAUAGUUUUGGUUUUCAGCAUGUACCAGAGUUGGAGUAACACAAAGGAAAGGCUUGUGUGUGAUCUCUGAUCGUCAUCUAGACAUUAUAGUUGUUGUAAAUGAAACAUAUUCAGGAUGGACUGAGCCAGAUGCUUAUUAUAGAUUUUGCAUGCAUCAUUUAGAGAGUAACUUCAACACAAAGUUCAAAGAUAAAACUUUAAAGGAUUUCAUGUGUAGGGUUGCUAUGGAGAGUAAAGUUAAAAAAAUUAUUUCUCACAUGGAUACAAUUGGUCAGAUAAAUGCCGAGGCUAGAAAUUGGUUGGAGCAAAUUCUUCUUGAAAAAUGGGCACUCUCACAUGAUGGUGGGCGGAGAUAUAGGAUUAUGACAACUAACAUGUCUAAAGUUUUUAAUGGUGUCCUUAAGGGUGCUCGUAACUUACCAAUAAUAGCUUUAGUCCAGUUAAAUUUCUAUCAGGUUAAUAGUUACUUCACAGUCAGGCGAGAGCAUGGUGCCAAUCGACUCACUUCAGGAGAAGAAUUCACUCCAUAUAUUGACACCAAGAUAAAGGCUAAAGCUGUUAAGGCGGGUUCACAUGAGGUUGUUUUGUAUGAUCAUGUAGAGGGAUGUUUUCAUGUUAAAACUAGACACUCUGUUGGAAGCAGUAAUAGGAAACUGCACACAUCAUGUUAACCUUCAAAGGAGGUCUUGCACAUGUAACAAAACACUUUUGUUAGGAUUUCCAUGUUCACACAUUCUUGCUGCUUGUCAUUAUCGAGCAAUUGCUUUUCGACAAUUUGUACAAGGUUAUUAUACCACACGUGGUUACCUAUCAACAUGGGCUCUCUUGUUUUAUCACAUAUUUGAUGAGUUGGAGUGGCCUCAAUAUAAUGGACCAAUAAUAGUACCUUCAGACUCAAUGAAGCGUCUAACUUCUGGUCGACCAAAAUCAAGUCGUUCGCAUAAUGAGAUGGAUGCAAGGAAAACUAGAACUCCACAAACAUGUGGACUUUUCAAGCAAUCGGGUCACAAUCGAUGUUCUUGUCCUAAUAGAGAAACCAAUGAUAGUAGGAAUUGAUGUACUUCAUGAACAUCUUAUUGUACUGUUAUUUUCUUAUUUACUAGUAUUGACCAUAAUCAUUUUAAAAUAUAUGUAGAAACUAUCUUAUUGAACAUCUUAUUGAUGUUUGUUUGUUAGAAAUUGUUGUUUUUUUGUCAAUUCAUUCAUAUUUUGCUUAUAUCAGGUUACAUGGAAAAAAAAUCUGAAUCUUUAUUGUUUAGGGCAGAUGCUGCUAAAAUUUUUACAACUUUAAUCAUGAAUUCACGUUGUUAGAAAUUUUUGUUUUUUGUCACUUAUAUCAAGUUACAUGAAAAAAAUCUAAAUCUCUACUGUUUAGGGGAGAUGCAACUCAAAUUUUUACGAUUUUAAUAAUGAAAUUCACAUUGUUAGAAAUUGUUGUUUAUUGUCACUUAUAUUAGGUCACAUUAAAAAAUCUGAAUCUCUACUAUUUAAGGAAGAUGUUGCUCAAAUUUUUAAAAUUUUAAUCAUGAAAUUCAUGUUGUUAGAAAUUGUUGUUUCUUGUCAAUUCAUUCAUAUUUUGCUUAUAUCAUGUAUUGAUGUACAUGCAGACAUGGAUACUCGGUUGUUUCCUGUUCGUCCUGACCUUGAGGAUACAUCUGUGCUUACUCUUUAGCAUCGACAUCAAUCAUCCACCAUUCGUGUUGAUCUAGAUAUGGGUCGUGUUUUGACUUGUUGACACAGGUUUCGUCGAGAGUGGGUUUUGGAUGAUUGUGUUCGGUCAUACAUUAUACAACUAGAAUUUUAUGUUUUUCAUCGAGUGGGGCAUGUUAAGGUUGAUUGACCUUUUAUUACUGCACUAGUAGAGAGAUGGCGCCCAGAGACGUACACAUUCCACAUGCCAGUUGGUGAGAUAACCAUCACAUUGCAGGAUGUAGCCAUCUUAUUUGGAUUACGUGUACAUGGUCAUCCUGUCACUGGUUCUAUAGAUAUCAAUUGGCAUGCACUUUGUGAGGAGUUAUUGGGUGUUUGAUCGACAAAGACUGAUAUUCGUGGAGCAUCCCUUAGAGUUCGCUUUAUUACUACCCAUUUCUCCCACUUACCACCAGAGGUUUUAGAUGAGGUCACGUUAUAGCGCCAUGCUAGAGCAUAUCUUUUAUUGUUAGUUGGUAGUUCAUUAUUUCCAGAUAAGAAAGGAACCUACCUCCAAUUAGCAAUUCUACACAUGUUAAGAGAUUUUGGUGAGACUGCACAAUAUAGUUAAGAGAGUGCAACACUAGCACAUCUUUAUCGAGAGUUAUGUUGAGCUAGCUUAGAUAGUGCAGAAACUAUUGCAGGACCAUUAUAGUUGUUGCAGGUAUAACUACAAGUCUUAUAAAUUAUGUAAUUUUUUCAUAAUUAUGUGCAUUUAAACAUAAUUUUGUUUCAUUUUUAGUUAUGGUCAUGGGAGCGAUUACAUGUGGGUCGUCUUAGUAGAUCACUUCCCCAUGCACACUACAGUGCCUAUAGAUAAGAUAUUCUCGCCAGAUGUACUAGGGAGUAGGUGGAGAGUUCCCUUAUCUCAUAGAGACACUCCUCAUCAUGUCUUGGGCACAUACAGAGAUGAGUUUGAUAAACAACGAUCUUAUUAGGUUUGGGCUAAAUAUUAGUAUUCUUUAACAAGAUUAUUAAUAUUAAUAUUAUAAUUUAUAUUUUAUUAAAUACAUGCUAAAAUUUGAAUAUAUUAGGUAUUAUGGCAGUCUUACACAGAUGAUAUACUAGCAUUGCUUCCAGACAUUUGUUUAGCUGAUUAGGAUAUUUGGCGGACUAUGUCACCAUUUUAUUUUUAUUUUAUAUUGUUGAGUGACAUUGUUUUGAGCGUGUGUUGCGACAAUUUGGACUCAUAAAGGGUAUUCCUUAAACAUCCUAUGUAGAUUCUGACCUUCACUCCAUAUAUCGACGCAGUCAACCUCAGUUUGAUUGGAGGUUAUAUCAUGAGCGCUACGUGGCAUUAUGGGAGGCUAGGAGGACCACAUUGUCACUGCGGAGCCUAUAGAGCCUCAUAUGGACUACCAUACUCCGUACAUGACAUGGUAUCGUCAUAUUACAUGUCCUUUUAUUACACAUAUGGAUGAUUUUGGACCUAUGCGAUACCAGACCAUUGCCUUAUCUACCCACUUAUUGGUUUGUAUCACUUUUAAUAUUAUGUACAUAUUGUGUAUAAUAUUUAUUCCAACAAAUAAAUAUAUAUCAUUUUAUGUGACAGAUUGAGACUAUGACAUCGAUCAUAUCUCGAGGAGGUCAUGCAUUGGAGGACUCUGAUAGUGAUGUUUGUCACACUGGUAUUGUUGAUAUUAUUCAUAUGGCCAUUGAUGUUAUGUGCAUUAUUCAAGAGGAUUAUUGUAUCUCACAUGUAGAGCAUGGAGGAGGUAGGUCACCAGCUUAGUCGACAGUUGCUCGACCACCACUUGUUCGAGGUCGGUUGACAUCUCAAGUGAGAGGCAGAUAUAUUAGUUGUUAGCCCAUCACAUCGUCAGUAUCAGCAUCAUUACAAUCUCCUACCUUUUUAUCCUCACGAUUAGUACAAUCACUCAUCUCUUCAGACUUACCAUCAGUGCAACGCCCUACUUCUUCAAACCUACCAUCAGUGCAACCCCCUAUCUCUUUAGACCCACCAUCAGUACAACCCCCUAUUUCUUUAGACUUACCUUCAGUUCAGGCCCCUAUUUCUUCAAACCCACCAUCAGCACAACCCCCUACCUCUUUAGACCCACCAUCAGUACAACCCCCUAUCUCUUUAGACUUACCUUCAGUUCAGGCCCCUAUUUCUUCAAACCCACCAUCAGCACAACCCCCUACCUCUUUAGACCCACCAUCAAUACAACCUCCUACCUCUUUAGACUUACUCCAUUACAACCUCCUACCUCUUCAGACCCACCAUCAGUGCAGAUUGACACAUCUACUCAACUAGAUUUACCGCCAGCCAUUCCAAGGGGUAGGUAGGGCCUACGUCGACCUAGAUUGCUACCUCCACUACCACCUCUAUUUCCAGCACCAACCCCAUCACAGACAGAUGUUCUUCAUGUGUCACAUGUAGUACCUGCUAUAGUUAGAGAGGAGCGUCUAAAAAGGAAGAGAGUACCAGUUACACAUAGGUUUUCUCCUUAUGGAGACGUGUGAGAUUAUAUAUGUUUUUUUCCACUAUAUUAAUGUUUAUUGGGUAUUUUUUUGUGACUUUGAUGAAACUACCAAAAAUUACAUUUUGUAGUAGACUUUUCUAUUUAAUUUCAUUAACUAAUUUUGUCAAAAAAUCUAUAUAUGGCAAUUAUGGCAUAAGAGUAUACUAAUAUUUCAAUAAAGAUAAAUUUGUCAUAAUAAAAAUAAAUUAAUAUCUUAAAAAAUAACAAAUUAAGUAUCUUAAAUUAAUAAAUUAAACAAUUUUAUAUAUUAUUUAUAUGUUAUAUAAGUUUAUUAUUUUGAGAUUAUUAAUUUAGUAAUAAAUGAAAUAUUUAUUUAUAAUAUCUUCUAUUUAUCAAUUUAUGUUUGUUGAAGUAAUACUAGAUUCUUAAGUUUAAAUAUAAAUAAUUUAUUAUUAAAGUAUAUAUUUUUAAUUUCAAUAAUAAAUUGUAAUUUAAUAGUUUUUAAUUAAAUUUGAAAGUAAUAAAUAAAUAAAUAAAUUGAAAUCUUAGUUGGCAACUACGGCUUAAAAGUAUACUAUUAUUUCAAUAAAAAUAAAUUUGUCAUAAUACAGAUAAAUUAAUAUCUUAAAAAACAACAAAUUAAAUAUCUUAAAUUAAUAAAUUAUACUAUUUUAUAUAUUAUUUAUAUGUUAUAUAAGUUUAUUAUUUAAAAAUUGUUAAUUUAUUAAUAAAUAAAAUAUUUAUUUAUAAUAUCUUCUAUUUAUCAAUUUAUGUUUGUUGAAGUAAUUGUAGACCCUCAAUUUUGUCCCUUUAGCACAUGUCUUUAAAUCCACUUCCAGUGCUCCACGGUAGUUCCUUGGUGGCCCAUUACUACUCGUACCACUUACCUUUUUUUGAGUCACCUCGGAGAUUUUGGUUGAGGGAUUGCCUAACCCCUUAUUGUGACCCUUGACAGUUUUGAUUUAGACUCAGGUUUUUUUCAUUUCUUUUUAGGAUAGCUCUUAGGCACCCUAGGCCCAUUUAGGCACUCUAGGCCCAUUUAGGCACCCUAGGUCCACUUAGGCACCCUAGGUCCACUUUAGGACACUUAGUUCAUUAGGCACCCAGGUAGGGCCGUUUAAACACUUCAUCGGGCUUAACUUUUAUAUAUAUAUAUAUAGAUAACUUUUAUUAUUAUUAUUAUUAUUAUUAUUAUUGCAUGCAUUCGAUAAUUAUAUAUAUUUUGUUUAUUCAUUUUCAUUUUUGCUCUUUAUUUGUUUAUUAUUAUCAUUGUCAUUAUUACUAUUAUUACUAUUUUUAUUUUUUUUUAUUUUUUUAUUUUUUUAUUUAUUUUUAUUCUUAUUUUAUUUAUUUACUUACUUAAUAGAAAAUUGUUGGAAUUGUUUAGAUUAAAAAUAUGCAUAUGACCCCCUUUGUUGAAGGACCAAAUUAUAUAAUCUAUUCUCUCCUAGUUCUCUUCCUUUUAUUUUAAAAUCAUGUUUUAUUCUAUUAUUUCCAUUGGUCUCUUUUCUUUCCUUUUAAUUUUGUUACUUUUAUUUUAUUCUGUUUUGCAUGAGGAGCACCGCCCCACCGCAAAGGCGGUGAUGCCCGAACUUGAUGAAAGACGGACUACUUCUUGCGUUUGUUUACACUACAGAGCACGGAGGCCUUUACAGCACUGUUACAGUCUGCCUGGAAUGCGUUGAAGUUUCUGCUACAGCUUGCAGCAGAGGCAGAGCCUCAAUGCAGGGGUUAAUGCAUCUCAAUCUGUUCAAGAAGUGACUGAUCCUAUAAUACCUGAGAAAGCAUCAGAAGCGGAAUUGAAUCCAUUUUUUUGCUGCUUCAAGUUCACAAGUUGACAUGGGUACUUCAGGGGAAGGUGCGGCAGAUGAUGUUGCUUCUAAUAAAUUGCAGCAGAGACAAAUUCCUGAUACAGGGGUCCAUGCAUCACAAUCUCAUCAAGGAGCAAUCAUGCCCUCCAUCAUACCUGAGAAGGCACCAGAAGAUGGAUACAACUGGCGAAAGUGUGGGCAAAAGCAUGUUAAAGGAAAUGAGUUUAUUCGUAGCUAUUACAGAUGACAAGAGAUGAGACUGAUAAUGAUGAUGAUCCUGACUCAAAAAGACAGAAGAAAGACAUUAAUAAUGUCGACGCCACCAAAAAUCCACAACACGCACUCCCUUUGAUAACGGGAGCAUGCACCAGAUUGAUGAGGACGCGGUUCGGGAACUGAGUGGUGAACAUCAGAUUUUUUUAUGGAGCUUGAUGCGGACCGUUUUAUUAAGGGCAUGGAAUCAGUAAUGAGGCGUCCAGUUCAUGAAGAUGUCACAGCUGACGUUGACUCUGAAGGAGGCUCGUCAUCUGACAUGGAUUUUGAUGAAUCUGAAGGUGACAGCAAUGUCGCAUAUCCAUAUGAGGAUAAGAGGUGUGCGAAGGCUCGGUGCUACUGCAGUGGACAUGCACCAUGAUGCUCUUGGGAUUGUAGAAGCGCAUUGGGAAUAAAACCAUGGGAUUGACGCCGCCAAGGAUGAUACGCAGUCCACGCAUGAGAAGAAGUGGACAUGUAGUCUACCAUUAGCGUACAACACGCAUGAUCAGUUCCGGGGAAUGGAGGGCUCCACAACACGGCCUGUAGCUUCUUUCCUUUUCUUUCUUUAAAAAUGAGCAGUCAUCACAUCGAAGAGAAGGGGGGAGCCAAUAAACUAGUCAUCUUUCAGCACUAUAGAAUUGAGAAAGUAAGAAUCUUCCACCUCAUAUUAAAUAAUUUUCAAAUCCGGAAAGAUGCAGCGUAUAAGGAAAUAUUGUGGCUGAAUAAGAGAUCCUUUGGGAGGACAAAAUAAGAAACCUGGUACACGGAUGGUGGUGCAUUCCAUAUCAGCAGUCAUACUUUCCAUACUGAAGAGGCCAUCCACGCGCAUUAAAAGAGGAAAUAAAAAUUCCCAUAGGGAGAGGCUGCCAUAUAAAUAAGAAAAAAAAAAAGGAAGCAGGAGGACUUUUUCUAGGGAAGCAGAGAUCCACGUAAAAAAACAAUUCUUUGAGAGAAGGCACACAGAGGAGAGAUAUUAUUUUUCGGGGGGAACAAAGAGAGGUCUGAAGGAAGAGGGAAGAGAUAUGAUUUUUCUAGGAUUGGAGAAGUUUUGAGAAGAAGGAAAGGAGAGGACAGCCAUGAGAGGUGGGAAUUGAGGCAGCCAUGACGCAGCCAUACGGGGGAAACAUGCACAACCCACAAAAAAAGAACACCACGCACCAUAAGUUUGGAAAUCGAUCAUGCUGCCAGAUUUUUGGAGCACACAACCAGCAGGCCUUCUGGACAUGUUCCAUGGAGAUCGGGGAAGAAACAGCUGCAUCAUCAAUAUAGAGAAGAGGGCUGCCACUUUGAGUCUUCAUUACGUAGCAGAUUUUGAUCCAAAGAGGAUCAUGCACAACCCGGAAAGAAUAUACAGACGCAUGAUAUGUGUGGGAUUUUCCAUCUUUUGGAGAGAACAUGCCUACAUAACCCAUGCACAGCUCGCACCUCUUCACAACUGUCAUCCAUGAUUCAAAGUCACAGCCGGCUCCAAGCACCAUUGCUCCAUACACACGCAGCCGUCAUGCUCCGUCCAUUGAGUGGUAUUUUAUCUAUUGUUUAGGUUUAAUUAUUUCCAAUAACAUUAUAUUCAUGAUUUAGUUUUAAAAUUAUUCCUAUUUGGCCUAUGCAUUUUAGAUUUUAUUCUAUUCUAUUUUUUAUUGUAAAUUCAUAUUUAGUUUAAAUGUUAAUUUUUAAUUUCUUUUUCUUAACUAAAUAAAUUAAUUUUGAUUUAUCAUCCUAGCUUGAAGAUUAUGAUUUUUGUUUAACGUAGUUACAAUUUAUUUGUUUAGUUUGGCAAAUUAGAUUUUUUUUAGUAUUAGUUUNNNNNNNNNNNNNNNNNNNNNNNNNNNNNNNNNNNNNNNNNNNNNNNNNNNNNNNNNNNNNNNNNNNNNNNNNNNNNNNNNNNNNNNNNNNNNNNNNNNNAGUUUGGCAAAUUAGAUUUUUUUUAGUAUUAGUUUGGGCAAUUUUUGUUGAUAAUGGAAAAGUUAGGAUUUUUUUAAAGUUUGGAUAAUUCAUGAUGAUAGUUAAAAAUUUAAAGUUUUGAUUUGCAUUAUUUUUAUUCUCAAUUAGGAAAUCCAUAAUUUCUUCUAGUUUAAGCUUUAAUUUAUCUUUUAGUUUAAAUGUUAUUAAAAUUCAGUUUAUUAGUUCAAUUGCUUCCAUGUCACUCUUUUCAUAUCUAAAAGUUGUUAAAUAUAAUUCAUGAUUCUUCCUUUUAGUUUAUUAGUUUUAGAAUUUAAGUUGGUUAAUUUAUUUCAUUCCGCGUUGAUAUAUUCAUGUUUUAAAAUAAAAAUAAUAAUAAUAAUAAUAAUAAAUAAAUUAAAUAAAUAAAUAAAAAGUAAAUAAUUAUUUUAGUUUGGACUGACCCUGUUUUAUGUUGAUAUUUUUUAGAGUUUUAAUUAAUUUGAUUGGUUUCAUAUUGUUUAGUUUAUGUUAAGAUUUUUUUAUUUUUUUUUUAUUUUUUCUUUCUAUUCCAUUUUUCCAUUAAUUCUAUGCUUUCGAAUUGUAGGCUAUUAGUUUAAUCUAUUCCCAUGUUGUCGUUUUGUGUUUAAAAAUAGUUCAUUUUAGUUUUUGACUAAUUUUAUUUAUUCUAUGUGUUUGUUUUCUUUUAUUCAAUUGUUUAGUUAGUCGAUUAAAUUUAUGACUUCAGAUCAUCAAUAUUAGUUGAUACGUAUCGUUUGUACUAUUUUAGAGAUCACAUAAUAUUUAGUGCUUGAUUAAGUUUAUCUUAAGAUUAAAUGUUUUUAAAGUUUCAGUGCUUGUAAGAUCUAAGGUUUUGGUUUAUCACUUUGCUCAUCCUUUGUCAAAAUCAAUUUUUAGAGGCCAUUGGAAAAUCAUGAAGAUUGGCCUCUACCAUCACCAUUAUCAUUUUUGUUAAUUACUAAAAAAGAUUUUACUUUGAGGUUUCAUUUUUCUUUUGUUUGGUAUUUUAUUUCUUAUAUUUUAUUUUUUCCAAAUUAAUUCCUUUUAUUUUAAAAUAAAAUACUUUUCUCAAAAAAAUCAUUUUAAAAAUCUAUUUCAAAAACUCAUUUAGAGUCCUUAGGAUCAAAAUCUUUUUUUUUUAUUUUAAAAAAAUAAUAUGCAACCAUAUUUUGUUCGGUUUGCAUCCUUCUCGGUUUUUAACAAAAAGUUUGGUUUUGAACAAAAACACGAAUCAAAGCUUGUAGUCCCACAUAAAUGGGAUAAUUCUGAGCUAAAUUCGUGUAUAUUAAUUUGGGGGAUUGGUGAAACCCCUACAUAAGAAAAUCUUUUCAAAAAUUAUUUUUGUUGCCAUUUUUGUCACUUGUUGAAAUUAUGUCUAUCUUUUUUAGGGAUUGUAUACAAGAUGUGUGUAAUAAUUAAUGUUUCCAUAUACUUUGAUAAUUUUUGUUAUGCUAAUUAGAUAACAAGCAUGCUAGGGUUUCUUUAUUUUAUUAUUAUCUAAUCCCUCAUGUCUUAUGGGAGUGCAUUGUAAGUUAUUUAUGCUAUCCAGGUACGCCCCCCUAUCACCUACUUUCUAAAUUUUGUAAAUAAUCAUGUCACUGUGAAGUAUGCAUAUGUUUGAUAAUCCUUAGGUGUUUAGAUGUAUGCUUGAUUCACUAUGAUUAAAUACAUGUUGUGUGUUAUACUUCUAUACUAACUCUGAUGUUUUAUGAUAGCGCUUGAAGAGCAGUUCAAGUACGCACCCUAACUCUCUGUUUUUGUGAUUUGAUCUUGUUUAGCAUGCAAAUCUUUUGAAAUCACCUAGCCUACUUAGGUAUCCAUAAUUAACCGAUUAAUUGCCAUAUUCCCCUUAACUUAGUCAGUAGAGACCUCUUUAGGGCUUAGAGGGGUGCUAUCUCCUAGAGGUACCUUCCCGAUAAGUAACCUGAUCCCCGGACUUAGACUCGGGUUUUUCAAAGACAUGCUUUUUCCAAAAAUUAUGGAGUCAUUUUUUUUAGGGUUUUAUUUCUUGUUUUAUUUUCCCUUCAAAAAUAAAAAUAAAAUAAGUGGCGACUCCAACUUUUUUUUCCAAAAAUCAAUUUUUCACAAAAAAUAAAUAAAAAGCGAGUCUCACCGAUCGAGUGGGGACGCACGUGAAAAAUGCGGGUUCACAGUAAUACUAAAUUCUUAAGUUUAAAUAUAAAUAAUUUAUUAUUAAAGUAUAUAUUUUUAUUUUCAAUAAUAAAUUGUAAUUUAAUAGUUUUUAAUUAAAUUUGAAAGUAAAAAAAAUAAUAAUAAUUGAAAUCUCAGUUGACAACUACAGCUUAAAAAUAUACUAUUAUUUCGAUAAAGAUAAAUUUGUCAUAAUACAAAUAAAUUAAUAUUUUAAAAAACAACAAAUUAAAUAUCUUAAAUUAAUAAAUUAUAGAAUUUUAUAUAUUAUUUAUAUGUUAUAUAAAUUUAUUAUUUUAAGAUUAUUAAUUUAUUAAUAAAUAAAAUAUUCAUUUAUAAUAUCUUCUAUUUAUCAAUUUAUGUUUGUUGAAGUAAUACUAGAUUUUUAAGUUUAAAUAUAAAUAAUUUAUUAUUUAAUUAUAUUUUUUUAAUUUCAAUAAUAAAUUGUAAUUUACUAAUUUUUAAUUAAAUUUUAAAUUAAAAAAAAUAAAUAAAACCUCAAUUGACAAUUGUGACUUUAAUUCAAAAAUAAAGUCGUAGUUAUCAAUUAAGGUUUCAGUUUAAAAAUGAAGUCUCAGUUGGAAACUACCGCGUUAGUUCAAAAAUGAAGCCUCAAUUGCUAAUUGAGGCCUCAGUUUUAAAACAAAGUCUUAGUUGGCAACUGCAAUUUUAGUUAAAAAAUGAAGUAUCGGUUGUCAAUUGAGGCUUCAGUUCAAAAAUGAAGUCUCAGUUAGCAACUGCAGCUUCAAUUCAAAAAUUAAAGUCUCUGUUGGCAACUGCGGUUUCAGUUCAAAAAUGAAACCUCAGUUCCCAAUUGAGGCUUUAGUUCAAAAAUGAAACCUCAGUUGACAACUGCGGUUUUAGUUCAAAAACUGAAGUCUCAAUUGACAACUAUGAUUUUAGUUCAAAAAGGAAAUCCCAGUUGUCAAUUGAGGCUUUAACUAAAAUUUUGAAAAAAAAAAUACAUUUUUAUGACAUGACUCUUACGUGGCAUCAAAGAGGCUAAUUUGAACAUAAGUUUCAUAAAGUGGUUAUAUCCAAUAUUUUUUUAAUAAAUGGGCCAUUUCUUUAUGUUAAUGAUCUAUGGUUUAUAUUUUAUAUUUUAUUGUGUAUCGAUUAUUUUUGUUUACUUUUUAUUUAAAGUUUUCUAAAACCUAGAUAAUUUUUUUUUAAUCGUAUUGAUUUUGUGGUGAAUGUUUAGCUUUUUUCAAAGUUUCUUAUGGAGAAAAUUAUCUUUUAUUUAAUUAGUGAAAAAAAUGAUGAGAAAAAAGGAAGAAAAUUACUUUUUAUCAUAUGUUCUCUUCUUUAUCAUAUAUUUUCUUCAUUCUCCACUCUCAUUAAUAUGAAUAUGGAAGAGCAUGAGUUCCCCCACAUACAAAUAAAAGAAGAAAUAAUUUCAAGAAUAUAUUGAUUAAAUCGAGGAAAAUAAAAGACAAAAUAGAAAAUUAAGUGAUUUUAAUGUGAAAGAUCAAGUCAAAAUAGAAAAAAAUCUUCAAAAAGCAAAGUUGCAUGUUGAAAAUUAGAGUGAUAAUAUUUUAAUAGAAUAAAAUUCUUAAUAAAGUAAAAUUGCAUGUUGAAAAUUAGGUUAGCUUUCUUAAUUAAUUUGUCUAGUUUUGGAGGAGUUCUAGUGUGAGACCUAUUAUAUUUUCUAAUAUCCAAAAUCUGAUUUUAAAAUAAUUUGACCCAUUGACUAGCUUAUUAACAUGCAAUCAAAAUUUUUCAAAGAGCCUACUACUAUAACACUUAUUAGCAUUAGGUCUUGGUCUCUUAUAUGUAGUGCACUUAGGACCUUACUUAGAGUUAUAUUCCCCAAAAAAGGAACUUUCCUAGGUUUUCAUAAAAGUAAUUUUGUCACUUAUAGUAGUUCUAGACUUGUUUAUGUAUCCUAAACUCUUGUCUCUAGACUUUCUCAUUUUGAAUCAUUUCAUUUAAAAUUUUAGGGUGAAGAUGGAAACUUUAGUAUUUUGACUUCCAAAGAUCUUUUUCCUACCAUCUAACUUUGAGAGGUUAAGGAUUUAUUCAAAAUCAAGGAACUUAAUUUUUUUCUUAUCAAAUUAUGAUGUUUACAAGUUGCUUCCUUAAUCUUAUUACCGAAAUUAGUUUUUUAAGAUUCAUAUGAAGUUAAUUUUUCAUUCAAUUCAUUUUUCUCAGAAAAUGCUCCAUCCACUUUCAAUAUAUAUAUAUAUAUAUAUAUAUAUAUAUAUAUAUAUAUAUAUAAGUCAAUGCAUGAUUAUGCAUCAGUAUCAGUCUAUAUAUCAUGUGCAAUUGAGCCUGUUAGAGAAUUAAAUUCAAGACAUUUAGAGUCGAAAGCAUUGUUUGUCAAAGAUGGAUGGUGGAUGAUGGCCCAGAAUAUUUUCCUUCUGAUCUAUGAAUGGAUGGAUGGAUGGAUGAGAAACUCUUCACGAAUGAAUCCACCUUUGAGAAGAAACGAUGUGGGGAUAUCAAAACAUUAAAGACGGUGUGGCUUUUAAUGAAACUUGGAGUGUUGAUCAUCUUAGAAAAUUGAUUGGAUGAAAUUUCACUGAAACUCCCUUGGAAUCGACUGUGGUCCAGAAUAAAUUAUUUCCAUUGCUUUUGCUUCGAAAUGGACUCCCUUCUCUACUAAGAGGUUCUUGUUGAAUACAAGUUAACCCAACUUGUGACAUAUGAAGGAAAGAGUUGAGAAACUGGAGUCAUACCUUGUGAUUGAACUAAAGAUUGUUGCCCAUUUUGAUAAAAAUGACAGUGUUGGCCCAUUUUGAUAAAAAAAAAAACAAUAACCAUCAAGUCAUUGAAAAAGCAAUAUUUCAUAUCAAUCCUCGAAGUUCACACUCUACAAGGAGACAAAGUCCCAACCAAGCUAUAGAGAUUUCCAAAAGAUACGGGUGAAAUUAAAUUUUGAUGGAUCCCACAAAGAUGUGGAGAGGACAGUUCCAUCAAGAUGAUUGUACUUUUACACCUAACUCCGAGUUUAUGUCCAAAAUAAUCCAGUGGUAGAAAAAAAUGAUAAGAAUAAUACUCAUCUCAAAAUAUUUGUCAAAUUAAUUUUUUGCAUCCAUGUAAACAUCCAUAUGGAAUUUUUUUUUUAAGUGUGUAAAACCAUCGUUGGUAACUGUGGUUUUAAAAGUUUCAGAAAUAUCCUUAAAACCACAAUUUAUGACGGUAGUUUUACAAUUUUCCUUAGAAUCACAGUUAGUAACUGUGGUCCAAAAUUAUUUUUACUCCACCCCCGUUUUAGUGGUAUUGUGUUUUUAAUAUUAUUUUUAAAAUAUUUUUUUAUCAUAAUAACCAUAAAACCACAGUUAGUAAUUGUGGUUUUGAAAAUAUCCUUAAAAACCACAAUCAUAAACUGUGGUUUUACAAUUUUCUUUAAAACCACAAUCACAGACUGUGGUUUUAUAAUUUUAUUUAAAACCACAGUUACUAACUGUGGGGUUUCACAAAUAUCUUUAAGGGGAACUCAUGUAACCAUACAUCAACUAAAAAAAUAUGAGAUUUUAAAACUUUGCUUUUUUAUUUUUAAUUUUAAUGUAAAUUAUGGAUGUAUCAAAAUUUCUUAACGAUGUAUCAAAUUUCCUUAAAGUUCUUUUUGGAAUGGGAAAAUUUUCUUACAAUUUUCCAUUGUCAGUUUAAAAUAUUCUUUUUUACAAAUUAUCCUUAAUAAAUUUUUUCUUUACAACUGUUUUAAAAUUAUAUAUAUACAUGUUAUCUUUAAUUUUUCAUAUUUUCCUUGAAAUUUUGAGAAAAUAAUUUCGCCUGCAUUCCGAUAAAAAUUUAUAUAUUUAUGGUAAAUAAAAUAUUUAUUUGUUUUAUGAAUUUUAUCACAUAUGAAUUAAAUAAAAUUAUUUUUUCAUAUUAUUUUUAAAUUUUAAAAUAACUAAAUAAAUUAUUUAUAUUAUUUUUAAAUUUUAUAUUUUCAUAUAAAAAUUAAUGUCAAUGAUUAUGAUUUUAGGUUAUUCCUUAAUAACGAUGGUUUUAUGGUUAUUAUGAUAAAAAAAUAUUUUAAAAAUAAUGCUAAAAUCAUAAUACCAUUAAAACAUGGAUGGAUUAAAAAUAAUUUUGAAACCAUAGUUACUAACUGUGCUUUUAAGGAAAAUUGUAAAACCACAGUCACAGAUUGUGGUUUUAAGGAUAUUUCUGGAACUUUUAAAACCACGGUCACCAACGAUGGUUUUACACACUUAAAAAAAAAAAUCAUGUGGAUGCUUACUUGGAUACAAAAUAUUAGUUUGACAAAUAUUUUGAGAUGUGUAUUAUUCUAACCAUUAUUUUGUACCAAUGGAUUAUUUUGUACUUAAACUCCCUAACUCCACAAUGAAUUGUCCAAGGGUCACCAUCUUUGUGGUCUCACAAUGGCAUAUAUAAAGAAAAGGACAACCCUAUGGUUGCUUAAUGCCAGAUAUAUUUGUCCCUCCCUGUAUAAGGCUCUUCUUGAUUCAUCUAGAUGCAUUUUUCCACAAUCUUUUAUAUUGUUAAAUAAUACUUGAGAUUUUAUAUAAUAUUUGAAUAAAUUUAGAUUUUUAAACUCAAUUACUUGGUAGAGUUUGGCAGGAUACAUAAAUAAUUUUUAUUUAUAAAAAGAAUGCAACAUUAUUAUUAUUCUUUGUUUUGUAAACAUAGUCCUAUUAGAUAAGAUUUUAGUUGUAGAGAUAGUAUGGAACUAAUUGCUCAUUACAAAUUAAUUUGUAGCUCGUUCUCACUAUAAGUUAAUUGAUAACACGGUUUAACAAGGCUUUGCAAAGGAAAAAGAAAAAAAGAAAAACUUUGUAAUUGAUAAGACACGGGCUUAAUGAGGCUUUGCAAAGGAAAAAGAAAAAAGAAAAUCUUUGUAAUUGAUAACACAUGGCUUAGCGAGGCUUCGCAAAGAAAAAAAAAAGCCUUGAUCGUAAGUUAGAAGUGAUUGGACAAGACCACUUGAUAGACGAUAAAGGCGGCAAAAAAAAUCCCAAUCAACACCACCACUUUCAACUAACAUUCCAAACGAAAGGAGCCAACAAGGACUGAUAGCUGAAAAUAAAGUAGUCCUGCACAUCAUAUCGAACACAAAAACUUGGUAGUCUGGAGUCUUUCUUAAUAGUUAUUGUGAAAGACCCUAUUGAAAUAUUAUACUAACGGGAAUAAAUAGAAAAUAGGGUAUAUGUAUUUUAUGAGACACCCAUGACAGCAUAGGCUGAUAGUAAUUGUGAUCCAUUUUCUUAGCUUGGUAACAAGCUAGUAUAAGUCUAAUCUACAAGGAAGGACUAGUACUGAUGCCGGAAUAAAUAACCCCAAGCACAACUAUGGAGCCUUGACAAUCCAAAUACGCAUAAACCACACUUCUAGCAGAGCCUUAAGCUAUUGUUCUCCGUUUUCUAAUGGCCGGCCCAAUCUCUCUCCCUCUCUACGAAAAGUUGCCCCAGAAGAAUACAGUCCAGAGAGUGUUGGACGUCACCAUUUUCGUCCUUCUCCUCACUCUCCUUGCUUAUCGUAUCCUCUCCCUCAAAAGCAAUGGCUUCAGUUGGUUCUUCGCAUUACUCUGUGAGUCAUGGUUCACCUUUGUUUGGGUUGUUAUACUCAGCUCCAAAUGGAAUCCAGUGGUGUACCGCACAUAUCCAGAACGCCUUUUAUUUUGGUAUCUGAAUAAUUGUCUGAGUUCAACUCUUAUCAUUCAUUUAAUGUGUUACCUCAUAUAUUACCUUUUCUGCUUUGAUAUUUUGCCUUCACUGUUUAUAGCAUAUUUCAUAUUGUCUAUCCAAAACUUUAUACUAUGAUAUUUUCAAUAGGAUUGAUGAGCUUCCUCCAGUCGACAUGUUUGUGACAACUGCAGAUCCCACUCUAGAACCGCCUAUCAUCACUGUUAACACAGUCCUCUCCUUGCUAGCAUUUGACUAUCCAGCUAACAAGCUUGCUUGCUAUGUAUCUGAUGAUGGCUGUUCACCUCUCACCUUUUAUGCUCUCCUGGAAGCAUCAAAGUUUGCUAAGCUUUGGGUUCCCUUUUGUAAGAAGUAUGGUAUUCACACAAGAGCUCCCUUUAGAUACUUUUACGAUGAGGAGGAAUCACCCCAUGAUAAUUCAACAGAGUUCAUCCGAGAAUACACAAAGAUGAAGGUGAUUCAAGCAAUUACAUUAAGACAAAUAAUUUAAGAAAAAAAUAAAAAUAUUGACUUUUUAAUAGUAAUUUUUAAAAACCUAGAAAAUCUAAGUUAAACUUUCCAACAAGUAGAAAUUUCAAAAAGUGCUUCUAAAGUAAGCAUAUAGGAUUCCUAUAAAAGUUAGGUGGUGUUUGUUUUUUUACUUAAUUUUAAAUAAAACCUUAAUGCUUAAUAGUGUUAAAUAUUAGGUUGUUUGUUUUUGUAGCAUUUUAUUUUUAUUAAGUAUUAAAAAGUAAAGCAAAACAAAUAUGUUAUUUUUUCUAUUUAGAAAAAAUUAAAUAUUUUUAUUUUUUCUAUUCAAUAAAAAGUUUAUAAUAAGUCAUGAAAAAAUAAAAAAACAAUCUAAAUUCUGGAAACAAAUUACUUUCAGCAAAAAGCCAAAAAAAUAAACACCCUCUUGGAUUUUUAUAUAAAGAAUAGUAAUACUUCUGCAAAACCUUUCAAGAAGUUUUUAAAAAUCUUUUUCAGGUUAGAUAUUGAAUAAUAAAUAAAAAAAACUUCGCAAAUAUUUGCCAUAAGUAUUGGGCAUCCUUUGUUAAACUGUCUUCAUCUCUUUGUAGGAUGAAUAUGAAGUGCUCAGAAGGAAAAUUGAAGAUGCAACCGAAAAGUCCAUACCAUGUGAUCUUAGUUCUGAAGAGUUUGUUGCUUUCUCGGAUAUAGAAAGGAGAAAUCAUCCUAGUAUCAUCAAGGUAUAUAAAUAUCUCACUUAUUGAUCAUUACUUAAUUUCAAAAUAGACGAUGAAUCUUAAUCUAAUUGUUCGAGAUAGAAAGACAGUACAACUAAUUUGUUUUUUUGCAUAGAAAUCAAAUGAGUUUUCCAUCAGCCCCAACACACGCACUGACAUGUUCAGUGAGUGUGUUAAUUUCUUUUUUCUUUCCUUUUUUUUUCCUUUAAUUAGAAGAUAUUAUUUAUCAGUGUUUGGAUUAUUUUUAAAAAGACAACAAAUUUAAAGCCGUAACCUUUUUGUUGACAUGAGAACCCGAAACAGUACUAAACGAAAUAUCACUGGGCAAAUUAAUGGUAUUCCAUAGACGUUCGAUUAGUAAUUAAUGCUGGUGCACUUGCAGCCUAAAAUAGGCUAUUGAUAUCUAAAUCCAUAGACGUUCGAUUAGUAAUUAAUGCCGGUGCACUUGCAGCCUAAAAUGGAGCAUUUAUUGAACAAUUCACACUGAUUUAGAUUGCUUCUUUGUAGGUUAUAUUGGAGAACAAGGAGGGCCUCGUGGAUGGAUUGCCACAUCUAAUCUAUGUAUCCAGAGAGAAGUGCCCAAAGUAUCCGCACCAUUACAAAGCUGGGGCACUGAAUGUUCUGGUAAACAAUUUCCUUGAACUAGUACUAUUCAUACUAUGUCUAGUAUCUAAUUAUUUUUCCCUGGUUGUUUUAUAAACAGACUAGAGUUUCAGGAGCAAUGACAAAUGCUCCUUUCAUCUUGAAUGUAGACUGUGAUAUGUACGCCAACAAUUCACAGAUUGUUUUUCAUGCAAUGUGUUUGCUCCUUGGUUGUAAGAAAGGACAAGACUUUGCAUUUGCUCAAUCUCCACAAAUCUUCUAUGAUGGUUUAAAGGAUGACCCACUCGGAAAUCAACUAGUAGCUACGCAGAAAGUACGUUAAAUAUUCAAAAUCUAAAAAUUGAUCUCUUCCAUACCAUAAAGCACAUGAGCUAUUUUUGGAUGGGAACUGUGAAGAUUUUUUGCUGAUAUAGAGACUUCUUUUCUUUUUCUUAUUAAUAUGUUUCAAUCAGUAUAUCGGUGAAGGAAUAUCAGGGCUUCAAGGACCUUACUAUUCUGGUACUGGAUGUUUUCAUCGGAGAAAAGUUCUCUAUGGGUUAUGGCCAGAUGGCUGCAUGGAAACCGGAGGAAGAAGUCCUAAUUGUGUGGCUGGUAAGCAAAUCUACUUUUGACAAUCAUCUUUUAUUACAUUUUUCUUCUUGUUUUGUGUCUUAUGUAUUAUUCAAAUUCUUUGUUGGGAUUACAAAUAUUGUAGAAACCUCUGCAUGAUAAUUUUUCUAUACUUUUUGGUAGGCAAAUUAACUGAUGAGGGAUUACGACAAUCUUUUGGACAUUCAAGGGAAUUCUCUAAAACGGUUGAAAGGAUUUUAUCAGGGUUGAGUGGGAAGGCCGAUUGUCCAUAUGAUCUUUCAAGUUCUGCAGAGGCAGCAAACCAAGUUGCAGAUUGUGGCUACGAGUGUGGCACUAGUUGGGGUACAAAGGUGAGUUGUAAAACAAUUUGAACAACCAAAAAUGCUUGAAAGCAGAAUGGUUUGGGACUUAAAAGAUUAGGGUUAAAAGGCUUUUACCUAAGAGACUGAACAAAAGGCUUCAUAGCAUAAUUUUUCUCUAGAACAAAAUACACCAUUGAUGAAAGUUUAAUGGUAACCUCUAUCACAACAUAACCAGUAUACAGUGUUUUUGCUAAUUGACGUAUUGGCCAUGCGGGCCGUGAUCUCAGAUUGGUUGGAUAUAUGGAUCCACUAGCGAAGACGUUCUUACAGGACUGAAGAUUCAUGCAAGAGGUUGGAGAUCUGCCGAGUGCAAGCCUGAUCCACCUGCAUUUCUCGGCUGUGCUCCCUCAGGAGGACCUGCUUCAUUGACCCAACAAAAGAGAUGGGUCACAGGCCUCCUCGAGAUCCUGUUCAGCAAGAAUAAUCCAUUCAUUGCUACCCUCACUGCCAAGCUCCAAUUCCGCCAAUGCCUCGCAUAUAUGUACAUUCUUUCAUGGGGUCUACGGUGGAUUCCUGAGCUUUGCUAUAUUGCUUUGCCAGCAUAUUGCAUCAUCGCCAAUUCACAUUUCUUGCCCAAGGUGAGGAGAACCUACAACCUUCCAAUUUCUUCACAUAUCAUAAUUACUUCACUUAGUUUUCUGUGGUCUAUAUAUGCUGGAUGUUCAUUUGAUGGUUCUUAUAUAUGAUGGUUAUUUCUCAUAUUUGUCUCAUUCUUGAUCUGAUAAGUCCAUUAUUCUAUGUUGGCAUAUACUUCGGCCUAUUUAUGGAUUAAAAUUGAUCUAACAAUGAAAUGUCCAACUCAGAUAUAGUUUUGUGACCCUGGUUUGAUAAAGGUUAAUCUAUGAAAUAAUGUCAAGAUAUCCUAUGGUGACUCGUCAUUUGAAUGGCCAGCUUGAUGCCAAGGUAUAGAAGUUAAUAUCAUAAAAAACAUCUUGAAUUGCUAGCAUUUUGCGCAGGUAUAGAUGUUAACAUAUAUAAUUUGAAUCUAGUUAGUCCAACAUUUGUCAAGACAUAUAUUGGUGGCAAUGAGUCUACAUGUCUUUUACUUAGACUUAGGCCUUGUUUCUGAUAACUUCUUUCUUCUUUAAGUAGAAGUUGAAUCGAAAUUGAAGUCAUAAUUCUCCAAGGAUAAUAUUAAUAUAAUAAAAGUUCCAUUAAACAUCAAAUAACUUCUUAUAUAAACUAAAAUAGUACUUAUAUGAGAAAUAAUAUUUUCCUCACUUUCAUAUAAGCUAUCUUAAGUCAUAUAUUCUUUUAACAAAUUCAUAUAAAUGUGUACAAAAGUUUUUAUACAUUGAAAUUUACAAAGAACUUUGGCUUCUCACAAGCCAUUCCAGAUAAAGCCUUAAUAUAUAUGGAAUCCACUUAGAUAAAAGUUACUUAUAGAAUCACCAUCAUCAGCCCAUAUAACGUAUUGAAGUAUUAAUGUUGCCUCUUAGUACAAUCUUGAGUGAGCUUGCUUAAAAUAGUUAAUAAAAUUUUAAGUUCAGAAACCUUUUCAUGUAAUAUGUUAACCAAAAGCAUCUCUGGCUCCAAAUCUGUGGGAAAUAGUUUUUGAACUAUAAAUCUUAUUUCUAGUUUAAAGUGUAUAAUUAAUAUAAUUAGAUAAUCUGCAAGGUACUUUUGAAUUAAAUUCUAUCAAGAUCUUAAAAUGUGCAAAUUCAUGCAUGCAUGCAGGUUGAGGAACCAGCCUUCUUGAUACUAGCAGCUCUCUUUGCCAUUUACAACCUUCACUCUCUACUUGAAUACUGUAGAAUUGGGCUCUCAAUCCGAACAUGGUGGAACAACCAAAGGAUGGGAAGAAUAAUCACCAUGACUGCAUGGUUUUUUGGAUUUUUAAAUGUCAUACUGAAGCUCUUGGGCUUGUUCGAGGCUGUCUUUGAGGUUACACAAAAGAACCAAUCUAGUGCCUCUGGCGAUGACAACCACAAGGAUGCUGGUCGAUUCACAUUCAAUGAGUCCCCAAUUUUUGUUCCAGCCACUACUCUUGUGUUGGUGCACCUGGUGGCAAUGGUUAAAGCCCUGUUAAACCUAACUCAUGGAAGGCAUGAAUCAAGGAUAGGAGAGGUGAUAUGUAAUGUGUGGGUGUUGUUAUGCUUCUUACCUUUUCUGAAAGGGCUGUUCAAGAAAGGAAAAUAUGGCAUACCCUCAUCCACCAUAUGCAAAUCAGCAGCUUUAGCAGCAGUUUUUGUGCACUUGUGCGAAAGGGUCUCAAUAGCUUGAGAUAAUGGAUAGAAUACCUUGAGAUAUCUUUGCUAUUUUCAUGUUUUUCAGUACUUCAUAUGAAUAAAAUGGAUUUAAUUUUACAUCAUAGAAUUUAAGUUUCAUGCUCGAUAAUUCUUUGAGUCCCCUAGCGGAAGGACAUUAAAUUUGUAAUAAUCCAUGAGUAUCAAGAAUCAAACACAAGAAAGAACUGAAGAUGCAUAAGGCUAGUUGAGAGGGGUGUAGAAGUCGAAGCUUAUGUGUGAUAUGAUAGUGGAGAUUUUCUAAAAGCAAGAUAAAACAAAACAAGAGUUGGUGAUGUAAACAUUGAUACCAUCAACAUUGAUAUCCAUUUUUAGGGAUACGAUUAUACAAGGUGCUAUUGCAGUGAAAAAAAUCCCUAUAAUGGGCAAUCUCGCAUAAAUGAUGACCAAGUUCGUUAUUACAAUUAAGUUUAGGUAUUGCUUAGACUUCAUUGGUAUUAGUAGCAUCUGAAGGCCCUUUCAGGGUGUGGAAGCAAAGUAACUUGGAAGACUUUCCAGUUUGUUUGAAUCUUGGGAAUUUCAGCCAAAGUAGAAAUUGUUGAAAAGUGUCUCAAAUUCUAUUUUUGAGUCAAUUGGAAAGUUAUAGAUAGUUUCCUAAUAGAAAAUAUUCGUGUAAAUGGGUUUCCUAUUAUUAUAAAGGAAAUAUCCUAUUACAAGAUCUUCUUUUAGGAAAAAACAUCUUUGAAAAUUAUUCAUUUAGUUUCUUAUAUGGAAUCUUUCUAUGUAACUAGGAAAAUAUAUAUAGGAAGAGAUUUUGACCAAAAUAAAGAGUCUCUUUUUUGGGUGUAAUUGGGACUUUAAGAUUUGAAAGCUCUAAAUUGAAGAUUUCUAGAACAUCAAAAGAUUCCAAGCAUAACAAACUAGUACUAAAGCUUUUGCUGACACAACAAUUAAAAGGAGAGCAAACAAGCAAAUGGGAAGGCACAUGGGUUUUGGUGGAAAAUAUAUAUGUACGUAGUAAUUUGAUGAGAACUUGUGAUAAGAUGUAAGUCACUAUAUCCAAAAUCAAAAUACCAACUUUAAUCUUUAAUUAUUGCUUUCAUUAACUUCUUAAUUUUUAAUUACAUAAGUUUCAAUAACAUGAGGAGAUGAUGAACAUACAUAUAGAUUUUUUGCAAUGUUAUUUCUUUGGUUAACUUCUUAAUUUUUAAUUAUAUAAAUUUCAAUGACGCCAUGGUGAAAGUGUAUAUAGAUUUGUAUGAAACAUUGCAAAAUUCUUUGCUAUUUAUUUUGUGCUAACUUAGAAAGAUCAAUUACAAUUCAAUUACUAUAGUUCUCAUAGAAAGCUAUUUCUUUGAAAUUAAUCUUCAAGUAAUUAUAACAGAAUAAAUUUCUCUAAAAUUAACUCUUGACUAAAGUAUAUAAUCUUACUAUUAAUACGUAGAUAGAUAUGAAGAAAGUCUUAAGAUGAUAUUAUUAAAUGACAUUUUUACCUAUGAUUCUCAAUAAAAAUAAAAAUAAAAAUGAUUUUUAAGAUAAAGGAAAAUAUUACUAAUAGUUGAAAUAUUAGAUAAAAGUAUAUCAUUAAAAUUCAAAAUUAUUUGACAUUUUUACCUAUGACAACAAAAAAUAAUUUCCAUAGUAAGUGGAAUAUUAUUUACAAUUAAUCUAGCAAAAUAGAAGUAUAUAACAACUACAAUAGAAUGAUUACUAUUACUAUUCAUUGUAAAAAUCGGUUUAAAUUGAGAAUACAUGAACAUGGAACCACACACAUAAAUGCGAUUCAGUAAUUAGUUUUGAUAUCAUUUCCACUACAAUAAAAUAAAAGUGAUAUUACUAGACAUUUACUUAAAUAAAAAUAUAUUUUUUAAUACUUUCUAUAUUAUAAAGUGACUAAUACAUCUUAUAUAUUUUAUAUUAUCGUCUUACUAUGAUAAAAAUUUAUGACAUAUAUUUAAGAGUAUAAAAGUAUGGCUGUGUGUAUUUCAAUUUGAAAUAGAAACUCUUAAAUUUGUGUGUAUUUGGAUAAAAUUAUCUCUUAGAGGAUUUUUUGCAAAAGCGUUAUGUGGUGAUGUGCACUUGCAAUGAUGGUCAAACAUUGAUGUAAUUUUAAGGUAAUUGUAUAUCAUUAAGUUAUUUUUUAUUAUGUGUUAUUACUUAUAAAACACACACAUGUUCUAAUAUGUCAAACUAAAAGUGAAAAUGAAUAAAUGUAUUUGACUUAUUAAUUAAGUUUCUAAUUUUAGGAGAAAAAAAUAUGAGAAAAGUAAAGCGAGAGAUAGGAUAGAUGAAUAGGUCUAAGCCUUUAUAUAUUCGACGGGAUGCAAACACCAAUAAAUAAUAUUAGAUACAACAUAAAUGUUAUAUUUAAAAUAAUAAUUGAUUUUAUUUUAAUAUAAUUCUAAAUCAUUAUUAUAAAUAAUAAAAUAAACUACUAAUAAUCAUAACAAUUGCAUAUUGUAUUACAAUAAUUAAUUAUAUAUAAAUAAUUUACAACCUUUUACUAUUUCAUUUUGAAUGUAACCAUUCUUGUAUAGAAGUUUCAUGACUAACAUAGACCUCAAUUAGAUGCAAAAUCAAUUUUAAAAAAAAGUUUAAUAUAUUUUACCGUCAGUCUAUCUCGUGAUUUACACAUUGUCCUUUUAGGUUUAAAAUCAAACACAUUAAACCUCAAGCUUCUUAUUGCAUUCAACAUUGUCUUUUUUGUUGGACGGUGUUAGUUUAAGUGGACGGAAAUCUCACGUGUUGUGCACAUGACCGACUAAUGAAGGGUAGACGUGUAAAUUCCCAAACCCAAAAAUCCCCAAACAGCUCUUCCUUUCUCAAUCUUCAUCUUUGUUUUCGUUUGUAACAUAAUGCACCCCUAGCCCUUUUUUUGUUUUUGUUUUUUUUUUUUUUUUUUUUUGACAAUAGUGCUUAGUCACAAAAUUAUUGACGAAAUGGUAGGAUCUAAUGGCGAAAUUAUUUUAUUUUCUAUGAUUUUUUUUUCAUCAUAAAAUUGUGAUUAUUCCAUGACAAUUCCAAUUUCAUGACCAAAACUUAAUUUUUUAUGACGAAAUAGAAGAUUUGUAAAUCAUGACUUUUAGUGACAAGCUUUUGUCAAUGAACCUAAUGACAAAAUUUUCUUACAAUACCCUAUUAGUGGCAAAUUAUUGUUUAUUUAUGACAAAUACUUCUGUGGCAAAAACUAAUAUUUGUUGUAGUGCACAAAAUAAAGUCGCAUACCUCUAAAGAGGUUUAUAUAGGCUUCCCCGUGGACUUAAGUAAUGUGAAUCCAUGUUGGGUUUGAGCCACUUAUCUAACCUACUUGGGUCAUAAUUAAUGAAGUAACCAUAUUUGGCUCCAAUUAAUUAAUCAACCUAGUCCAAAAAGACCAUUCAUGCUCUCUUGUGCAACCUUUUAUUUUUACCAAAAUGUCUUUAUGCACAUAUGUUAACAAGGAACCUAAAUAUCCCUUAAUAAAUUUGUCAUCAAGGAAUAUGACUUAAGUGGUGGCCAUAAGGAUCCAUAAGAAAAUACUGGCUUCCUCAUAAUUAGAUUUUCAAGUUGACCAACACGUUGCAACAAAGAAUCAACUGCACUUUAGUAUUCAUAAACAAGGUAUAUGCUAUCAAUCUCUCAAGAUUAUCUUUUCAAUCCUUGAGCUUCAAAUUCUCAUAUUAUGUGAUCAAUUGACAUAGUCUAGCUCUCCAAGAGUAUACAUCGAAUUCAAAUUAAGAAAUUACUAUGAUCAUAGUUUUAUUGAUCACAUAUUCUUAGGAUCACUUAAACAUUAUAAUAAAUAUCAAUUUUUGUCAUGAAAGUGAUCGUCAUAGAUAAACAAUAAUUUGUACUAUUAGUGCAUUAUGACAAAAAAAAAAAAAAAAUUGUCACUAGGUUUGUAGACACAGUUGCAUCAGUGAAAGUUAUGAUCCACGAAUCUUCUGUUUCAUCAUGAAAAAUUAAGUGGUGGCAAAAUUAGAACUGUCACUGAAUAAUCACAUUUUAUGAUGCAAAAAUUCGUCAUAGAAAAUAACAAAAAAUUUUCACUAGAUCCUACCAUUUUUUCACUAAAAGAUAUAUUUUUUGUGACAAAAAAAAUGAUAUAAUUUUGUCACCAAACAUAUAUUUUUAUGACAAAAGUGUUCAUCAUGAAAGAGGUAUCUUUAGUGACAAACAUAAUUUUGUGGCAAAAGGAUUUUUUUAAUGAUAAUUUACUGUUAUCACUUUGGAAUAUUUUAUAAAGCUCGAGUCAAUUUCUAAAGUCAAGAUGUUAAUAUUAACUUGCAAUUCUUGUGAUUUGAACUCAUGUCUUUUCACUCUAAAAACACUUAUUUUUACCAUAUCAUUGAUAAACCAAUUGAUGUUUAAAAAGGUCUACUAUAAAAACAUAUUCAUAUUAAUGAGGUAAUAAAAGGUUGAGAAAAAAAAUUAAAGAUUGCAAAUCAAAUUUCAUAAAAUUAUCAAUUCUUAUUUGCAUACAAACAUUAUUAUCUUUAAAAAAAUGCUAAAGAAAAUAAAACUCUAAAUUUAAAAAUAAAUUUUAAUGUCUGAAAUGAGAAAUCAUUUUUAAAAUUUUCUAACUUUUAUCUUUUAUCAAUGCAAAAUAACAAUGUUACUAUGAUGAUAUUUAUUCAUUAUGAAAUAUUACUUUUAUUUAUUUAAUUAUUUUUUUAUAGUUAAACAUUAUAUGAUAUAAUAGAAAAUGCAUAUUUGAUAUGUGUGUGUAUGUGCGUUUUCUAAUCAUUAGUGAUGUAAAAAAAUUUAUUAGAAAAUAUUUGAUAAUAAAUAAUUUUAUGACAUAACAUAUUCUUCAUUAUAUAUAUAUAUAUAUAUAUAAUUGGUCAUAUUAAAUUAUUUGCUCUAAAACAUGUCAACAAAAAUGUAAAAGUAUUACUAUUUUUUGUCGCUAACCACUAUUAUCAUAAAAAUAAAAUAUAAAAAAUACUUUGAUGACAAAGUAAUUUGUCACAAAAGAAUAAGUGACUUUUAAUUUAAUUUUUUUUUUUUCAUAAUGCAACAAUAUUAUUAUAGAAUAAUAAUUACAAAUUGUAAAUAUAUUUUCGAAAAAAGGGUUGAUGAUUUAGUGGUGAAAAAUCUUCAUCACUAGAAAUUGAAAAUUGGUGACAAAUAAUUUCAUCACAAAUAUAUGUAUUUCAUCAUUAGUGACGAAAAUUAUUCAUUAUUGAAAAUUAAAAAUUAGUGACAAUAAAUUUAUCACAAAAAUAUGUAUUUCGUCAUCAAAUAAUUUUCCUCCAUAUGAUGAGAGAGGCAAUUUUUUGUGUUAUUUCUUUAGUGACAAAAACUAGUUUUGUAAAGAAAACUUAAUAGUGAAAUAUUAUUAAAGACAACAAACAAAUUUUGUCUCUAUAUGCUAAUAGAGAUGAACAUUUAAUUUGUUAUCAAAUCUUUUUGUAACAAGGAUAAUGAGACGUUCAUGAAACAAAAUAAUUUUCUUCACAUAAUAUUCAUUUUUAGCAACAAAAGGUUAGUGUUGUUGAUCAUCAUCUUUCUUGUAGUGAACUAAUCCAUCUUGCUCAAUUUUAUCCAUAAGAACUUUUUAUAGUGAAGCUCUUGGAACUUGAAAAUCAACUUGAGACUUACUUUAUUGAUAUGUACUCUAGUAGUGAGUUUUCAAGAGUGAUAGAUAUUGAUGAUCUUGAAAAAAAUAAUAGUUGAGACAAAAAACACACACUCAUACACAUCAUAUAUCCAUUAGUUUACUUGUUUGUUACAUUGGUUGUAAACUUAUUUAUUGCAUGAGAGGUAUUUUUCUAUUAUAAAUAUCAAGAAAAACUUAUUGCAAAAUUGCAUAGGAGAUCAAUGCAUGGUUGCAACUACUAUUUUGGAGAGGGAGUUUUCUACUAUGAAUAUAGCGAAGAAUCAAAUGCAAAAUUGAAUGGGAAAUCAAUGGAUGAAUGAAGACUUGCUUUUAUAUAUAUAGAAAUAUAUUUAUUUGAUAUCAUUGAUAACGAAAUUAUUAUAGAAACUAAAAGCAAAUAAAUUUGAUAUCAUUGAUAACGAAAUCAAUCUCCAACGGCACAUGCAUGCAGAGCAUAAAACACGUCCAAAUUUAUUAAUUUAUCAUUUGAUUUAUUUUAUUUUGUAUUUUACAUAAUUCUAAUAUGUAAUAAAAAAAAUUGAAGUUUUAUCUUUUAACUAGUGAAAGUUAGAAUUUAUCAUAAAAUUUGUACAAGACAAAAAUAAAUCAUAAAUAAUUUAAACAUGGGUGUAAAAUGUGUUCAAUUUGUAACAAUGUUGCUCCUUCAAAAUAAUGAUUUAAAAAGUAAGUUCAAGAUUAACUUGACUUGAAAUAUAGUGCUAGCUUCUAGAUUAUGUCAAGUUGUGAUUCACCAUUUCACCUUAUUGAUAACCCAUUAACUUUUAGGUGAAAGGUUAAAAGUUUUGGGCAAAGUUAAGUAUUUUGUACUAUCAUCAUUAAUGGUAUGAGUAGUUUCUUUUAAAUACAUUUUGUAUUUUUAAAAAAAAUUAUUAUGUGCUUUAAAAAGUGAAAUUUGUUUAAAAACUAAAAUUUGAAGAUAAAACAUUUAGUUCUAUUAUUUAAAAUUUUGAUUGUGAGAAACAAUUAAGAAGGGAUUUAUAAAGAUUUUUAUGUUAAAUUUUUCUUGAAAUGAGUAAAAUUAUAGUAUUUAUUUCCAUAAUUAAAACUUGUUUUGGUUCUUAUCUAAUCCAUUUUUUAAAUUAAAAAUUUACUCAUUUCUUUUACACCAUUACCUAUUAAUUAUUACUUUUCACAUAUAUUGAUUUUAUUUCUUUUGUAAAAAAAUAAUUCCAAAUUAAUUAUAUGAGGGUAAAUUCUCAAACAACAUUUAGAAAUAAUUUAACUAACCAAAAUUCAUCAAAUUACACUAAUAAGUAAAGCUACUCACAAAAAUUAUAGCCUCUAAAAAACAAUUAAAAUCCUAUAAAAUAACUCUAAAUAAUAUAAAAUUUUUAUAUCCAACUCUAAAUUGAAAUUAAUUUUUUUUUUCCCAAAUACCCUAACCCAUUUAUAUUUUUUUCUAGAAAUUAAAAUUUGCCAAAGGGCACGUGGAUUGCAAUGACCACCCAAAUACCAACCCCACUCAAAAGCCUAAUUUUCCUCUAUAUAAAUAGUGAAACUUUAGAAAGAGUAGCAGUCAGAGGCAUGUCUCGUUCUCUUUCACUCACUCUCAUGCUCACUUACUUGUCAGAAAAAGUGAGAAAAUUUUAGGGUUUUCUAUUUUCUUUGAUCAAUCUCGUGCAAAUCCUAAAAAUGUCGAAUUUUUCUUUCUCCGAUUGGAGUCAAUUUCUAGAUCAAUGGGGAGCGAGUUCUAGUUCCAGUUCUUCCAAUGCCAACCGCAUGCCCGAAAAAAUCACCCCCACUGCUACUUCUGUGGAGAAGUUGAUCAAGGAUAUUGAGAACCCACUGACUCGAGAACAUGCUCUAUUUCUUCUAUCAAGGGUAUAUGAAAAAACUAUUUUUCAUUUUUGUAAUCUAUUUGGUUGGUAAGAAAAUGUGAGAAAAGAGAGCGAUCUAGGUUUUUCUUUCUUAUCAUUUCUAAUCUACCAAGAGGAUUAAUAGAUUUUGUUUAUCUAAUGAUCUUUACUUGAUUAAAGUCUUUGCAUAUGGGUUUUAUCAUGUGGAUAUAGAAAAAAAUUGGAAGAUCUGGUAUUGGGUUGAAGAUAUGGUAUUGGGUUGAUCUAGAUCUUCUUGCUUUGCUAGGAAAAUGCUUGUUUUUUAUUGUGAUGUUUGUGUGAUUUAGAUGUGAGGUUUUUUUUAUGAAACCAAAUUUUCAUUAAAAAAAAAAAAAAUUCUUUCUUUGUUAACCUAGAUCAAAAUCAUUCUUACUUUGAAAUCUAGGGUUUAAACCCUAGGUCACAAUGAUUCAUAUUUAUAGUGUGUUUAGUGAAAGGAAAUAAUUCAAGAUCUUAUCUUGUUAUUGUUUAGCCUUCUCAUAUCUUUUAUACUAAUCUAUCAUCCUCAUUUUAAGAACAAUGCUUUUUGAAAUCUUAUAGUAUUUUUUUUUAAUUUAGUUAUGAUUAUUGUUUUAUCUUACCCCCUUCAAGGAUCAUCAUUUUAUGUCAUUUUUAAACUUUAGAAUUUAUAUAAGUGGAUUAAUGUUUGAUAUAUGUAUAAUAAGAAAAUAAUGAAACUUGCAGGAAGAUUUAAGACUGAUAAGACUAAAAGCUCAUACAAGCAAGAAUUUGUCAAGAAAAGUUUUUUGCAGGUUUUACUAAUUAAUGAAAACUAAAAAAAAAAAAAAAAAAUCAACUUCUCAUAUAUGUAUUGGAAUACUAACAAAGUGAAUACAAAAGAAAGGGGAGUUAAUUCUAAUGUUAAUUUUAUAAGGUGUCUUAUUUGUGAAAAAUGAUGUAUCCUUAAUGUUUCUUUCAAACAUGUAUUAUUUUUCUUUCUUCUUAUGCAAAAAAAAAAAAAUUGAAAACUAGUGGUAGUUUCCAUUUGGAGCUUAGAAUGACUAAAAUCCAAAUUUUUUCAAUUUUUCAAUUCCAACUAUUUGGAUGCCUUUUUUUUUUUUUUUUUCAAGAUGUAGCCUCAAUUGAAGACAAUAUCAAGGAAAAUCAUCUAAAAUGGUUUAGUCAUGUCCCCAUGGAAUUAAAAUCCAUUUCACUGAGGAUAGAGAAGAUAGCAAAAUAAGCACUCAUGCAUUUAUCGUGAAGUUCUUAUUUUCAUUCCUCAUUGUUAGUGUUAGAUUUUGUUUCUAUCUUUUAAGUUAUAUUGUUUAACUUAUUCAAAGUUGUUGGUUAAACAUCUUGCUUUUGUUCCUUGCUUGGGGAAAUUCUAGUGCUCUAUAUUUUGUCAAUUUAUUUAACUACAACUUCUUAAUGGUUGCAAUAAUAGAAAAUUACACCUAACCUGUUGUUCACCUUCUCAAACCAUUUUUUGCAUAUGGUGCUACCUUUGGAUCUUAAAUAACACAAUCGUAUAUUUUUGUUCAAUGUAUCAUUCAAAAUCAAAAUUCUUUCCAAAGUAAAUUAUAUUGUACGAUGGAACAAUAAUUAAACUCAUGUUAUCAUAUUGAAGAGAACUACAAUCACAUCUUUUGACAUAAUGUUGAUGCAUCCUUUGGUUGAUCAUUCUAAACUACAAAGGCCUAGUAUUAAUAUUUGUUUAUCUCCUAUAGUUAUACCAAAGUAUCUUUAUAUUAAUAUACAAUUACAUUUGUUGUUAGGUAUGUAAGCCAAGAUCAUCAGAUCAAUGGGCUUUAUUUUUCUCAUUUGAUGAUAAAUAUGCUAUAUUUAUUUUGGAUGAGUCUAAAAAUGUCACUUCUAUUUUUAUUUUUUUUUCCUAGAAUCGAGGAAUACGUGCGGAUUUAGCACCAUUGUUAUGGAACUCUAGUGGUACCAUAUAUUUACUCUUACAGGUUUGAAAUAAACACUUCUCUCAGCUCAUGCAUUUUUUAAUUAUAAUGUUCUUAAGCUCUAUUCUCCUAUGUAUGUAAACUAACUGGUCUCUUUGACUCUUAUAUACUACUUUGGUCCAUGUUAAAUGUAAGGUAAACUUGAUUCGUAAUAGCAUUGCUGAUAAAACUAUUGACUUUGUAUUCCAACUUCCCCUCACAUUUGUCUUAAAUCUUAUCUAAAAUAAAUAAAAAAUGGUUAUUUAAUUACUUAACAAUUUUAUUACUAGUUUUAUGUUCUUUUUGUACAUGUGAUAGCUUUUUAUAGAUUGCUAAGUGUUUUAUUUCUCCAUGAUUGAGGUUUGUGUUGUAAUGAAUAUAUCAUCAUAUUAUAAUAUUAGAAAUGCUAAUACAUGACUUUUUUUAAUUGCAUCGGAGCUAUGAAAUCUCUAUUUAGUUCAUCUUUCUAACAAACACUUUAUAUGCUUACAUGUGUUUUCCAAUAUGUGGAUCUAAUUGGUGGAUUGUAGGAGUGAAUCCCUGUUUCACACCCUACUCUCUCCCCCUACUUUUUUUUUUUUUUUUACUCAUUUCAAUUCAAUUUGAUAUUGUUGAUUUUAAAUAUGUAUAUGAUUUAAUUAUGGGUCAUUCAACAUUCUUUUGCAUCAAUGCAACUUACUAUAAUUUUUGGAUUAGUAACUAUUCAAUAUUUCAGGAAAUAACAUCGGCAUACCGUAUCCUAUCAUCCCCUGAACUUGUAGCAAGAGCAACUAACAAUGUAUGCAAUGCACUUGCUCUACUUCAGGUUGGUCAUUGCUUUCAUCCUUCAUCGUCCUAUUAUAUAUAUGAAGUCUUUUUCUAGCUCCUCCUUCAUAUGUUAUUAUGAUUCUCUUUAACUCCUUAGAGGUUAUUUCAAAGAUGUAGUUGUUGUCUUUUAUGCAUGAUGAUUGUCUUACCUAAAUUUGUUUUUCUCAUGUAGUAUAAUUUUUUUGUUCAUAUCAAUAUUGUUGACUUUGAAAUUCAAUUGUGAUUCCAUUUUUGUUACAGUGUGUCGCUUCUAACCCAAAUACGAGGAUGAAUCUCAUUCAAGGUAAUCAAGCUUAAUCCUUCUAAUAUAUAAGGACUUUAUGAUCCCUUGGAUGAGCCAGAAGGUUAACUCACAAAUUAAUUGUUCUUUUAUUAAUAAAAAAAUUUUCACAAAAGAGCAUUAAUAUAGGUGUCACCUACCUGCAAAGGAGUGUUAUAAGCAAAAUCUAAGAAAUUGAAGAAGAAGACAAUAAAACAAUGACCUUAAGCCUCCCCAAAUCAUAAAGUUUUGGUUCAUGUUUUCUUUAUUUCUCAAAUGGAGAGUGUCAUUAUGAAAAUACUUCCAAUGCAUUAUAGAACUUUAGAUCUAUCAUUCCAUUUGCAUUUCUUUCUUUCUUAUAAAAGCAUUAUCAAAUAUAAAACCACAGGGAAUUAUUAAUGACGCUAGAUUCUAUCAUUUCAAAAAGGUUCAUUUUUAAUGAACUUUCUUUUUAUUCCAUUUCCCAAAUUAGAAGUUUUCUUGAUAAGAAGAUUCAUGAAGCUACUCUUCUGGUAAUAUUUUAUUUCAUGGAGUUGCAUUUGUUGAUAAUAAUUUUAGUUUUUUAACAAAUUUUCUGAAUGUACAUCUAGGAACUUUUCUAAUGGACUUAAGAAAAUUUCAUUUCUUUCAGCUAACAUACCAUGUUACUUAUACCCAUUCCUCGGAGUCAAGAACAAAGAAAAACCUUAUGAAUAUUUGAGGCUUACCAGCUUGGGUGUUAUUGGUGCCCUUGUGAAGGUACUUCCCUUUUAACAUUAAUUUUGAAUCCACCAUCUCUUGUUUGUUAAUUUGUUUUUAAGUGUUAGCAUAUUUUCACCUAUGAUCUAUUCAUGUGGUGCACAAGUAUAAUAUCUAGCUUUUAGAUUGUGGGAUACCAUAACUUCAUAAAUCCAUAUAUUCGGAUGUGGCUCUUUCCUUUUUAAUUUAUAAAGAUGAAGUUUGCUUGUGUUUGCAUCAAAUCAUAGAGAGUAAAAUAGUAAUAUCAAGAAAAAUUGUUGGCAUAUUUUGACCUGUGAUAUGUUCAUGUGAUACAUAAGUACAAUAUCUAUAUUUUAUGGUGUUAGACAUUGUAACUUCACAAAAUCUAGAUAUUCGGAUGUGACUCUUUUCUUCAGAAUUUAUUAAAAUGAAGUUUGCUUGUGCUUGCAUAGAGUAAAACAAUGUCGAAAUUGUAUGAUAAUUUUCCUAACUUAAUAGACGGUGUUACAAUGGUAAAAAUGAAACUCAAAACCCAAUGAAACUUGAUCUCUAGUCUAUAGAAUUAUUCUAAAAUUAUAUUUAUAAGUUUUUUUGGCAAGAGAUUUCUAAAGAAUUUAUACCUUUCUUACUGCUUAAUGAAUAAAGUUCCUAUGUCAUAUCAUAUAUUUCACAUAGUUCCAAAUUUGAGGCCCUAAGAAGCAUCCUAUUGUAUAACAAGUAAGUUAUGUACUGGUGAAUCCAAAAUCGGGAACUCUCAACUCUAGAAAAAUUUUGAUGCAAUCCUUCUAAGUUACAAGAUAUUAGAUUUUAUACGAACCAACUAGGGUAUUCUUUCUUCAAAAUGUCCUAAGUAGCUCAUACAAUAUUCUUGGAUGUUAAGUGUUAUAAGUGAUAAGAAAAGUUGUAAAUGCUUAAGCAUUCAUUUUCAUUUUUAUUUUCCCUUAGAAUAUUUUUUGAUAACAUCAACAAGCACCGCCUUCAAUGCCAAUUUUUUCCCCAAAAGAAUUAUAUGAAUUUCAUUUCCUUAUUAUCUUAAACUAUCAAAUGGAAUUGAGACCCAUAGUUUGCUCAAAACAUUUAUGAGUUCUCAAAUCUUUUUAAAAAAAAUUAAGUUCAAUGUAUUAUAAAACACUAAGCUAAAUUUUUUGCAUUUGUACACAAAUAAAUCAUUGAUUCUAGUUGUUUGUAGUCUCCAAUUAUAUUUGGUGUGAAAAUUAAAACAAUUCCUUCCUUGUUAUAUAUAUAUAUAUAUAUAUAUAUAUAAUUAAGUUUUAAAUCUUCUAUUUUUCUACAGGUUGAUAAUGCAGAAAUUGUUCACUUCCUUCUCCAAUCAGAGAUAGUUCCUUUAUGCCUACGUUGUAUGGAAGUGGGCAAUGAACUAUCAAAAACAGUGAGUUCCCAGUUUCAUGAUCUAUCACAAACAUACAAUUAGUUUUAUCAUUUUCAAAUUGUAUUCUCUUGACCAUUUUUUUAUUUCUUAAUAAUUUUAAAAAAAAAAAAAAAAAACUAUUUGACUUUACAGGUUGCUACUUUUAUAAUUCAGAAAAUUCUGGUGCAAGAUGAGGGGUUGAGGUACUUUUGCUCCUUUGCAGAACGCUUUUUUGCAUUAGCCCGUGUUAUGGGAACCAUGGUUGACAACCUUGUCGAAGAACCUUCGCAAAGGCUACUAAAACACAUAAUUCAUUGUUAUGUUAGGUUGUCAGGCUGUCCAAGGUUAGUUCAACAUUUAUCAUCACCAAAUCUAAAUUGUUGGGGAAAUAUUAACAUUAUGAUUCUAAAUUCAUGGUUUUAAUGUAGAGCUUGUGAUGGGUUUAAAAUUUGUCUUCCUAUAAGGUUGAGGGAUGCUGCUAUCCUUAACCUUGUUCGAGUAAGCUCCUUAACUUUCUUAGUGCAAGUGUUCAUGAAAUGUGCCAAUAAAAAAAAUUGCAUGAGCACACUCACAUCAAACUUUCUUUUAUGUCAGGCAUUUUUAUGAGAUUUAUAAUUAAUAGUGCGACAUUCCUUUCCAGGAUGACCCAAUUGCACUUGAGUGGCUAAGACAAUUGUUUUUCAAUAUUGCAACUGGAAAUCGUGUUUCAUCAUCAGCCAUUGGAGAAACACUUGGGAGCUUGCUUGCAAGCUAGGUAGAGUGUACAAAUGUGUCCUCCAUCUCCAAGGUGGCACCUAAAAUAACAUACGUUAUCCACACAAGUCUAAGUUGACAUAUGUAGUUGUUGUUAUGUAUGUUUUAUGUAUGUUAUGGGAUUUUUUUGUUAAAGAGCCAUGGAGUUUGUUGUGAGUAUGAACAUUUAUGUCAUUUUCUUUUUCUAUAAGAGCUAAAGUUUAACAAGUCUUUGUUAUUUUGUUACAUUCCUAUAGUGCCUUUGUUGUGUUUUAUAUCAAUCAAACUAGUUGUGCAAUGACUAUUUCAAAGAGUUUCUAAGGAUCAUAGGGGAAUAACAUAUGACAUGAGCUUUGACUUAAUGCUUUGUACUUUGUUAUACACUUUGAGGAAAAUGAAUGUUUACAUGUAUGUUAAUGAUAGUGUCUCUAUCUUUUAGAAAUUUAAUAGAUCUUAUCGUAAACUAGUGUUUUGAGAUGAAGGAAGACCAUAGGAUAAGGAUAAUAGAAAGCAAGUCUUGUAGCUUUUACUUUUAAAUACCUUAGAGGAAAAAAAAAAACAAAGAUUAACAUGGUAAUUGAUUUCUAACUUACUUGAGAAAUGGUAAUUCUACGUAUUAUAAAUAAGUAGUUUCUUAAAUGAAUACAUGACAUAGUAUAUUUUAUGUUUUUUUAUUUGUAUGAUAUUGUUAAUGUCUUUGAUGUUUCCUUGAUUAGAUGAUUUUAAUUAGAAGCCCUUUUUUUUUGGAGAAAUUUAUGUUUUUUAUAUUUUGCUAAUUACAUAUCUCCAAAUUUUUCCUUACAUAUCAACAUUUUUUAUUGAUUUAAUCUUUGUGAUUUCAUAGUAAAUGUUAAGAAAUGAACAUUUUAUGAAACUUCAUAAUAAUGAGAUUUCAUCAACAUAUCACAUAUACUUGUAGUUAUACCAUAUUUUAACAAUAUUUAAUACAUUUUUUCUUUUUCUUUUUUUCCAAUAUUUCUACACCAUCUUCUCAUUAUAAUUUCUCUCUCCAAUGUUUCAAUUCUUGGUUGUCAAUUCCUAAAAGCUAAUAUAAAGAAAAUUUCAUAACCAUAAAGAAUCAUCUCAUUAUUGAAGAUCCAUGCUAUGCAACUAAGCACCACAUUCACAUAAAUAAUAAAAUAUUUAAAAUUAAGCAUAAGAAUCAAAUGAAAGAAACCAAUGUCGCAUUUAACAAAUAAAAUAUUGUCUAUAAAAGAAACCAAAGCUCAUAACCAAUUAAACAACUCAGAUCAUAAUUGUAUCCGAGAUUAUCCAACCAAACAAGCCAUAUUUUCAAGCUCUUAGUCCUUUAUCUCUCCUCAUACCAACCGCAACACUUGUUGCACUCUACCCUCUCUUUUUUCUCAGGUUACUCAUUUCUCAUAGAGACAUGAAUUGUAAUGGGAAUCAUGUUCCUCUUAUUUAUAGUGGCUAGAAGGUUGUAAGGCGAUCUCAUGAUUAGUGAGUGAUAGAAAGUGUUCUAAUAUUUUAGAAUAUCCUAGAGUUAUAGAUUAGCAAAGGUAGCCAUGAAUUGAAAGAGCUCUCGUAUCCAAUACAUAUCUUCUUAUCCAAAUUCUAUAUAUAGAUUUCCCACCUUACCUUUAUACUCACACUUUUCAUCAUCAUUCUAACUCUCUAGCUUAUGCUACCAUUAUUGCUACCUAAAUUCCUACAUACUUUACAUUCUUUCACUACCAUCUCAAUAUAAACUUACAAAAAUUCACACCAAGUAUAGUUUUGUGAAAAGUAAUCAUUAAUACACAAAUUCUACAUUUUGCUACCAUAAUUUUAGGCAUGAAUAUAAUUUUGUGGCAAAAACAAGAUUUUUGGAAUAAAUUUAUUUUGCAUGACAAAAAUGAUUCUUUUAGGAAUGAAAUUUGUAUUCAUCACAAAAAAACUACAUUUUUUACAACAUUAUAUGUGAAUUGUGUAUUCAUGGCAAAGAAUCAUAUUUAAUAUCAAUAGCUAAUUAUGGCAAGUAGUUUUAUCAUUUACCCUAAAUUUCUUUGGUGGUGGAAAAACAUUAAUUACAUUUAGUCAUAAUAUUUAUUCAUGUUCAAUAGUCUCCCAUUAUAAUACUCAUGAAUGGUUGUAAGUGUAUAUACAUAUAUACAUACAUACAUACAUAUAUAUAUAUAUAUAUAUAUAUAUAUAUAUAUAUAUAUAUAUAUAUAUAUAUAUAUGGUCAUAUAAAGGUCUCAUUAAAUCUAGAAUUUCAUUUUUGUCAUUAGGGUCAUAAUAACCCUCACAAAUUUGUCUUUUAAUAACAAUCAUAUGAUGGUUGUCAAAUAAAGGUACUUCUAAAAUUAAAAUUGUAUAAAAACUUAUUCAAAGAUAAAUUAUCUAAACUCAAUUUAUUUUUACUAUAUAUAGCAUUGUUCUUGAUAAUUGGAUAUGAUAAAAAUUGAAAAAAAAUUGAACAUUUUUACUAUAUUUCUUAUUAUAUUAUUAGUAUUGUAAUAGGACAGGAAUAAUAUAUAUAUGAAUAAGAUUUAACAAAAGUAAUGGAAAAAAUAUUAUUUUUGGUCCUAUCUCAAAAAUAUAUAUUUUAAAAGAAUUUGCCGUCCCUAAUUAAAGAUUUGCACUCUAUCCACAACGCCAAAAUAAGAACUCUAUGAGAACCAUAAAAAGAAUUCUCAAGCAUUUCUUGCCCUCCAAUUAGGGUUGGUAAAUGAACUUAUUCCAAGCAUCAUAGACACUUAAAAAAAUGUCCAACAAGCAUUUGAUAAGUUACAGUAGGAUUUUAACACCAUGACAAGGUAUGCAUCUCCAAACUACAAACUUUGAGAAAAAGCAUAAAAAAAUUUUAAACUUGAAAGAUUCUAAGACAACCUAAGAUUAGUAUUCAAGAGUAGAUAAAAGAGCAUAUCAAUUGAGAGCCUAUGAGGAUGAUAUCCUAAAAAGGAAAGUUGUGGAAAAAAAAGAAAAAAACUAAUUACUUGUGUGUGUGUGUGUGUGUAUGAACCAAUCAUUACUUAUGUCAAAUAGUAAAGGCAAAAGAAAAUUUAACAGUAACAUAAUUGCUUAUGAACAAAAAAUUGAGAAGGCGGGAUGAAAGUUGUAUUAAGAAUGACUUCUAAUCUAAAAUCAAUAUCUAGACUUAGAAAUCCAAAGUUAGGAGAAAAUAAAAUUAAACUUAUAAAAACAAAGGGAGUCAAGGAAACUAGAUAGAAAAUGAAAGCAAGUACCUUUCUCAUAGUAUAUGCAAGAGGAAAAGACACUUGGAUAGCUACUAUUGUUUUAAAGGAAAACUAAAGUGUCAAAAUUCUAGAUAAAAAAAAAAAAAUUUAAAUGUGUACAUCAAGAAAGCUUGUCAUUCAAAUAAAAUUAAUCAAGUUGAUAUAUUGAAAGAGAAAAAUGCAAAAAAAAAAAAAAAUCUCUUUUGUACUUGCCAAAUUGCAAUAGAAGAGAAGAAACAUACAUGGUACUUAGACAUAAGUUAUAGUAACCACAUGACAAAAGAUAAUAGUAUUUUCAAAAAUCUUGGUAAGAUCAAGGCAUAAGUUAAUAGAAAUAGAAAUUUCAUGGAGGCAAUAGGCAAAAAAACCAUUUCCAUUUACACAUGAAAGGGCAAAAAGUACAUUAGUAAAGUAUUCUUGGUCCCUAGCAUAAACCAAAAUCUAUUAAAUUUGGUCUAAAUAAUGGAAAAAAUAUAUUAUCUACAUUUUAAGGGAAAUUGUUUGCAUAUUAUAUGGUAAUCAAGAUAAAUUCUUUAAAAUUAAAAAAAAAAUGAUGGAAUACAUGUGAUGUAGAAACGAAGGCACAAAUGAAAGAGUCAUGGCUAUGACACAAAAGAUUUGAAUACUUCAACUUCCAUGGGUUCAAGCUUCUUCCCCAAAAAAUACAUAAUGAGAGACUUGUCAAUGAUUAAAGAAAACAAUGACAUGUGUGAGGAUGAGUUCAUGGAAAACAAGAUAACAACCUUUUUCAUCUAGAAAAGCAUGGAAAUCAAGGAGCCAUUAGAGUUGGUCCAUAGAGAUGCCUACCAUAAGUGUAUUCUAUCACUUGAACAAAAUAGGCAUUUCAUUCUCUUCAUUAACUACUACACAAAAAUAACUGGGUUUAUUUUUUACACAAAUAUUGCAUCUCUUUUAACUUUUGAAGAAAUUUAAAACCUAUGUUGAGAAACGGAUUAGCCACUACAUCAAGAUGAUAAGAAGUAAAAAAGAAAAAGAAUAUACCUCUAAUGAAUUCAACAAGUUUUGGCAAAUAAUUAGUAGGUAUAUAACUUCAUCAAAACAAAAAAGUCAUAGGGGUUAAGUGGGUUUAUAAACAAAGAUUAACUCUAAUGGAAAAUUAAGCGUAAAGUAAGGCUAGUAAGGAUACUUGCAAUUGAGAGUUUCCUACAAUGAGACUUUCACUCUUAAUAUUGCACAUCUCUACACAAUAAAGGCACUGAGAGCACUUGCUACUAAAAAUAAUAGAAGAUCUACUAGCUAAAUAUGAAAUCUACAUUCUUCAAUGAUGACCUUGAAGAAGAAAUCUUUUUGUGAAACAAUCUUAAGGGUUCAUAGUGAAAAGAUUUGCAUAUAUGUUCAACUUUUCAUGAAAUGAGUAAAAUUAUAGUAUUUAUUUCAAUAAUUAGAACUUGUUUUGGUUCUUAUCUUAUCCAUGUUUUAAAUUGAAAAUUUAUUGAUUUCCUUUACACUCGGACCUAUUAAUUAUUUUUUUACAUACAUUAAUUAUAUUUUCUCUUUAAAAGAAAAUAAAAAUCUAAAUUAAGUAUAAAAGGGUAAAAUAUCAUAAAUCAUUUAGAAAGAAUUUAACUAACCAAAACACAUCAAAUUAUGCUAAUUAGUAAAGCUAGUCACACAAAUUAUAGCCUCUAAAAAGCAAUGAACACCUAAAAUAAUCCUAUAAAAUAAACCUUAACAAUCUCAAACUUCUAAAUCCAACUCUAAAUUUAAAUUAAUUUUUUUAUCCUGAAUGCCCUAACCCUUUUCAAAAAAAAAAUUUAGACAAUAGAAGUUGAACAUUUUCAACUGUAAAAGUUCCCAAAGUGCACAUGGAUUGCACGUAAUCACCAAAAUACCAACCCUACCCAAGAAAACUAAUUUUUCUCUCUCUAAAUGAAGACUUGGGAAAUAGAAGAGCAGUCCAAGGCAUGUCCUUUCUCUUUCAUUCACUCUCAUGCUCACUUCGUUCUCAAAGAAAGACUCAAAAAUUUGGGGAUUUCUAGAGUUUUCCAUUUUCUUUGAUCAAUUCAUGCAAAUCUUUAAAAUGCUAAAUUUAUUGUUAUCCAAUCAGAGUUUUUUUCUAGAUCAUUGGGGAGUGAGUUCAAGUUUCAUUUCUUCCUAUUCCAACCACUAACCCAUAAAAACCAUCUCACUACUAUUUUGGUGGAGAAGUUUAUCAGGGAUAUUGAGAACCCACUAACUCGAGAACAUUCUUUAUUUCUUCUACCAAAUGGAAUAUAUAAAAUCCAUUUUGAUUUUAUUCCUUUUUUGUAAUCUAUUUGCUUGGUGAGGAAACAUAGGAAAAGGGAAUGCAAUUUGGGUUUUCUAUCUUUGUGUUUCUAUUCAGCCAAGAAAGGUAAUGGGUUUUAUCUAUCUAAUGAUCUUUUCUUGAUAUAUGUCUUUGAAUGUAGGUUUACUGUAUUGAUAUAAAAAAAAAAAAUUUAAAGUUCUAAUAGUGAUUAUUCUUGUUUUCUAUUAUGAUAUUUGUGUGAUAAAGAUGUGAGGUUGCUUUGAUGGACCCAAAUUUUCUUAAACAAUCUUACUUUCUUGUUAACCAAGAUUAGAUUCUUAAUUUGAAAUCUAGGGUUUUAACCAUAGGAUACAAUGAUUUAUAUUUAUAGUGUGUUUGGUAGAAGGAAAUAAUUCAAGAUCUUACCUUGUUAUUGUUUGGCUUUUUCAUUUUUUUUAUACUGAUCUUUCAAUCUCAUUUUAAGAACAAUUUUUUAAAUGGAUAAUUUUUAAAAUGAAUUCAAAUAUGGUUAUUGUUUUAUGUUACCCCCCUCAAGGAUCAUCAUUUUAUGCAAUUCUUAGAAUUUAGAAGCUGGGUAAGAUAAGUGAACUAAUGUUUGAUUUCUCUAUAAUAAGAAAUGAAUAAAAAUUGAAGAAAGAAUUUAGGUUAAUGAGACUAAAAGCUCAUAUAGACAAUAAUUUUUAAACAAAACUUUUGUGCAAGGUUUACUAAUUAUUGAAAACUACAUAAACAAAUUAGCUUCUCAUAUAUAUAUAUGAGAUACUAAUAAAGUGAAUACAAAAGAAAGGGGAAUUAAUGUUGUGAAGCAAUAUUAAAUAAAGUGAAUACAACGUAAAAGGCUAGGUAUUAUUAAGUCUAAUAUAAUUUUGUAAGGUAUCUUAUUUGUGAAAAUGGCAUAUCCUUAACAUUGCUUUUAGACAUGCAUUUAGAAGAAAAUGGAGAAAAUAUAUGUUGUUCUCUAUUUGUAUGCAAAAAUGAAAACUAGCGAGUAAUUGUCAUUCGGAGUUGGUUUUCACAUUAUUAGGAUCAUUGAAAUCCAAACUUUUGCAAUUUUUUAGUUCCAUCUAUUUGGAUUUUUUCCAGAUAAAGCCUCAAUUGAGGAUAACAUCAAGAAAAAUUAUUGAAAAUGGUUCAAUCAUGUCCCUAUGGAAUUAAGAUCCAUUUAACUAAGGAUAAAGAAGAUAGAAAAAUAAGUCCUCAUGCAUUUACCAAUGAAGUUCCCGUUUCCAUUCCUUGUAUUAGUGCUGGAUGUUGUUUCUAUCUUAAGUUAUAUCAUUUCAUUUAUUGAAAGUUGUUGGUUUAAUAUCUUGUACUUGUUCCAUGUUUGGGCAAGUACUAGCGCUCUAUCUUUUUUCAAUUGAUUUAACUAUAACUUGUUGGUGUUUGUAACAACAAGAAAUUGCAUCUAAACUAUUUUCUACCUUUUCAAACCCUUUUUUUUAUGUAAUGCUACAAUCUGAAUCUUAAAUAACAAAAUCAUAUAUUCCAAUUCAAUGCAUAAUGUGAAAUCAAACUUCUUACCUAAUUAAAUUCUAUUCUAUUCUAUGAUGGAAAACAAACAACUCAUGUUAUGGUAGUGAAGAAAACUAUAAUCACAUUUUUUUUAAAUGAUGAUGAAGCAUUAUUCUUUUUAUUAUUCUAAACCACAUCUAGUGUUAAUGUUUGUUUCUCUCCUAUAGUUUUAUCAAAUUAUUUUUUUGCUAAUAUAGUUAUAUUUGUCAUUAGGCACAUAAGCCAAGCUCAAUGAAUGGAUGGCCUUACUUUUCCUCAUUUAAUGAUAAAUAUGUUGAAUUUAUUUUGGAUGAGUCUAAAAGGAGCAUUUUUUUCGAAUCAAGAAAAACAUGUAGAUUUGGUAUCAUUGUUAUAGAACACUAGCAAUACUAUAUUUUUUCACUCAAGUCUAACUUAAAUGUUUAUCUCUACUUGUGUCUUUUUUAACUGUAAUGUUUUCUUAAGCUCCAUUUUCCUAUGUAUAUAAACUAACUUGUCCCCUUUGUCUCAUAAAUACUACUUUGGUCUAUGUUUUAGCAUAAAGUAUAUUUCUCAAUAGCAUAUUUGAUAGACUAUUAACCUAGCAUUCCAUCUUCCUCUCAAAUUUUCUGAAAUAAGUAGAGAAGGGUUAUUUACUUAACAAUUUUAUUGGUCAUUCUAUGUUGUAGUUGUAUAUGUGAUAGCUUUUUAUAGAUUUCUAAGUCUUCUAUUUUUGCAUGAUUGAGGCAUGCAUGUUCCACAAUAAAUGAUAUGGCAUGAUAUCAUAAGAUUAGAACUACUAAUAUAAGGCUUUUCUUAGUUGUGUCAAAGCUAUCAAGAUCAAUCACCAUUUACUUCCUUUUUUCUAAUAAACACUACAUGUUCGCACAUGUUUUCCAAUUUAAGGAGCCAAUGGCUAUACUUGGUGGAUUCCAAGAUAAAUCCUUCGUUUCACCCCCUUCUAAUAGAGGUAAGCGAAAAUAAUGACUAAAGGUAUUGAUAUGGUUGGACACUAAAGUUGUUUACAUGAAAAGAUUAAAUAGAGCCCAAAUUUGGCAAUGAAAUUAUUGUUAGGGAAUGUAGUUGCAACCAUGAUAAGAGCCAUAACUACCAAUAACUUCAUAGACUUGAUUACUUUUAGAGUCGCAUCUACAAAUAACUUUUUGAACACGGUAGCUUUUUUAAUGUCAUCAUAUAUUUAUUUUAGAUACAAAUACUUCUUGACCACUCGCUUAGGUCCAUGUAUUAUGUAUUUAUACAUUUAUAUUUACAUUUUUAAGUCUAAUGUUUCCAUGUCCUAGCUUUGCUACUCUUCUUAGCCUCUUUGAUUCAUUUCUAUAAGAGAUUGUCUUCUCUCUAUGAUUUCACACCCUAGAAAUCAUUAUAUUCUCAUUAUGUGAAAGUUUGAUUUUUCUUUAAUGCCUAUGUGAUUGAUGAGUUCAACCAUUGAUAUCACUCAUACAACACUGUAGGUGCAACUUCUCUCUCUCCAGGUCCUCAUUGAGAGAUUUUCUUGAAGUUGUUUCUUGUAGUUGUUUCUUGUUCAUCUAUUGUAGUUUGAGUGAUGCUUAAAUAUUUCUUAAAGUUGUUUUUCCUUUUGAUUUUCCAACUAGAUGUUUGAAGUCUAAGGAUUUGUUCUAUUUUUCAAUAUUUCUAUAAUUCAAUCUUUAUGGAACAAUGUCAUAUGUGGAACAUAGUUGCAGUAAACAAUAUCAAGUACCAGAGUGAUGAUUUGAAUUCAAGGAGAUGAGUGGGUAGAUGAGCUUCAUUUGACUACUUUUUUUUUAUAUUGUUUCAUAGUUUAUAAAAUGAUUAUAGAGGUUUCACCUAUUUUCCGUAUAUAAAAUUUUAGAUUUAACAUAAUAUUGUACAAAUGAAUUGGUAAUUAAAAUAAAACGAUUUGGGUUCCUCUUUGUUGUACUCCGCUGCAUUCUUUUUCCUCCAUGAAAUUCUGUUCUUUUAAUUAUAAGUCUAUUUAUUUCCCAAAAUUUGAGGACCAAAAAAUACAACAUAUAGUUUUCCUUAAUAUUCUCUUUGGAAUGUGCAUCAUGGUUAUUCAAUACAAUGGGUCAUCAAAGAAUGUUCUUGCAUAAGUCAAAUGGUUGAAAAAAGACCACAAAUCUUAUAUAUGUUAGUUCAGAUUUCUCAAGACUAGCUUUCAACCUCGAGUGCUAAUUUUUAUGUUAGAUCACAAGUCAUAGUAAUUGAAAUAUGGUGCUCUGAAUAGUCAAUCAAGAAGAAUUUAUUCUUAUUAAAUCACCAUGAUGUUUAAUGCAUAAGUAAGGAAGAUAAACACAAUUUUAUAAUCUAAACACAUUUCUUUUCUAAAAUGUUAGAAGACUGAUUUAACCUAUAAAAGUUUACUGGUUAAUUCCCUUAUACGAAACUUAACUACCUAAAGUAGCCUGUGUUGUGUGAUGGAGUGAUACUUCUAUGACUAACCUCUAGAACUAUAAUACCCAUUAGGUUUAUAUGAUUUGUCAGAAUAGUAGUGCCUAAUUUUGCAUUUGACUAGUACCCUACCACAUAUGUAUUAGUUGACUUAUAUGUAUGUAUAUAUAUGCACAAAGCCUUGGAUAUUAUUUGUGUUAUCAUAUUGUUUAAUAUUGAUUUGUUUAACUUAAGAAAAUUUGAGAUUCUAAUAUUAUAUGUGUUGUCCUUUUUUUCAAUUUGAGAGUGUUGUUAGUUUUUCUAAUUAAUAGGUGUUUGAAAAACAAGGAUAAAUGAUGUGGAUUUUUACCAACCUAUAUAGAAUUAUUUUGAUUUGGAUUUUUUUUUAAGUCUUGGAUGAAGCUUGUGUUGUUGAAGUAAUUAUAUUCAGUUGGUUGUGAUGAGAACAUUACGGAUUAUUGAAGCAUGUACAAAAGCAACUAGUUCAAUUAUUAGCUCUUAUCCAUUCUCCAAUAGGAGCUUCCUUUUUAAAACUUUAUGAAAAUACAAAUGAUAUAUACCCAAUCCACUAUUUAUCAAUGAUUGGUUUUAUCAAUGUACAUAUGCUAAAUUGUUAUAAAAUUUUGCAAAUUCAGCUCACUAUUGUUUAAGUAGUGUUAGACUCUCUUAAUGUCAAGGUUUAUUCAUUAUUUAUUGUCACUAGUUCUAAAAUGUUAGUGAGAUUUUAGCAAUAUGGUUCUAAAUUCAUGGUAUUAAUGUAGGUCAUGCAAUGGGUUUAAAAUUUGCCUUCCCAUAAGGUUGAGGGAUAUUGUUAUCCUUAACCUUGUUUGUGUAAGCUCCUUAACUUUCUUAGUACAAGUGUUUAUGAAAUGUGCUAGUAGAAAGAAUUACAUGAGCAUACUUACUUCAAACUUUCUUCUAGGCUAGACAUUAUUAUUAGAUUCAUGAUUGACAAUGCUAUUCCUUUUGACAAUGAACCAGUUGCACUAAGUGGCAAAGGCAAUUGUUUUUCAAUAUUCUAAGAAGAACUGUGUUCAUGCCAACCAUUGGAAAAAAAAAACUCAAGUACUUGCUUACAAGUUAGGCAAAAUGAUUGUGCAAUUCUGUCAUCCAUCUCUCAAGUAUGAAAUAAACAAAAUAACACAUGUUAUUAAUAGUCGUUUAAGUUGACCUUUGUAAUUGUUGUUGUGUUUGUUAUGGUACUCUUUUUCAUUAAAGAGCCAUCAACUUUGUUGUGAGUUUAAACCUUUAUGCCCUUUUCUUUUUCUAUGUAACUAAAGUUUAACUCUCUCUUAUUGUGUUGUUAUAUCCCUGUAGUAGUUGUGUUGUGUUUUAUAUUAGACUAAAUGUACAAUGAUUAUUUCAAAGAGUUGAUAAGGAUCAUAAAAAAAUAGCAUGUGGAAUGAGCUAUGGCCUUGAGUUAAUGGCUUUAUUGUGUUUUAUAUUAAAAUAAAUGUGCAAUGACUAUUUCAAAGAGUUGAUAAGGUUCAUAAGGGAAUAGCAUAUGGCAUGAGCUUUGGUCUUGAGUUAAUGGCUUUGUAAAGAGGGGUUUGUUGUAUGCUUAGAGGGAAAAUGAAUGUUUACAUUUAUGUUAAUGAUAUUUCUAUUUUGGUAAAAAUUUGAUAUAUUUAUCCUAAAUUGGUGUUUUCAGAUAAAGGAAGAGCACGAGUUAAAGAUAAGAGAGCACUUCUUGUAGCUUAUACUUUUAAAUGCCCAAAAAAAAAAAAAAGAUGGUUGCUAUGAUUAAUUUCUCGCUUGUUAAGGAAUACUAAUGCUACUUAUGAAUUGUUAGUAUGUUUUAGACUUUUGUUAAUUUUAGGAUAUUGUUAUGACUUUGAUGUUUCCUUGAUUUAUUAAUUUUAGAAGUUGUCUUUGGGUAGAAGAUUUCAUAAUAUCUUUUAUGUUUUUCUAAUUACAUAUCUCCAAAAAAAUUCUUAUAUUAACAUUUUUAUUGAUUUAAUCUUUAUAAUUUCAUAUCUUAUAUUAUGCAUUUGUUAAGAAAUGAGCAUUUUAUGACAUUUUGUAAUAACUGUAGGGACCCCUUCCCUUGAGAAACACGUGGCACGCAGUUCAUGGUGACGCGUGGCACAUAUUAUCAUCCGGACCAUCAUCAUCCGAAUUCCCCUAAAGGUAUGCAUGGUGCAGUUAUCCUAUCCGGACCACCUCAAGGAAAGCCAAGCCCUAUCCAAGGAAGAGCAAACGACGCAGGCAGAGCGUAGACAUCCAGAUGGUCUCCACAACACAUCCGGAUGAUCAGCAUGAGCCAUCCGGAUAUAAAUCGUCUGGAUGGUCAAUUAAAGUAAAGCGAGUCUUACACGCAAUCACAACAAGCAGCCAUGACCCACAUCCCAUCACCUGCAGAGUGAGAAGACAAGGGGAAGUGACAGCAAGUCACUUCCCACGAUCAUUCUACAUAAUCACUGCCCACGAUCUCUGACAGCCGCAUCACCUACCAUGGUUUCUGACGGUCGUUCGUAGGGCGAUAAUGCUCCUACUAAUACCUAUUGUCAUCAUCACAACAUAAAAUAUCUCCUCACCAUUAAUGAGAGGAACAGUACCCCUGAAGCUGUAUAUAUAUACCUUCGCACGAAGAAGAAAGGGAUCCCCUGGUAACCUCUUGAUACCUAGUAAAAGGCCAACUGAUUUAUAUAUCUCUCUCUCACCAUGGCUAACAAAACCAUCGGAGGGUGCGUCCGGACACCCUGUCCGGAUGCCUUUUGCAGGUGCAACCGCUGAAUCAAGAACCCCUUGUGUGUUGAGAAUCACGUGUCCAUCCAUAUAGCAGCAACGUGGACCACCGGAUACGCGAGGCGACAACAAUAACGAUCUUCAUCCACAUAUAUAUAUAUAUAUAUAUAUAUAUAUAUAUUUCUCAUAUCCUUGUCACUUGUACCCUAUUUUAACAAUGCAUGGAUAUAUUUUUGCAUUUUUUUGUGUCAAUAUUUUCAUAUCUUAUGGUCAAUAUAAUUUCUCACUCUAAUAUUUUAAUUUUUGGUUGCAAAUUCCUUGCCACAACAAACAAUUAAAACAAAGCAAAUUUCAUAACCAUAAAGAAGCAUCUCAUUAUUAAACUUUCAUGCUAUGCAACUAACCACCACAUUAGAAUAAUCAUAAAAUAUUCAAAAGCACAAGAAUCCAAUGUAAGAAACUAAUGUCACAUUUAACAAAUAAAACCUUUUCCAUAAAAGAAACCAAACAACCUGUAGCAUAAUUGUAUCCAAGAUUAUCUAACCAAACAAGUCAGUGUCAAGCCCUAAGUCCUUUCUCUCUCCUCAUACUAACCACUCCAUCUCUUCCAAUCCACCCUCUCUUUUUCCUUACUUUACUCAUUAAUUUCUUAGGGGGAUAUGAUUUGCAAAGAGAGUCAUGCUCUACUUACUUAUAGUGG
rnacentral:lncRNA from 1 species